UUGGAAUCAAAUCAAAUGAAGGGGAUAUUUUAUUGGCAAUUCUUCACAAACGAAUACAGGCAACACACGAACGGUAAGCGACACCACAAAUUCAGGAAGUGGCCACACAGAAGGAAAGAAAUGCUGCAAGGAGAAAGGAAACACUUGUGCAUGACUCUGUGUCUCCAGAUGUGCACCAGCCUAAGCAUCGAUGCCAUCAUCGCCGACGUUCUCCUUGGAGAGCUCCUCGAGCGACUUGCCCUUGGACUCCGGCNNNNNNNNNNNNNNNNNNNNNNNNNNNNNNNNNNNNNNNNNNNNNNNNNNNNNNNNNNNNNNNNNNNNNNNNNNNNNNNNNNNNNNNNNNNNNNNNNNNNUUGUUUUUGCAGGGUAUGCUUGUGAUGUGANNNNNNNNNNCUCAUAUAUCUCUGUUGUGGUGUUUGCGUAAGUAAGAUGCUAUCCUACUAGAUACCCAUGGUCACCACGUAAAACAUGCAACAACAAAAUUAGAGGACGUCUAACUUGUUUUUGCAGGGUAUGCUUGUGAUGUGAUAUGGCCAACGAUGUGAUGUGAUAUAUUGGAUGUAUGAGAUGAUCAUGUUGUAAUAGUUAAUAUCGACCUGCACGUCGAUGGUACGGCAACCGGCAGGAGUCAUAGGGUUGUCUUUAAACUAACGUUUGUGCUUGCAGAUGCGUUUACUAUAUUGCUAGGACGUAGCUUUAGUAGUAAUAGCAUGAGUAGCACGACAACCCCGAUGGCGACACGUUGAUGGAGAUCAUGGUGUGGCGCCGGUGACAAGAAGAUCGUGCCGGUGCUUUGGUGAUGGAGAUCAAGAAGCACGUGAUGAUGGCCAUAUCAUGUCACUUAUGAAUUGCAUGUGAUGUUAAUCCUUUAUGCACCUUAUCUUGCUUAGAACGACGGUAGCAUUAUGAGGUGAUCUCUCACUAAAAUUUCAAGACGAANNNNNNNNNNNNNNNNNNNNNNNNNNNNNNNNNNNNNNNNNNNNNNNNNNNNNNNNNNNNNNNNNNNNNNNNNNNNNNNNNNNNNNNNNNNNNNNNNNNNUUUUUGUUGAGCUAGUUGACCCUGAAAUUGAAAAGCACUACAAAUGAACUAUGAAAAUGUUGAAAGUUGGCAUUCUAUCAUCAUUUCACCCACAUAGCAUGUGUUGAAAAGUUGAGAGGGCUACGACAAAAACUGGAUGCACUUCGUGUAUAAAACGGACAAUCUCUCUCGAAGUAUUAGCGCUUCGAACGAGAACUCAUCUCUUACAAAGGGAUUUCAUUUUUUUGAACUNNNNNNNNNNNNNNNNNNNNNNNNNNNNNNNNNNNNNNNNNNNNNNNNNNNNNNCUUCAUCAAUUUCUGACUUCAUUUGGUAUUCUUCGUGCAUUUACUUAUUUUUUUAGCUAGUUGACCCUGAAAUUGAAAAACACUACGAAUGAACUAUGAAAAUGUUGAAAGUUGGCAUGCUAUCAUCAUUUCACCCACAUAGCAUGUGUUGAAAAGUUGAGAGGGUUACGACAAAAACUGGAUGCACUUCGUGUACAAAACGGACAAUCUCUCUCGAAGUAUCAGCGUUUCGAACGAGAACUCAUCUCUUACAAAGGGAUUUCAUUUUUUUGAACUUAUUUGAACUCCAUACUUUUUGUGUGUUCAAAAUGCACCAUUCAAAGGCACGUCACAAAAUUUCAACAAUUUCUGACUUCAUUUGGUUUUCUUCGUGCAUUUACUUUUUUUUUGAGCUAGUUGACCCUGAAAUUGAAAAGCACUACAAAUGAACUAUGAAAAUGUUGAAAGUUGGCAUUCUAUCAUCAUUUCACCCACAUAGCAUGUAUGGUGGACACUCUCUCACCUGAUUUUUUGACCGUCGAUGAUGGUCGCUACUCCUUCUUCCCCUUGUGCAUAACAAAUAUCUAGCACAAAGAGAAGAAGGAGAAGCAACCCCCACAACAACAGUCGGCAUUCUUCUUCUCUCAUGUAUGGUGGACACUGAUUUUUUGACCGUCAAUGAUGGUCGCUAUUCCUUCUUUCCCUAAUGCAUAACAAAUAUCUAGCACAAGGAGAAGAAGGAAAAGCGACCCCCGCAACAAAAGUGGUUCCGCGGCACGCCAUGUGGUUCCGCUGCACGCCACGUGGUUCCGCUGCAUGCCACGUGGGACUAAUGGUCUUUCAUUUUUAAAUGACUGUUUUAAUCAAAAACAGAUAUGUUACAAAAGGGAUUUCAUUUUUUGAACUUAUUUGAACUGAAGAAUUUGUGUAUAUAUAUGUGGUCGAAAUACAUGAUACCAUGAAGUUAGAAAGGGCUAAACCAUUCAAAAGUAGCAAAUGAAGUUAGAAAGGGCUAAACCAUUCAAAUUUGGAAACUAUAAUGGCACAAACAGAAACUAGACAUAUAUAAAUUGGUUCAAGCAGUACAUGAUACUAGUCCAAACAGUACAUAAUAAUAGCUACCAUAGAUAUAUAUACAAGUGUUCGACGUUGAAAACACUACUCGUCUGAAUCGUAUGAAUCAGAAUGUCCACCUUCCUCGAGGUGACGCUAGCCAUAGUUGACGACUCGAAUCUUGCGGUACAACUCGUAUGAAACGUAUGCAUCUUUUUCUGCAUACUCAAUGUUGAUAGGAUCAAGUGGGGCCUUCUCCCAAAGUUUGUGCUGAGACUUUGGGAAACUAGUCUUCAUAUCACCAUAUUCCUCGUCGAUCAAGGCAACUGCCUUAUGAGCCAUCGAAGUCCUGACAUGUCGAAGCCUGAAUACCGUUUGGAGAUCAAUGAGGCAACCAGUUGGUAUCUCAAUACCGAAGCUGUAGCUCAUGUUCAGCUUGUCGUUCCUUAUGUCAACGGUAGCAAAAGUGAUGCCGCUGCGAAGGAAGUCCGUGAGUUCUGGACAAUGCUUGUCACUACUGCAACAGAAACAAAUUAAAAUGGAACAAAUGUUACAUAUUGCUGCAAUAAGGAAACAUGUUUCACUACAACUAAAGAGAAAAUUAUCUUUAGGAUUCAAAUAGAACAUAUGCAAUGGAACCUAGAGAGAUCACUAUAGCUAUCCAAUGGAACCUACAGAGAUCACUAGCUAUAUGAAAUUUUCAUGACUAUGACAUAUCAUAUUGCUAUCCAAUGGAUCCUAGAGAGAUCACCAGCUAUAUGCAAUUUUCAUAACCUUGGAUCAAAGAACACCGCAUAAAAUUGUAUCACUACAACUAUGAUUUCAAUGGAACAUAUUGAACCAAUCAGAUUUUUCAGAUUGUGGAACACUAUUCCAAUCAGAUUGUGUUCCCUUCAACUAAUCAAAAUUGUUUCACUACAACUAUUUGAAGCGAACCAACUAUGAUUCCAAUGGAACAUAUUAAACACUAGUUGAUUCUAAUACGAUUUUUCAGAUUAUGGAACACUAUUACAAUCAGAUUGUGUUCCCCUUCAACUAAUCAAAAUUGUUUCACUACAACUAUUUGAAGGGAACCAACUAUGAUUGAAACAAAUAAACUUACAAUGUCAUUAUCUUGGAUCAAAGAAAGCCUCAAAACUUACCUCGCCCAUUGGAAGAUCAAGACAUGGCGUGCGAAGCAUAGUUGGAUGACGGCAACACCGCGUUGAUCGGCCGUGUACUCCAGAUCAAGCCCCAAGAACUUCUCAUGAUCCAUUGCGGUGUCAAGCCAUUUUUCCUUCAACUGUUCAAGAAAAAACGGCACCUCCCUGCUCUCGUUCAUGUACACGACAUCGAGCAUGGUCGUGCCAUGUGCGAGCACCUUUUGAAAGCGAGUUGGCAUGGUGGAAGAAGAGAAGGGAAGAAGAGAGGAGAAGAACAGAGAGGGAGAGCGAGAGAGAAGAAGAAACACAGAAAUGGCGACUGUGCUUCGGUUCGUGCUUUUCAUCGCCCGAAACGACGCGGGAUGCAAACCGUUUGGGCCUUUAGUCCCGGGUUGAGCCACCAACCGGGACUAAAGAGGUAUACCAACAGUUGCCACCACUACGGCAGGCCACGUGUUAGGCCUUCAAUCCCGGGUUGAGCCACCAACCGGGACUAAAGGGGGAUACGAACGGUUGCCACCACCAUUGCCUGCCGCGUUGCCCUUUAGUCCCGGUUUGGGACACGAACCGGGACUAAAGGCUCCUUACGGGCCGGGACUAAAGCCUCGAGGGAAGCAUUGAGAAUUGGGGCGACGUGGCCGGGCCUUUAGUCCCGGCCCAGAGGCAGGCCGGGACUAAAGGGUCCCGGCCAAAGGCCUGUUUUCCACUAGUGAUCCCACUACACAUUAGGGUUAUGACCUAGGUUCAUUUUGGUCUUUUCAUGUGAGUGAAUGAGGAUGCUUUACCCUCCAUCCAGCAGCCACCACCUAGGGUGAUGAAAAUCAGUCCAGCCUUCAUUGGAGAAGAAGAGAGAAAACCAAGUGAGAAAGGGAAGAAGGGAAAGAUUGAAGGAAUAAGCAAAGGGAGCUCCUAGCCAAGGUUGUGAUGAUCCAGAUACACUACCUUGUCUCCUUCAAACUGCGGUUCCACCAUCUUUGAUGAGAUUGUUCCAAUCUCUUGCUUUUGAGACCCAAAUCUUGGUGUGUUCAUCCAAGAUUCAGAAAUCUUGAUGUCUGAGGUCCUCUAGUGCUAUCUAGAGAAGCAACUUUUUGUAUCCGACAUUUGAUAAUAGUGAAAGAGGAUUUGGGUGGCUUCGGCCCAUGGUUUUUCCCUCAAGUUGAGGGGUUUUGCACGUAAAAAUCUGGUGUCUCUUUUGUUGAUGCUUGUUGUUGCCCAGAAAGUUACUCCUGCCACAAGACACUUGUGUGAGGAGCGUCUUGUCUGCUGAGUAACAUUCUCUCCUCCAUAUAUGCUCUUGCAUAUGUUUCCUUCCAUGCUAACCAACAAUCCUUGAGUUAGUACAUGAUGUGGUGCUGAGAUUUACUUUAUUUCAGCUACAGUUUUCAGUUAACCACAAGUGCAUUUGUGUGAUAAUUCCCAACAGAGUGGCAUCAGAGCCUUCGUUGCUUAGAAGGUUGCUAAUACAAGUUGCUUGAUUGUUGUUGCAUGUGCUACUCACAAUAGCUUUGGAAGAAAGCGCUACUAAAAGUGGCACGAUAAAACUUGAUUCUUCCAAUUACUCAUUUUGGAAUCCCAUGAUGGAAGACAUCCUUUAUAGCAAGGAUUUGUAUGAGCCAAUUGUGAAAGACAAGAUACCCACCGGAGUCACGGAAGAAGAAUGAAGAGUGCUGCAUAGAAAGGCAGUAGGUAUGAUUCGGUCGUACAUCAACCACAAUAUAUUUCACAAUGUUGCAAAUGAAACAAAUUCAUAUGACAUGUGGUAUAAGUUGGAGUCUAUGUAUGAGAAGAAGACAUCAAUAAACAAGGCAUCAGUGAUCAAAAGACUUGCAAAGCUUUAGUACCAAGAUGGAACAAGUGUGACUGAGCACUUGAAUGUCUUCCAAUGCCAUAUAAAUCAACUUUCAGCCAUGAAGUUCAACUUUGAGGAUGAGGUGCAAACAUUGUUGUUGCUGAGUUCCAUGCAUGAUAGUUGGAACACGCUUGUUGUGUCACUUGGCAAUUCAGCUCCGGAUGGGAAACUCACUUUGGAGAUGGUGAAGAAUAACAUGCUGAAUGAAGAAGCCAAAAAGAAGGAAAAGGGUGAUGCCUCUUCUUAUGAUGUGUAUUUGGCUAAAACCCAUGAAAAGAAUGAGAACCGUGGACGUGGUCACACCAUAUUUCGCUAAGGCAUAAAUAAAUGAAGGGGGAGAUCAAAGUUAAAACAGAGAAAAUAUAUUACUUGCUUUCACUUUGGAAAUCCGGGACACAUAAAAAGUGAGUGCAGGAAGUAUAAAAGAGAGCCUACAGAGGGGAAACUUGCAAGGAAAACCAAGCAAAAGGCUAAGAGCAUCUCAGCCAUGACUGCAAUAGAUGAGGACUAUCUAGUCAUUGAAGAUGAUGAAUGUUAUAGUAUUGUUCGUGAUGAUGCCAUGAGUUGGGUUGUGGAUUCAGGUGCGUCCUUCCACAUCACAUCACGCAUGGAGUAUUUCACAUCUUACACUAGUGGUGUUACUAGUCAAGUGAGUAUGGGAAACAGUGGUUCGUCAACAAUUGUUGGCAAGGGUUGUAUAUGCAUUGAAACAAAUACAUGUUGCAGGUUGGUGCUCGAUGAUGUGAGGCACGUUCCCGACAUAAGGCUGAAUUUAUUGUCAGUAGGCAAGCUUUAUGAUAUCAGACAUCCUAGUUAUUUUGGUGAAGGAUAGUGGAAGCUCACCAAAGGUUCUUUGGCUCGAAGAAGUGGGGAAGGUAAUCUCUAUGUGACUAAAACCAAGUUGUGCUAUGAGGUGUUGAACAGUGCUGAAAAAGACACUUCCGUGGAAUUAUGGCACAAGAGGCUUGGGCAUAUGAGUGAGAAGGGCAUGCAUGCUCUUGUUCGCAUGUAGUACCUCCCUGAGUUGAAAGGUAUAUCCUUAAAACCCUAUGCUCAUUGGUUUGCUCGAAAACAACAUAGGGUUGCAUUUCGUACACUCCUUCCACACCGUGCAAAAAAUGUUCUUGAUAUUUGUGCACACUAAUGUUUGCUCCAUGACUGAAAAAUCUCAUCGUGGAGCAAUAUAUUUUGUGACUUUUAUUGAUGACCAUUCCAGAAAGGUUUUUGUGUAUGUGCUGAAACACAAAUACGAGACGCUUGAAGCCUUCAAGGAGUUCCAUGCCAAAGUUGAGAGAGAAACUCGCACGAAAUUGAAGUGUGUGAGAUCAGACAAUGGUGGUGAAUAUCGAGGUCCUUUUGAAAGGUAUUGUAGGAAGUUUGGCAUCAGGCUUGAGAAGAGUCCACCAAAGACACCUCAGCUCAAUGGUAUUGCAGAGAUAAUGAACAGGACACUCACACGGAGGGUCGUAGCUAUGCUCUCUCAUGCUCAUUUACCUGAUUCUUUUUGGGUUGAAGCAUUGAUGAAUGUUAUGUAUGUGGUUAACCUAUCUCCCUCAGUUCAUCUUGCAGGUGAUAUUCCUCAUAGAUUUUGGUAAGGGAAGGAGGUAUCAUACAAGAACCUGAAGGUCUUUGGUUGCAGGGCAUUUGUGCAUGUCCCAAGGGACGAGAGAUCCAAGCUUGAUAUCAACACAAAGGAGUGCAUCUACAUCGGUCAACCAAGUGAAGAGUUUGGCUACAGGUUGUGGGGUCCAGCCAACAGAAAAAUUGUGAGAAACCGGGAUAUGGUGUUCAUUGAAGAUAAGACAAUAAAAGAUAUUGGUAAACAAGAGAAGCCAAUGACCAACUCACCUGAGGUUGACAUGGAUCCAAUCCGUCCUCCUCUCAUGCAUCAAAUCAUGGGGGAGUUGAUGACAUUGAAGACAGUGAAGAUGCAACUGACCAAGGCAGUACAGGUCAGAGUGAUGAGCAGCCAUCAAAUGAUGAUGAUGAUGAAGUUGGUAAAGAUGAUGCCAACGAAAAUUCACCUGAUUCACCACCAUGGACACGAAAUUAAACAACUUGAUGUGAAGGCUGCAUUCUUGCAUGGUGACCUAGAGGAGGAGAUAUACAUGGAGCAGCCAGAAGGUUUCAUGGUUGUAGGCAAGGAGCACUUAGUUUGCAAAUUGAAGAAGAGCUUGUAUGACUUGAAGCAAGCUCCUCGGCAGUGGUACAAUAAGUUUGAGUCUUUUAUGACUCGGCUUGGUUGCCAUAAAGCACAACAUGAUCAUUGUGUCUUUAUGAAGAGGUACGCCAAGGGUGACUUCAUUAUUCUCUUGUUGUAUGUUGAUUGUUUGAAAUUUCACAAAGAUGAUUGCUCUCCUCAAUAAGACAUUGAGUAAAUCAUUUUCCAUGAAGGAUUUAGGACCAGCUAAGCAAAUACUUGGCAUGAAGAUCUCCCGUGAUAGACCAAAGAAGCUACUUUGCCUCUCACAGGAAAGAUACAUUGAGAAGGUACUUGAAAGGCUCAAUAUGGAGGAUGCAAAAUAUGUUAUCUCUCUACUUGCAGGCCAUCACAAACUAAAUUCAGAACAAUGUCCUACAAGCAAGAAGGAGAAAGAAGAUAUGAUGAAAUUACCUUACCAAUCUGCUGUGGGAAGUUUCAUGUAUGCCAUGGUAUGCACUAGGCGUGAUAUUGCCUAUGUAGUUGGAGUUGUUAACCAUUUCAUGACAAAUCCAGGUAAAGCUCAUUGGGAAGCAGUGAAGUCGAUUCUCAGGUAUCUUAAGGGAACUUCUACAUCUUGUUUAUGCUUUGGAAGUAGCGAUCAUAUAUUGUAGGGCUAUACAGAUGCAGAUUAUGUAGGUGAUAAGGAUCAUAGGAAGUCCACAUCUGGAUACCUCAUGAGCUAUGUAAGCGGAGAAGUGUCAUGGAAAUCAAGAUUGCAGAAAUGUGUUUCUACAUCAACUACAGAAAUUGAGUACAUAGCAGCAUUUGAUGCUGCCAAGGAAGUUUUGUGGAUGAAGAACUUCUUGCAAGAGCUCGGCAUGAAGCAACAGAAGUAUGUUCUGUUUUGCGAUAGUUAAAGUGAUAUCCACCUUGCUAAGAAUUCAAGCUAUAACUCUUGAACCAAGCACAUUGAUGUGAGGUAUCAUUGGAUUCGAGAUGUUGUGAGUUCCAACUUGCUGAAACUUGAGAAGACCCAUACCAAUGAUAAUGGUUCGGAUAUGAUGACCAAGAUAUUGCCAAAUGAGAAGCUAUAAGCAUGUUCCAAGGUAGCGGGAUUGGUGGUGCCCCUCUCAUGAGCCGGAGGGGGAUAUUUUUUGGGAUAUCCUCUUCAUGUGGGCUGUGAGGAGAUGACCAUUUGAGGCCUUUAGGCAGCCGAAAAGAGGUGCGGAAGGCCACUACCCAUUAGGGUUAUGACCUAGGGUCAUUUUGGUAUUUGCACGUGAGUGGAUGGGGAUGCUUUACCCUUCAUCUAGCAGCCACCAUGUAGGGUGACAAAAAUCAGUUCAGCCUCCAUUGAAGAAGAAGAGAGAAAACGAAGUGAGAAAGGGAAGAAGAGAAAGAUUGAAGGAAGAAGCAAAGGGAGCUCCUCCCCAAGGUUGUGAUGACCUAGAUCCACUACCUUGUCUCCUUCAAGCUGCGGUUCCACCAUUUUUGGUGAGAUUGUUCCAAUCGCUAGCUCUUGAGCCCCAAAUCUUGUUGUAUUCAUCCAAGAUUCAGAAAUCUUGAUGUAUGAGAUCCUCUAGUGCUGUCUAGAGAAGAAACGUGUUGUAUCCCACAUUUGAUAAUAGUGGAAGAGGAUUUGGGUGGCUUCGGUCCAUGGUUUUUUCCUCAAGUUGAGGGGUUUUCCACGUAAAAAUCGGGUGUCUCUUUUGUUGGUGCUUGUUGCUAUCCAGAAAAUUACUCCUGCCACAAGACACUUGUGUGAGGAGUGUCUUGUGUGCUGAAUAAUAUUUUCUCCUCCAUAUAUGUUGUUGCAUAUGUUUCCUUCUGUACUAACCAACGAUUAUUGAGUUAGUACGUGAUGUGGUGCUGAGAUUACUUUAUUUCUACUAUAGUUUUGAGUUAACCACAAGUGCAUUUGUUUGCUAAUUUCCAACUGUUCUCACAUACAAAAGAAAGAUCUGCGGGAUGACCUAACCAAGCAUGGCAGAAAGCCCCUAAAGAGAGUACAUAUUUUGCAGAUUGUAAGCUUCAAAGUUCGAGCUCCUAUAUUCAUGCCUAGACUCACAUGAAAUAAAAGAAGAGGAUCUAGUUAUAAUUUCUUGAAUGAUUGAGACAUAGGUAGCACACUUCCUUCCUUGAUAGCUUCAACUACAUUAUUGCAGCGUGAGGGGUGUGUGUCUUGAGUCUUGACAACAUCUAGACAGAGUAAAGAUCUCCUCACGCAACCUGGGUAGUGGGUCAGCCUAUAGGUGGUUGUUCUAUUUUUCUUUUGUCCAUGCAUUGUUUUUUUCACUUUUCUAUAUAUGUCAAAAUAAUUUAAAUAUAUAUAUUCCAAACACAAUUUAACACUUUUUUAAAAAGCUCAUUGCCCAUUUUAAAAAUGGUUAUCUAGAGAAAAAAAUUGGUCUUGCAACUUUUAUAAAAUAUUCACAACAUUCAAGGGAAUUUUUCAAAAUUUAAAAAUAAUCAAACUAUUAAAAAAUGUUAGUGAUUUUAUUUUUUUAUAGAAUUGAAAAAAUCGUUCACAUAGUUGUAAAAAGUGUUCAUAUCAAUCACCAAAUUGUUUGUCAUGUUUAAAAAUAUUAACGCUUAUCAAAAAUAUGUUUGUCACAUUUUAAAAAGGGUUUAUAAAAUGUUCGUGUCAAUUAAAGUAAAUGUUGCAUGUGCUUCCAAAAUAUGUUCAUGACAUUUAAUUAAAAUUAUUNNNNNNNNNNNNNNNNNNNNNNNNNNNNNNNNNNNNNNNNNNNNNNNNNNNNNNNNNNNNNNNNNNNNNNNNNNNNNNNNNNNNNNNNNNNNNNNNNNNNUUAUAGCAUGGAUAAUAAAUGAUUAUCAUGAACAAAGAAAUAUAAUAAUAACAAAUUUAUUAUUGCCUCAAGGGCAUAUUUCCAACAGUUAGAUGGCUUCUUCUCUCUCUUGGAUCAUCAAUACAAAGUUCUCCAUAAUCUUCAUGGAGAUCUAUCCGAUGUAAUCUUCUUUUGCGGUGUGUUUGUCGAGAUCCGAUGAAUUGUGGAUUUAUGAUCAGAUUAUAUAUGAAUCUUAUUUGAGUUUCUUCUGAUCUCUCUUAUGCAUGAUUUCANNNNNNNNNNCUACGGGUCCAUAGCUAGUAGCUAGAUGACUUCUUCUCUCUCUUGGAUCUUCGAUACAAAGUUCUCCAUGAUCUUCACGGAGAUCUAUCCGAUGUAAUCUUCUUUUGCGGUGUGUUUUUCGAGAUCCGAUGAAUUGUGGAUUUAUGAUCAUAUUAUCUAUGAAUCUUAUUUGAGUUUCUUCUGAUCUCUCUUAUGCAUGAUUUCAUAUCCUUGUAAUUCUUUACGAGUUGUGGGUUUUGUUUGGCCAACUAGAUCUAUGAUUCUUGCAAUGGGAGAAGUGCUUGGUUUUGGGUUCAUACCGUGCGGUGACCUCACCCAGUGACAGAAGGGGUAGCGAGGCACGCAUCGUGUUGUUGCCAUCAAGGGUAAAAAGAUGGGAUUUUCAUCAUUGGUUUGAGAUUAUCCCUCUACAUCAUAUCAUCUUGCUUAAGGCGUUACUCUGUUCGUCAUGAACUCAAUACACUAGAUGCAUGCUCGANNNNNNNNNNNNNNNNNNNNNNNNNNNNNNNNNNNNNNNNNNNNNNNNNNNNNNNNNNNNNNNNNNNNNNNNNNNNNNNNNNNNNNNNNNNNNNNNNNNNAUAUAUAUAUAUAUGUGUGUGUGUGUGUGUGUGUGUGUGUGUGUGUGUAUGUGUGUGUGUUUGUCAGUAACUUAUCAAUUACACUUAUAAGUGAAUGGACACAACAGAGUAAAGACCCUCACCUGAAGUUGUAUGGAAACAGUAUGUGGUCACAUAAAUUUUGAUCUAUUAGAAACCUUAGAAGGUUUUCCUCCAUCUCCUUGGGUUUAUCACUUAGCAUCGCUAUAUGUAUUUUAUCUGGGUCAAUAAACCCAAUAUUUAGGAUGGUCUUACUUUUACAAUCUAGAAUCUUCAUUCUGCAUAAUAGAGUACAAGUUAUAUAUAGACAAUGAAUUGAAAUAACUAAACAAGUUAUAUGUAGACAACGAAUUGAAAAACUUACAGACAAUAGCAACUCAUAAGCGAUUUGUCGAGGGCGUCGUCAUUGUACAUCUGUAAGAGUUCAUCAAAGUCGAUAUGGAUUUCUUUGGAGCGGCCGUAGUACUCCCGUGGGACACUCAGCACGAUCAUCGUUCUCCCAUUCUUUGAUUCACUUAAGUACCAUUGAUGCAAGUAAUGCAUAUUUGUUGGGAGAUCAUCUUUGCUGACCAAAGGCUCUCCCAUGACAAACUGUGGCUUAGGGGCUACCACAGCCUUGGGUAUCCUGUCGUCUUGGGAAGCCAGCAAAUCUUCAACCGAGCUACUGUUAGGGAACGUAGCAUAAAUUCAAAAAAAUUUCCUACGCAUGUUCAGAUCUUCCUAUGGAGAGACCAGCAACGAGAGAGGGGUAAGAGCAUCUUCGUACCUUUGAAGAUCGCUAAGCGGAAGUGUUGCUAGAACGCGGUUGAUGGAGUAGUACUCGCAGCGAUUCCGAUCUAGUGCCGAACAACGGCACCUCCGCGUUCAACACACGUGCAGCCCGGUGACGUCUCCCGCACCUUGAUCCAGCAAGGAGGAGGGAGAGGUUGGGGAAGAAGACCAGCAACACGACGGCGUGGUGUUGGUGGAGAGACGAGGUCUCCCGGUAGGGCUUCGCCAAGCGCCGGCAGAGAGGAGGAGGGAGAGGAGCAGGGCUGCGCCGAGAGAGAGAGAUUCAACCGUGUCUCAAACAGCGCCGAACCUCAUCUAUAUAUAGGGGAAGAGGGAGGGGGCGCAGCCCUUAGGGUUCCCACCCCUAAGGGGUGCGGCAGCCCUUAGAUGGGAGAGGGGUGGCGGCCAGGGCAAGGGGGAGGGGUGGCGCACCCCUCUGGUGGGCCUAAGGCCCACCUUAGUUAGGGUUCCCCCCCCUUUCCCCCUUUUUUUGGUGCACAUGGGCUGGGUGGGGGGCGCACCAGCCCACUUAGGGGCUUGUUCCCUUCACCACUUAGCCCAUCUAGCCUCCCGGGGUCGUCACCCCCCUUCGGUGGUCCCCCGGGACCACCUCCGGUGGUCCCGGUGAUGCCCGAAACACUUCCGGUGUCCAAAACCAUCCGUCCUAUAUAUCAAUCUUUACCUCCGGACCAUUCCGGAGCUCCUCGUGACGUCCGGGAUCUCAUCCGGGACUCCGAACAACUUUCGGUAAUCUCGUAUAACNNNNNNNNNNGUCCCGGUACGUUACCGGUGAUGCCCGAAACACUUCCGGUGUCCGAAACCAUCUGUCCUAUAUAUCAAUCUUUACCUCCGGACCAUUCCGAAGCUCCUCGUGACGUACGGGAUCUCAUCCGGGACUCCGAACAACUUUCGGUAAUCUCGUAUAACAAUUCCCUAUAACCCUAGCGUCAUCGAACCUUAAGUGUGUAGACCCUAUGGGUUCGGGAGACAGGCAGACAUGACCGAGACACCUCUCUGGCCAAUAACCAUCAGCGGGGUCUGGAUACCCAUGGUGGCUCCCACUAGCUCCACGAUGAUCUCAUCGGAUGAACCACGNNNNNNNNNNNNNNNNNNNNNNNNNNNNNNNNNNNNNNNNNNNNNNNNNNNNNNNNNNNNNNNNNNNNNNNNNNNNNNNNNNNNNNNNNNNNNNNNNNNNCGAGCUCCGCAGAAACGCGAUCUAGAGGAAAAACCGUGGAGGUAUGUGGUCGGGCUGCCGUGGCAAAAGUUGUCUCAAAUCAGCCCUAAAACCCCACUAUAUAUACUAGGGAGGGAGGGGAGGAGGCAGCCUCAAAACCUAAAGGUUUGGCCGAAAUUGGAGGUGGAGGAGUCCUACUCCAAUCCUACUUGGAGUAGGAUUCCACCUUCCCACUUGGAAACUCUUUCCACCUUGUGUUUUUUCCUUCUCAAACCUUAUGGGCCUUAGUGGGAACUUAUUCCAGACCACUAGGGGCUGGUUUAUCUCUUCCCAUAGCCCAUGAGACCCCUUGGGGCGUGACAACCCUCCUGAUGGUCCCCGGCACCCCUCCCGGCACUCCCGGUACACUACCGAGGAGCCCAAAACUUUUCCGGUAAUGCCCGAAAACUUUCCGGUAACCAAAUGAGGUCAUCCUAUAUAUCAAUCUUCGUCUCCGGACCAUUCCGGAAACCCUCGUGACGUCCGUGAUCCCAUCCGGGACUCCGAACAACAUUUGGUAACCAACCAUAUAACUCAAAUACGUAUAAAACAUCGUCGAACCUUAAGUGUGCANNNNNNNNNNCGCAUAUUGGAUCCUACAUAUUCCGAAGAUCUUUAUCAGUUGAACCUCAGUGCCAAGGAUUCAUAUAAUCCCGUAUGUCAUUCCCUUNNNNNNNNNNUGCAUAUUGGAUCCUACAUAUUCCGAAGAUCUUUAUCGGUUGAGCCUCAGUGCCAAGGAUUCAUAUAAUCCCGUAUGUCAUUCCCUUUGUCCUUCGGUAUGUUACUUGCCCGAGACUAGAUCGUCGGUAUCCGCAUACCUAUUUCAAUCUCGUUUACCAGCAAGUCUCUUUACUCGUUCUGUAAUACAAGAUCCCGUGACUUACGCUAAGUCACAUUGCUUGCAAGGCUUGUGUGUGAUGUUGUAUUACCGAGNNNNNNNNNNNNNNNNNNNNNNNNNNNNNNNNNNNNNNNNNNNNNNNNNNNNNNNNNNNNNNNNNNNNNNNNNNNNNNNNNNNNNNNNNNNNNNNNNNNNCUCGGUAAUACAACAUCACACACAAGCCUUGCAAGCAAUGUGACUUAGUGUAAGUUGCGGGAUCUUGUAUUACGGAACGACUAAAGAGACUUGCCGGUAAACGAGAUUGAAAUAGGUAUGUGGAUAUUGACGAUCUAGUCUCGGGCAAGUAACAUACCGAAGGACAAAGGGAAUGANNNNNNNNNNCUGACUUCGUGUAAGUUGCGGGAUCUUGUAUUACGGAACGAGUAAAGAGACUUGCCGGUAAACGAGAUUGAAAUAGGUAUGUGGAUACUGACGAUCGAAUCUCGAGCAAGUAACAUACCGAAGGACAAAGGGAAUGACAUACGGGAUUAUAUGAAUCCUUGGCACUGAGGUUCAAACAAUAAGAUCUUCGUAGAAUAUGUAGGAUCCAAUAUGGGCAUCCAGGUCCCACUAUUGGAUAUUGAUCGAGGAGUCUCUCGGGUCAUGUCUACAUAGUUCUCGAACCCGCAGGGUNNNNNNNNNNGCUAUUGGAUAUUGACCGAGGAGUCUCUCGGGUCAUGUCUACAUUGUUCUCGAACCCACAGGGUCUGCACACUUAAGGUUCGACGUUGUUUUAUGCGUAUUUGAGUUAUAUGGUUGGUUACCGAAUGUUGUUCGGAGUCCUGGAUGAGAUCACGGACGUCACGAGGGCUUCCGGAAUGGUCCGGAAACGAAGAUUGAUAUAUAGCAUGACCUCAUUUGAUUACCGGAAGGUUUUCGGAGUUACCGGGAAUGUACCGGGAAUGACGAAUGGGUUCCGGGAGUUCACCGGGGGGGGGGCAACCCACCCCGGGGAAGCCCAUAGGCCUUGAGGGUGGCGCACCAGCCCUUAGUGGGCUGGUGGGACAGCCCAAAAGGGCCCUAUGCGCAUUGGAAGAAAAAUCAAAGAGAAAAAAAAGGAGGAGGUGGGAAGGGAAGGAAGGACUCCCACCCACCAAANNNNNNNNNNUUUCUGGAAUGGUCCGGAAACGAAGAUUGAUAUAUAGGAUGACCUCAUUUGAUUACCGGAAGGUUUUCGAAGUUACCGGGAAUGUACCGGGAAUGACGAAUGGGUUCCGGGAGUUCACCGGGGGGGCAACCCACCCCGGGGAAGCCCAUAGGCCUUGAGGAUGGCGCACCAGCCCUUAGUGGGCUGGUGGGACAGCCCAAAAGGGCCCUNNNNNNNNNNCCGAUUUGGGGGGGGGAGACCUUCCCCCCUUAGCUCGGUCGACCCCCUUGGGGCUCCUUGAGCCCCAAGGCAAGGCCCCCCCUCUCCCACCUAUAUAUACGGAGGUUUUAGGGCUGAUUUGAGACGACUUUUCCACGGCAGCCCGACCACAUACCUCCACGGUUUUUCCUCUAGAUCGCGNNNNNNNNNNUGAAAGAAAAAAAGGAGGAGGUGGGAAGGGAAGGAAGGACUCCCACCCACCAAACCAAGUCCAACUAGGUUUGGGGGGGAGACCUUCCCCCCUUGGCUCGGCCGACCCCCUUGGGGCUCCUUGAGCCCCAAGGCAAGUCCCCCCCUCUCCCACCUAUAUAUACGGAGGUUUUAGGGCUGAUUUGAGNNNNNNNNNNNNNNNNNNNCGGAGCAUCGUCACGCUGCCGGAGAACUCUUCUACCUCUCCGUCUCUCUUGCUGGAUCAAGAAGGCCGAGAUCAUCGUCGAGCUGUAUGUGUGCUGAACGCGGAGGUGUCGUCCGUUCGGUACUAGAUCGUGGGAUUGUNNNNNNNNNNNNNNNNNNNNNNNNNNNNNNNNNNNNNNNNNNNNNNNNNNNNNNNNNNNNNNNNNNNNNNNNNNNNNNNNNNNNNNNNNNNNNNNNNNNNGUAUCUCGGGGCCCACUCGGUAAUACAACAUCACACACAAGCCUUGCAAGCAAUGUGACUUAGUGUAAGUUGCGGGAUCUUGUAUUACGGAACGACUAAAGAGACUUGCCGGUAAACGAGAUUGAAAUAGGUAUGUGGAUAUUGACGAUCUAGUCUCGGGCAAGUAACAUACCGAAGGACAAAGGGAAUGACAUACGGGAUUAUAUGAAUCCUUGGCACUGAGGUUCAAACGAUAAGAUCUUCGUAGAAUAUGUAGGAUCCAAUAUGGGCAUCCAGGUCCCACUAUUGGAUAUUGAUCGAGGAGUCUCUCGGGUCAUGUCUACAUAGUUCUCGAACCCGCAGGGUCUGCACACUUAAGGUUCGACGUUGUUUUAUGCGUAUUUGAGUUAUAUGGUUGGUUACCGAAUGUUGUUCGGAGUCCCGGAUGAGAUCACGGACGUCACGAGGGUUUCCGGAAUGGUCCGGAAACGAAGAUUGAUAUAUAGGAUGACCUCAUUUGAUUACNNNNNNNNNNNNNNNNNNNNNNNNNNNNNNNNNNNNNNNNNNNNNNNNNNNNNNNNNNNNNNNNNNNNNNNNNNNNNNNNNNNNNNNNNNNNNNNNNNNNGAGUGGGCCCCGAGAUACCUCUCCGUCACACGGAGUGACAAAUCCCAGUCUCGAUCCAUACUAACUCAACGAACACCUUCGGAGAUACCUGUAGAGCAUCUUUAUAGUCACCCAGUUACGUCGCGACGUUUGAUACACACAAAGCAUUCCUCCGAUGUCAGUGAGUUAUAUGAUCUCAUGGUCAUAGGAACAAAUACUUGACACGUAGAAAACAGUAGCAACAAAAUGACACGAUCAACAUGCUACGUCUAUUAGUUUGGGUCUAGUCCAUCACAUGAUUCUCCUAAUGAUGUGAUCCCGUUAUCAAGUGACAACACUUGCCUAUGGUCAGGAAACCUUGACCAUCUUUGAUCAACGAGCUAGUCAACUAGAGGCUUACUAGGUACAGUGUUUUGUCUAUGUAUCCACACAUGCACUGUGUUUCCAAUCAAUACAAUUAUAGCAUGGAUAAUAAAUGAUUAUCAUGAACAAAGAAAUAUAAUAAUAACAAAUUUAUUAUUGCCUCAAGGGCAUAUUUCCAACAGUUAGAUGGCUUCUUCUCUCUCUUGGAUCAUCAAUACAAAGUUCUCCAUAAUCUUCAUGGAGAUCUAUCCGAUGUAAUCUUCUUUUGCGGUGUGUUUGUCGAGAUCCGAUGAAUUGUGGAUUUAUGAUCAGAUUAUAUAUGAAUCUUAUUUGAGUUUCUUCUGAUCUCUCUUAUGCAUGAUUUCAUAUCCUUGUAAUUCUUUACGAGUUGUGGGUUUUGUUUGGCCAACUAGAUCUAUGAUUCUUGCAAUGGGAGAAGUGCUUGGUUUUGGGUUCAUACCGUGCGGUGACCUCACCCAGUGACAGAAGGGGUAGCGAGGCACGCAUCGUGUUGUUGCCAUCAAGGGUAAAAAGAUGGGAUUUUCAUCAUUGGUUUGAGAUUAUCCCUCUACAUCAUAUCAUCUUGCUUAAGGCGUUACUCUGUUCGUCAUGAACUCAAUACACUAGAUGCAUGCUCGAUAGCGGUCGAUGUGUGGAGUAAUAGUAGUAGAUGCAGAAAGUAUCGGUCUACUUGUCUCGGACGUGAUGCCUAUAUGUAUGAUCAUUGCCUUAGAUAUCCUCAUGACUUUGCGCGGUUCUAUCAAUUGCUCGACAGUAAUUUGUUCACCCACCGUAAUAUUUGCUAUUUUGAGAGAAGCCUCUAGUGAACACUAUGGCCCCCGGGUGUCACAUCCCUGACACUUCAGCAAGUUAGUCUUGUGCUCAUGUCUUCUUUGCAUUUGCAUCUAAGAAUUUUUCAACAAGAACAAGAAAGUGGCAAAGGAAAAACUCAAAACCCUAGCCACUACUUUAACUAAAGAAAAUCUCAAACUAGUUGAAAUCAAUGAACCCAAAAUGGCCUCAAGAAAUGUUCAAACUUUCUGAUAAAUCAUGAAAGUAAAUGAGCAUUGGAGAAAACUAUUUUUCUUGACACUUUAAGCAUUUAAAUUAAUGCAAGGGCCACUGGUUUCAAACUUUAAAUUUGAAAUCAGAAACUAUAAAUUUUCAAAAAUGUUGAAAACUUUGGAAAUGGAUGGGAAUAUUAUAACAAAUAAUCAGGUGUGCCUAAAAUAAUUUUUACCAUCUUUUUGGAGCUGAAAUAAAUAGCAAAACAAUAGUUAGCAAAACAGAAAAACAAAAACAGAAAAAAAAUGGGAAACUCUUACCUAUCGCCUAGCCUGGCCCGGCCCAUCUCCCUGGCUCGUCCCCUCCCUCGCGCCAGUAGGAGCAGGAGGUGGCCGCCGCCUCCUCGGGCGCGGCCACGCACCUGUGCGCCUGCCUGGCCGCCGCCUCGCGCUGGCAAGGCCGGGGAUAAGCUCCCCGAGGCCUCCUCUAUCCAUUCCCAGCGCUAAUUCUCUCCCUCCUCUCGGAUCUUGCCCUCCUUCCUGCUGCCGCCAUUGGAGCUGAGCUCGAGCUCGAGCCGCAGCACCUCUAGCCAUGGGAACCCUCCUCCGAGUAGUCCGUUAGCUCCGCCUCGUCGCCCUGGUCAUCUCUGCAGAAGCCGAAGCUCCCCCGAGCUCUGCAUCGCCCCCAACGCCGUCGUCUUCCACGUCCGGCCGCCGGACCUCUUCCGUCGAUUCGCUCCCUCCGGCACAUCCCCGAGCCCCUCAACAGCACCAUCGGAACCGCCGUGAGCUCGUCGCCAUUUCCCCUCUUCCCCCACGCUCUCCCGUGCAUCUUAGCCUCGUUCCUCGCCAAGGUCGAGAGCUUCUCGCCGCCGGUCAUGUCGUCCCCGUCGCUGUGGUGUCUGAUCCACGCGCUCGAGCUAGGAUUCGAGCUCCUGGAGCCUCCAGGAGUGCGAUGAGCCCUCCAGCUGACCUCCCCGUGCCCUAGAGUCAUCGCUCGUAGAAGGCCGUAGCUGCAAACCGCGUUCGAAUUGGUGCUGUGCAGCGCCGAUUAGGUCGCCUCCGGCGAGCCCUCCGCCGCAGACUUGGUCGCCGGCGACCACCCUCCGGUGGGCGUCGACGUGGCCGACCAUUAGGGCGUAAUUGCCCUCCCCUCAGUCGCUGCCAGAGGGCCCCACGCCUGGUCAAACCCCAAUUAGGGGCUGGUCAGCGCGGGAUUAGUCCCAGAGAGGCUGACCAGAGGGGCCCCCCUGUCAGGUUUGACCUGAACAGGUCGGCUGACCUGCUGACGUCAGCCUGAUGCAAUAAAUAGAAUUUCCAGUAUAGAAAUAAUUCCAGUAAAUUGCUAAAACUUGUAAAAAUCAUAGAAAUUAAUCUGUAACUCCAAUGAAAAUAAUUUAUAUAUGAAAAAGUAUCAGAAAAAUUCAAGGAUUCUGAUUAUGCUAUUUUCAACCAUGUUUGAAAAAAAGUUACAGAACCCUAAAUUGUGGAAUAAGGAAUAAUUCAAUUCUUAUAAUUACUUUUAAAUGGAAUUUGGAAAAAUAUUCAAAUUUCAUUAUGAAUGCAAUGAUCACACACUUUCCUAGUUACAAAUCAGUACCAUAACAUGACAUCUCAUGCAUGCUAACAUCAAGUUGAUCUGGGCAUCAGGUCGAAUCAAUUUAAACGGUGCCCGAGAAUACCCCGUUUGAAUUGCUAUUCGAAUGUGAUUCAAAUCAACUCUAAACCUAAUACAUGUUGAAAAUAAUAACUUAUCACUUUGCAUUCUCAUGCCAUGCUCAUGCAUCAUUUUGAUUGCAUAUGAUUGUUAUUGAAUGUUGCCAUUUAUUUCGGUAGGCUCCGCAACCCCGGAUUCCACCGAAUAUCCGUGUGACGGAUAUCGUUCCUCCUCUGAGCAACAAGGCAAGCAACCCUUUUGAUCAUCCCGAUAAAUCCCAUGUUCUUGCUCCUGCACCUAUUUAUUGCAUUUAAGAUCAAAUGCUUCAACUGCUUUUGCCACGAUAGUUGAACCCACUUCCUUUGCAUGACCUAACUUUGUCACAGUAAAUAGCCGAACCUUGCAACCUAGCAUACCUGGUAGCUGCUUGAGCUAUGAUGUGCCUUAUCCUGCUAUGCAUGCUAUGCUUAGAGUUGUGUAUGGUCUGUCAUCUGGGAGAUGAACAGAAAUGUGGAAUGUGUUCGGUGAGCAAAGGUUGUGUGUUGAACUUGAUUUGGUAAAGGUACCGGUGAAAGGCUGUGUAGGAGUACAUGGCGGGUUGUUUCAUUGGAACCGUCCUUAGGAACUGAGUUCCGUGUAUGUAAUCCAAGACUAGAUACUACCACAUGCUGGGCCCUGAAAUAUGACCCCGCUCGGCCUAUUAAUCGCGUAGUACUCGGUCCAGGAGUUGCAAGUAGUUUCUAGUGUUUAUAGUAAUGCUGGAGGCCGUGCAUGGUGCUGACCUAAGAGGUGGGCCGUGAUGCGGUAGGCAGUGGCACGGUGUACCAAGUGGCACCCGAAUGGUGGGCUUGGGAACCCUGCGCACAUCGUUUCAGGCCGUGGCGGAAACCUCGGCCGGACUUCCGUACAGGUUACUCUCAGAUAGGCGAUAAACCUGGACUAGGUACUAGUGUGGUUAACGGUCGUGGCCGAUUCCCUCGCUGGGCUUCCGCUUGAAGGUUGCCGAGGUGCAUGACGUGCACAUGGCGAUAAGUGGCGAGAGCGUGAGUGACGAAGUACACCCCUGCAGGGUUAUGAUCUAUUCGAAUAGCCGCGUCCGCGGAUAUGGACUACUUGGAGACAUAUGUUGUUCAUAGAUAACUUCAAUGGCUACUCAUAAAAUUGUCAAGAUAAGUGUGAGUGUCGUGGACGGCAUUUCCGUAUGGAGACGGAAUGAUUCCACGAUAGUGUAUUGUUGUGGUGUUAGUGGACUCGUGUGCGAGAAAUCAAGUUGUCAAAAUUAUUUGAAAAUGCAAGUUGUCUAGCCACGAGUCAAAUGCUGGCUUUCCGCAUGAAACCCCACAAUACCUUUUGAUACCUUGCAUGAGUAGUUAGUUCUCCUAAAGUCUUGCUGAGUACCUUCGUACUCAUGUUUGUUUAAUAACUGUUGCAGAGGUUGCUAAUGACCCUAAUGGAGGGUUCUUCGUAGACAUCGACGACGACGAGUAGCUGGUGUCCCAGCUACGAUCUGGCCCUACGUCGGCUCUGUAGUAUAGUCAGGCCAUGUGCCUUCUAGUUGCCCUGUCUGUACCCAGACAGUUUAUAACUCUUCCGCUGGCUUGUAAUUGUAUGACUGCUAUUAUGGGUCGUGAGACCCUUAAUGUGUAAUAUUAUGUGUGUGGCUCUUCCGAGCCUCUUAAAUAAAGGUUGUAUGUUUAUGGUUAUGUUGUGAUGCCAUCGAUGUAUCUAUACAUAUCGGUAUGCCAUGCGUACAUGUGUCGUACUUGAUAUGUAUGGGGUUCGAUUACUUAGUCGUGAACUUUAGUAGCACUCCUUACAAGGAAAUGCCCCUUUGUGAUCCAACGAGCCUUAGUAGUUCGCUACUGCUCCGGACACAAUGGUUGACCGGCAUGUGUCCUUCUUAGCUGCUGUGUCUGUCUCCUUUGGGGAAAUGUCACGCGAUGUAAUGGAGUCCUUGUAGCUUGCUACGACUCGUCUACAUUCGCUGAUGACCGACACCUGCUUUGUUGGGUCAUGUAUGUGUGUCCUUGUGCGGUACUGCCACUUUGGUUUAUGACUAGACAUGUCGAUCCGGGUUCUUUGACAUUGGAUUGCUAGCGACACCUUCGCAUACGUGAGUCAAAAGACGCAAACGGUCCUGGCUAAGGUAAGGCUGCAGCCGUGGAGUUAACUGUGCGUGAGACCACAAAGGGAUGCGAUGUGUUACAGGCUGGAUUCCUAUGGCUUAGGAUCGGGGUCCCGACACCGGGUCUAGUCCACACCAUAUUUUCAGCCUUAUACUUUUUCUUCCUUGCACUUUUCGCCUUCAUAUCUCACUUUGCUAUCAAUCUUGAAAGGAUUGACAACCCCUUUAUAGCGUUGGGUGCAAGCUCUUUGUGUUUGGGCAGGUACUCUGGACUUGACGAGAUUCUCCUACUGGAUUGAUACCUUGGUUCUCGAACUGAGGGAAAUACUUACUGCUCCUGUGCUGCAUCACCCUUUCCUCUUCAAGGGAAAAACCGACGCAAGCAAGAGAAGUAGCAAGAAGAAUUCCUGGCAUUGCCGGGGAAGGACUUUUGUUGCCGUAGCAGAAGAAUUUCUGGCGCCGUUGCCGGGGAGGAUCAAGUCAAGAACUCAUCCAAGUAAGUGUCGCAAAAUCAUCUCUUGCAUUUACUUUGUUUGCCAGUUGUCUCUCGUUUUCCUCUCCCCCACUUCACCAAUUUGCCUUGUUCGUUCGCCUCUUCGUUCGCCUUUUUUCUCUCUUGCUCUUUGUUCGCUUGUGUGCUUGACAUUGAUUGCAAUCCUACAUGCCCUAUUAUUCUUGGUAGACCUUUCCUAAGGACUAUCGGUGCUAUCAUCGAUAUGAAGGAAGGGAAUAUUAGAUUUCAAUUUCCUUUAAAGAAGGGCAUGGAGCACUUUCCUAGAAAGAAAAUAAGAUUGCCUUAUGAAUCCAUGAUGAGGGCCACUUAUGGUUUGAGCACCAAAGACGACGAUACGUGAUUCUAUCGCUUUUAUGCCUAGCUAGGGGUGUUAAACAAUAGCGCUUGUUGGGAGGCAACCCAAUGAAUUUAUCUUUUUCUUUCUGUUUUGUUGCGUCCACACUUUCAUAAUUCUGUUGUGAUUGUGUUUUUGUGUUUUUGUGUGUUUGAGCCAAACAAAACCUUUAUGACUAGUCUUGGUAAUGGUUGUUUGAUCCUGCUGGAAAAAGACAGAAACUUUUCGCUCACGAGAUGAUUUUGAAUUUUUAUUCAGAAAGAGCUUUUGAGUUGAUUCUUUUUGCUGCUGGUUGAUAUGCCUUUUUCCCAGUCAGCCGUAAGUUUUCAGAAUUUUUGAGGUACCAUAAGUAUACGAAGUAUACAUAUUGCUACAGACUGGUCUGUUUUUGACAGAUUCUGUUUUUGUUGAGUUGGUUGCUUGUUUUGAUGAAACUAUGGUUAGUAUCGGGGGGUACUAGCCAUGGAAAAGUGAGAAUACAGUAGCCCAACACAAAUAUAGAUAUAAUUCAAGUUUGCUAUAGUACCAAAAGAGGUGGUAGUUUGUUUUCUUGUGCUAAUGUUAUCACGAGUUUCUAUUUAAGUUUUGGGUUGUGAAGUUUUCAAGUUUUGGGUGAUGUUUUCAUGGACAAAGAGAUAAGGAGUGGAAAGAGCUCAAGGUUGGGGAUGCCCAAGGCAUCCCAAGCCAAAAUCAAGGACACCAAAAAGCCUAAGCUUGGGGAUGCCCCGGGAAGGCAUCCCCCCUUUCGUCUUCAAUCCAUCGGUAACAUUACUUGGAGCUAUAUUUUUAUUCACCACAUGAUAUGUGUUUUGCUUGGAGCAUCUUGUACCUUAGGAGUCUUUUCUUUUUGUUCUGUCACAAUCAUCCUUGCUGCACACCUUUUUGAGAGAGAGACAUGCACUCAUCGUGAUUUUGCUAGAAUGCUCAUAGUGCUUCACUUAUAUCUUUUGAGCUAGAUAAUUUUGCUCUAUGUGCUUCACUUAUAUCUUUUAGAGCACGGCGGUGCGUUACUUGGUAGUUGGCUUAUGCUAUGAAAGUAGUCCCAAAGGUGAUAGGUACCCAAAGAGGAUACAAAACCUCCAUCUUCAUGUGCAUUGAGUAGAAAGAGAAGUUUUUGAUUCCUCUCAAAUAGUUUUGAGACGUGGAAUUGGUAAUAUUAAGAGUUAUGUUAGUAAGGUGUUGUGAAUCUAGAAAUACUUGUGCUGAAGUUAGUGAUUCCCGUAGCAUGCACGUAUGGUGAACCGCUAUGUUAGGAAGUCGGAGCAUAAUUGAUCUAUUGAUUGUGAUCCUUUGUGUUGAGGUCGGGAUCGCGCGAUGGUUAACACCUACCAACCCUUCCCCUAGGAGUAUGCGUUUAGCACUUUGUUUUGAGUACUAAUAAAAACUUUCGCAACAAGUAUCUGAGUUCUUCAUGACUAAUGUGAGUCCAUGGUAUAGAUGCACUUUCACCUUCCACCAUUGCUAGCCUCUCUAGUGCCGCGCAAUUCUCGUCGGUACACAAACCCACCAAAUGCCUCCCUCAAAACAGCCACCAUAUCUACCUACUAUGGCAUUUUCAUAGCCAUUCCGAGAUAUAUUGCCAUGCAACUCCCACCAUUCCGUCUCAUGACUUGUGUCGUCACUCUCAUAUUGCCAUUGCAUGAUCGUAAGAUAGCUAGCGAGAUGUUUCAACGUCAUACGCCAAGCUAGAUCGUUGCACAUCCCGGUACACUACCGGAGGCAUUUCCUAUAGAGUCAUUUCUAAGCUUUGAGUUGUGAGUAAAUAAAAGUGUGAUGAUCAUCAUUAUUAGAGCAUUGUCCCAUGUGAGCAAUAAAAAAUAGGCCAAAGUGCCCAAAAAAAGAGAAAAGAGAAAAAAGAGGCCCAAGAGCCCAAAUAAAAAAAAGAGAAGAGAGAAAAAGAGAGAAGGGACAAUGCUACUUUUUUUUCCACACUUGUGCUUUGUAAUUGCACCAUGUUCUUCAUGUUUGAGAGCCUCUCGUUUCGUCACCACCAUAUGCUAGUGGGAAUCUUCAUUAUGUAACUUGGCUUGUAUAUUCCAAUGAUGGGCUUCCUCAAAAUUGUCCUAGGUCUUUGUGAGCAACCAAGUUGGAUGCACACCCACUAGUUCUACUUUUGAGCUUUCACAUACUUAUAGCUCUAGUGCACCCCUUGUAUGGCAAUCCCUACUCAUUCACAUUGAUAUCUAUUAAUGGGCAUCUCCAUAGCCCUUUGAUACGCCGAGUCAAUGUGACCAUCUCCUCCUUUUUUGUCUCACAACCACCACCACACUCUAUUCCACCUAUAGUGCUAUAUCCAUGGCUCACGCUCAUGUAUUGCGUGAUAGUUACAAAAAGUUUGAGAAAGUAAGAGUGCGAAAACAAUUACUUGGCCAAUACCGGGGUUGUGCAUGAUUUACAUUCGUUGUGUGAGGAUGAUGGAGCAUAGCCAGACUAUAUGAUUUUGUAGGGAUAACUUUCUUUGGCCUUGUUAUUUUGAAAGUUCAUGAUUACCUUGCUAGUUUGCUUGAAGUAUUAUUGUUUUCAUGUCAAUAGCAAACUAUUGUUUUGAAUCUCACGGAUAUGAAAAUUCAUGUCACAUGAAAGAAGUUGCAAAGGACAACUAUGAUAGGUAGCAUUCCACAUCAAAAAUUAAUUCUUUAUCACUUCCCUACUCGAGGACGAGAAGGAGUUAAGCUUGGGGAUGCUUGAUACGUCUCCAAUGUAUCUAUAAUUUUUGAUGGUUUCAUGCUAUUAUCUUGUCAAAAUUUGGAUGUUUUGCAUGCCUUUUAUAUAUUUUUUGGGACAAACUUAUUAACUCAGUGUCAAGUGCCAGUUCCUGUUUUUUCCAUGUUUUUGACCCCUUUCAGAGGAGGAUUUUGAACGGAGUCCAAACGGAAUGAAACUGCCAAAAAUAUUUUUUCCGAAACAGAAAAAGAUCGGGAAGCCGGAGAAUCAUGGCAGGGGGCCUGUAGGGACCCCACAAGCCAUCAUGGCGCGGCCAGGGGGCCCGCGCCUCCCUGGCUUGUGGGCUCCCUGGACCACCUCUACCCUAGGUUUUGCGCCUAUAUAUUCCCUAAAAUCCCAGAAAAAAUCAGGAGAUCAUCGAAAGUACUUUUCCGCCGCCGCAAGCUUCUAUCUCCGCAAGAUCCCAUCUGGGGCACGUUCUGGUGCCCUGUCGGAGGGGGGAUUCGGACACGGAGGGCUUCUUCAUCAACACCAUGACCUCUCCGAUGAUGCGUGAGUAGUUCACCAUAGACCUACGGGUCCAUAGCUAGUAGCUAGAUGACUUCUUCUCUCUCUUGGAUCUUCGAUACAAAGUUCUCCAUGAUCUUCACGGAGAUCUAUCCGAUGUAAUCUUCUUUUGCGGUGUGUUUUUCGAGAUCCGAUGAAUUGUGGAUUUAUGAUCAUAUUAUCUAUGAAUCUUAUUUGAGUUUCUUCUGAUCUCUCUUAUGCAUGAUUUCAUAUCCUUGUAAUUCUCUUCGAGUUGUGGGUUUUGUUUGGCCAACUAGAUCUAUGAUUCUUGCAAUGGGAGAAGUGCUUGGUUUUGGGUUCAUACCGUGCGAUGACCUCACCCAGUGACAGAAGGGGUAGCGAGGCACGCACCGUGUUGUUGCCAUCAAGGGUAAAAAUAUGGGGUUUUCAUCAUUGGUUUGAGAUUAUCCCUCUACAUCAUGUCAUCUUACUUAAGGCGUUACUCUGUUUGUCAUGAACUCAAUACACUAGAUGCAUGCUGGAUAGCCAUCGAUGUAUGGAGUAAUAGUAGUAGAUGCAGAAAGUAUCGGUCUACUUGUCUCGGACGUGAUGCCUAUAUGUAUGAUCAUUGCCUUAGAUAUCUUCAUGACUUUGCGCGGUUCUAUCAAUUGCUCAACAGUAAUUUAUUCACCCAUCGUAAUAUCUGCUAUUUUGAGAGAAGCCUCUAGUGAACACUAUGGCCCCCAGGUUUACUCCGCACCAUAUUUUCCGCCUUACACUUUUCCUUCGUUGCACUUUCCGCCUUCUGAUCUCCCUUUGCAAUCAAUCUUGAAGGGACUGACAACCCCUUUAUAGCGUUGGGUGCAAGCUCUUUGUGUUUGGGCACGUACUCUGGACUUGACGAUAUUCUCCUACUGGAUUGAUACCUUGGUUCUCAAACUAAGGGAAAUACUUACUGCUCCUGUACUGCAUCACCCUUUCCUCUUCAAGGGAAAAACUGACGCAAGCAAUAGAAGUAGCAAGAAGAAUUCCUGGCAUUCCCGGGGAAGGACUUUUGUUGCCGUAGGAAUCAUCACGUGAGUUGAGUAAAGUUUCAGUGGUAAACAUCUCUAUGCUAAUCGUAUCAACUAUACGAUUCAUGCUCGACCUUUCGGUCUCUUGUGUUCCGAGGCCAUGUCUGCACAUGCUAGGCUCGUCAAGUUUAACCCGAGUGUUCCGCGUGUGCAACUGUUUUGCACCCGUUGUAUGUGAACGUUGAGUCUAUCACACCCGAUCAUCACGUGGUGUCUCGAAAUGACGAACUGUCGCAACGGUGCACAGUCGGGGAGAACACAAUUUUAUCUUGAAAUUUUAGUGAGGGAUCACCUUAUAAUGCUACCGUCAUUCUAAGCAAGAUAAGGUGAAUAACAGGAUUAACAUCACAUGCAAUUCAUAAGUGACAUGAUAUGGCCAUGAUCUUGUGCUUCUUGAUCUCCAUCACCAAAGCACCGGCAUGAUCUUCAUCGUCACCGGCGCCACACCAUGAUCUACAUCAUCACGCCUCCAUCGAGGUUGUCGUGCUAUCUAUGCUAUUACUACUAAAGCUACAACCUAGCAAUAUAGUAAAUGCAUAUGCAAACACAAACUUUAGUUUAAAGACAACCCUAUGGCUCCUGCCGGUUGCCGUAGCAUCGACGUGCAAGUCGACAUUAGCUAUUACAACAUGAUCAUAUCACACAUCCAAUAUAUCACAUCAUGUCUUUGGCCAUAUCACACUAGUAGAAAACAGGGCUUUGGUUCGGGCCUGGCCAGCCCAUUAGUCCUGGUUCUUCACGAACCGGGACCCAUGGGGGGCAUUAGUCCCGGUUCAUGAGCCCAGGGGGGCGGCCGGGGCCUCGUGGGCAUUGGUCCCGGUUCGUCUGGACCCAUUUGUCCCGGUUCUAGGCACGAACAAGUUAGACGUCCUCUAAUUUAUUAUUGCAUGUUUUACGUGGCUGUUAUGGGUAUAUAGUAUGAUCGCAUCUUACUUACGCAAAGACCACAACGGAGAUGUGCAAAUUUCUAUUUAACCUCUCUCCAAGGACCGCCUUGGUCAAAUCCAAUUGAACUAAAGUUGAAGAAACCGACACCCGCCAGUUAUCUUUAUGCAACGAGUUGCAUGUUGGUCGAUGAAACCGGUCUCUCGUAAGCGUACGAGUAAUGUUGGUCCCGGCCGCUUCAAUCCAACAAUACCGCUGAAUCGAGAAAAGACUAAGGAGGGCAGCAAAUCGAACAUCAAUGCCCACAAAAACUUUUGUGUUCUACUCGAGAUUACAUCUACGCAUGAACCUAGUGCAUGAUGCCACUGUUGGGGAAUGUUGCAUGAGAAACAAAAAAAAUCCUACGCACACGAAGACCUAUCAUGGUGAUGUUCAUCUACGAGAGGGAGAUCAGAUCCAAAUACCCUUGUAGAUUGCUAAGUGGGAAGCAUUAAGAAAUGCGGUUGAUGUAGUGGUACAACUUCGUGAUUCAAAUCACCGUCGUCCCACGAUCCGUCCCACGAUCCAUCUCGAUCUAGCACCGAACGGGCGACACCUCCGCGUUCAGCACACGUACAGCUCGAUGAUGAUCUCUGCCUUCUUGACCCAGCAAGAGAGACAGUGAAGUAGAUGAUUUCUCCGGCAGCGUGAGGGCACGCCGGUGAUGGUGAUGAUCUAUUCUUGCAGGGCUCUGCCCGAGCUCCACAGAAAUCCAAUCUAGAGGAAGAACUACGAGGUAUAGGUUUGAGUUGCACGUGGCAAAGUUGUGUCUCAAAAACCCUAAAACCUCUAGUAUAUAUAGGAGGAGGGGUGGGGCUAGCCUUGGGGCUCAAGGGAUCCCCUAGGGCACCGGCUGAAGUGGAGAGGAGGACUCCAACUCAAAUUCGGUUUGGGGAAGGAGGAGUCCUCUUCUCCCUUCCCACCUCCCUCUCUUUUUUUGGUUUUAUUUCCUAGCGCCAUAGCCCACUUGGGCUGGCCUCACCAGCCCACUAAGGGCUGGUGCGCCACCCUAGGACUAUUGGGCUCACUCCCGGGUGGGUGGGCCCCUCCCGAUGAAAACCAGGAACCGAUUUGUCACUCCCGGUACACUACCAGUAAUGCUCGAAAUCUUUCCGGUGACCAAAUGAAACCAUCCUAUAUAUCAAUCUUCUUUUCCAGACCAAUCCGGAAACCCUCGUGGCGUAUGUGAUCUCAUCCGGGACUCCGAACAACCUUCGGUCACCAACACCUAUAACUCAACUAUACUGAAACGUCACCGAACCUUAAGUGGGCAGACCUUGCGGGUUCGAGAACUAUGUAGACACGACCUGAGACACUCCCCGGCCAAUAUCCAAUAGCGGGACCUGGAUGUCCAUAUUGAUCCUACAUAUUAUACAAAGAUCUUAUCGGUUGAACCUCUGUGCCAAGGAUUCAUAUAAUCUCGUAUAACAUUCUCUUUGUCCUUCGGUAUGUUACUUGCCCGAGAUUUGAACGUCGGUAUCUGUGUACCUAUUUCAAUCUCGUUACCGACAAGUCUCUUUACUCGUUCUCUAAUACAAGAUCCCGUGACUAACACUUGAGUCACAUUGCUUGCAAGGCUUAUAUGUGAUGUUGUAUUACCGAGUGGGCCCCGAGGUACCUCUCCGUCACACGGAGUGAAAAAUCCCAGUCUUGAUCCAUGCUAACUCAACGGACACCUUCGGAGAUACCUGUAGAGCACCUUUAUAGUCACCCAGUAACGUUGUGACGUUUGAUGCACACAAGGUAUUCCUCCAGUGUCAGUGUGUUACAUGAUCUCAUGGUCAUAGGAAUGAAUACUUGACACGUAGAAAACAAUAGCUACAAAAUGACAUGAUCACAUGCUACGUUCAUAGUUUGGCUCUUGUCCAUCACAUCAUUCUCCUAAAUAUGUGAUCCAGUUAUCAAGUGACAACACUUUGCAUAUGGUCAGAAAACCUUAACCAUCCUUGAUCAACUGGCUAGUCAACUAGAGGCUUACUAGGGACAUUGUUUUGUCUAUAUAUCCACACAUGUAUCUAUGCUUUCAUUCAAUACAAUUAUAGCAUGGAUAAUAAACGAUUAUCUUGAAACAGGAAAUAUAGUAAUAACUAUUUUAUCAUUGCCUCUAGGGCAUAUUUCCAACAUUAACAUCAACCGUGUGCGGUGUCUCAAAAAACAUGAGCUUGUCACUUCAAACUCCAUAUAUCGCGAUCACUGGCUUGGGGGCCGAGAGCAGUGAACAUGCAUCUGAUAAGUGUCCCGAUUUCCUGCAAAUCUCACAAAGUAUGGCCAUGCAGUCUAUCGUGAAGUGUCCAGACUCACCACAAUGAUAGCAAGUCAGCUUCUCCUUCUUUCGAGCUGCCUUGUCGGCUCUAGAAAUCUCAGAUUUCUCACUACCUUUAUCGCUCUCUAUAUCUUUGUUUUCUGUUGUCGCUGAUAUUGGGAUUUUCAUUUUUGCUAGAGCUGUGACCGUUGCGGCUGCCUCCUUCAUAUGACAUAAUUAUAGCUAGGGUUUCCUUGGUUCAAUCAUUUGUUUGUGCAAGCAUCGAAGGAAAAUCUUUGACCUUGAGCAUGAAGGUAAAGAACUGCUAGCCAGAUGGACAAAAAUGAAAUUGUCCAUCCAAGCAAAAGAAUCAUUCUCGGUUCCUAUUUCUUUUCCUUGGUUCUUUCCCUACUUAUAUGAGUUCUCUGCUAAAACUUUUGGCGGCCAAAUUAUUUGACCUUAGUUCUUUUCCUACCAUAUUUGGGGGUUCUUGUUUAUCCGUUAAAACUUUUGGCGGCCGAAUUCUGGCCCAUGGAAUGUAAAGUGGGCUCGCGUGUUGCGCCAUGGAGAGGAUGCCACCAAUCCUAGGGGAAAUGUGAUUUUGAUCAACUCUUGCUUAUCUAAACUAUUGAAUAUAUGAGCAAAUUUCUACGAGAUUUAAUCUGAAUACACAAUAAAUAAAUCAUGACGGCAAUAACAAAGAUUGAACUAAUUAUGCAGACUAGUAUAGUACAUGAAUAGAUUAAAUCUACGGCACAAACUAGACAAAUGAAUUCUAGCAUGAUCUCAAAUAAAGAGGACAAGAUUGCAGGCGGUGCAGCGGGAGCAGAACCGGCAGCGUUCCUGCUGUCGGCCAUGUCAUUAAUAAAGAGGUUGUCGAGAUCGUGGAAGAAGUCGUCGUCCGGGAAGUAGUCGUUGCCAACAGUCAAGAGAGUGUGCUCCCCAAAAACCUGAUCGCCUCUCUCCCGUAUAGGAUCACGAGAGGCGGGGUUCCGGAGGCAUGUUGUCCCAUCUCGCGGUGCAUGACGGAAGGAGGGAUGGAGAAGGACUGGAUGGCGGUGCAAUAAUCUGGAACGGUGCGAAACCAUAUGUUGUGACGGCGGCUAGGGUUGGCAAGGACCUUAUGUACAUAUAUGCGCGUCCGGGUGGAGAGGCGUGAAUUGGACCCAUGUCCGAGCAAGUAACAACCCACGAUCCGACGUUUCAGAUUGUCGUAUCUUUGUUAUGGACUCUCCGCUCCCGACCGGCAAAAAUAGGCGCAUAAGUAUGAGUUUGGCUCAGCUCAGUCCCACAACUCGCGCCGUGGCUUGGCGUGGCGAGGCUAGCGAGGAGGAGGAGCGUGCAUGUAGGUCUCCUCUUCUCAUGCUCGUACAAGUGCUACAAGAGCUCAACUUAUAAGGAGGUGCAACUCUCUCUCAACUAGAGGUAUGGGACUAAGCUUUAGUAUCACUCACACCACACACACAGCCAAGUAGAAUGGGGCAUUAAAAUUUCAUAUUUUAGUUGAUCUUUGGGCCAAAGGACUAUCAUCAAAAAUAGGAUGGCCUCCUGUCCCUUCUCGCAGUGCACGCCGGAAGGAGGGAUGGAGAAGACUUGGAUGGCGGUGCAAUAAUCUGGAAUGGUGUGAAACCAUAUGUUGUGACGGCGGCUAGGGUUGGCAAGGACCUCAUGUACAUAUAUGUGCGUCCGGGCAGAGAGGCAUGUAUUGGACCCACGUCCGAACCAGUAACAACCCAUGAUCUGAUGUCUCAGAUUGUGGUGUCUCUGUUUGGACUCUCCGCUCCUGACCGACAAAAAUAGGCGCGUAGGUAUGAGCUCGGCUCGGCUCAAUCCCACAACCGUGUCGUGGCAUGGUGUGGCGAGGCAAGUGAGGAGGAGGAGCGUGCAUGUAGGUCUCCUCUUCUCAUGCUCAUAAAAGUGCUACAAGAACUCACCUUAUAAGGAGGUGCAACUCUCUCUCAACUAGCGGUAUGGGACUAAGCUUUAGUACCACUCACACCACACACACAACCCAGUAGAAUGGAGCAUGAAAAUUUCAGAUUUUAUUGAGCUUCGGGCCAAAGGCCUAUUAACAAAAAUCUAACAAUCCUCCCACAAAGUCUCAUUAGCGCAUCUCAUAUUUUAGUUCCAAAACAUUGUUUAUAUACCGAUGAUUCAUGGAGACUGUUAAAUUGAAACUCCAUUUACAAAUUUAUGCUACACUAGAUCACAACAUGAAUAGUGGAUUAUGCCUUGAACUACAAGUUUUCUAUGGGACUAGUUUCACACAAAUCCUUGAUCGAUACUCGGUUGCCGCAAGGCUUCCCCGUGGGUGGAGUGUAUACGCCAUACUCCAGGACAUUUCAUGAAUUUAUUAGAGAACACCCAAUCCUCACAAACUUCAACAUUUAAUAGUCAAAUUCAUAUAGGUGUGUUCCUCGAGAGAUGCUCAACAGUACAACAUAUUUGCUUACCCAAAUAAGGCACUUUGGAAACAUUAAGAUAAGUAUCAACCUGCCAUGCAGAUUAUGAGAGUAUUGCAUCUUCAUGGAGUGGGAUAACAAAUAUAGGAAUACUCUCCUUCCAGCUGUCCAAUUGCAUCUCUCCCACUUCUACUUUAUGGGAUCUCCGAUCACAUAGAGUGAGUUACCACUAUGGACAACUCAUAUAGUGGGUCUCAAACCCAUCUCCAUCGAUGCAUUUUCUAUCACAUUACGUGAUAAACCCUUUGUGAAGGGAUCUCCCAAGUAUUUGGAUGUUAGGAUAUAAUCCAACGCAAUAACUCGAGAGUUCUUCAAUUUUUUGACAGAUUUCAAUCUCCUCUUCACAUGUCUUGAGGACUUCAUAUUAUCCUUAGAACUCUUUUUCUUUAUGAUCACAUUUUGAUUAUCACAGUUCGUGAGGAUAGCGAGUAAUGGUUUUUCAACCACAGAUAAGUCCAUCAAGAGCUAACGAAGCCACUAUGCUUCAAUAGUGGUCGUGUCUAAUGUUGUGAGUUCUACUUCCAUAUUUGACCUCGUUAAGAUGGUGUGCUUGCAAUACUUCCGGGAAACAGCGCCACCACCAAGUGUUAGAACAUAACCACUUGUGGCCUUAAUCUUAGCAGCAUCUUAUGUCCAUCUUGAGUCACUAUAACCCUCCAGUACCGUCGGGUAUCUGAUGUAGUAAAUACCAUAGCUCACAAUGCCUUUCAAAUAGCGCAUAACUCUCUCAAGCGCAUGCCAAUGAUCAUCUCCCGGUUUGAUACAAACCGGCUUAGUUUGCUCACAACAAAUGAGAUAUUAGGCCUCGUGGAACUCGCCAAAUACAUAAGUGAGCCAAUAAUCUGAGAAUACAUCAGUUGAUCUCUAGCAAUCCGUUGAUUGUUUCGAAGCAACACACUAGCAUCAUAUGGAGUUCGAGAAAUCUUGCAGUCGCUAUACCUAAAGCGACUCAAGAUCUUUUCCACAUAUUCAGAUUGAAGCAGUGUAAUACCACAAUUCUCAUCUCUCAGCAACUUGAUGUUCAGAAUAACAUCUGCUACUCCUAGAUCCUUCAUCUCAAAACAACGAGAUAAGAAAUAUUUAUCCUCCUUGAUCAAAUCAAGUUUGGUUCAAAAGAUUAGUAUGUCAUCGACAUACAUACAGAGAAUAACUCCUUCGCCUCCACCAUGGCGAUAAUACACACGAUUGUCGGCUCGUUCACAAGAAAGUAUGCAACAGUUAAUGUUCUUUAGAACUUCUUAUGCCAGUACUUAUGAGCUUGUUUAAGACUAUAUAAAGACUUCAAUAAUUUUCAGACCUUCUCUUCCUGACGAGGUACUACAAAACCAUUCGAUUGAUCCAUGUAAAUUUCCUCAUCUAAAUCUCCAUUUAGGGAAGCCGUCUUAACGUCCAUUUGAUGAAUCAGAAGACCGUGUGAGGACGCCAAUGAUAGUAGCACCCAAAUAGUUGUCAGACUAGCCAUAGGUGAGCAAGUAUCAAAAACGUCUUCACUUUAUUUUUGGGUAUAACCCUUGGCAACAAUCCAUGCCUUAUACUUUUCAAUUCUACCAUCAGGUCUAAGCUUUUUCUUGAGCACCCACUUACAACCCACAGGUUUACACCCAUAUGGACAUCAGUGACUUCCCAGGUUCCAGUAUUUAAGAUGGAGUACAUCUCACUACGGAUAGCUUCCUUCAAGUAGUCAGCAUCAGAAGAUGCAUAGGCUUUUAAAAGAGUCAUGGGUGUGUCAUCCACGAGGUACACAAUGAAAUCAUCAACAAAGGAAUUUGGAAUCAUUCGUAUCUUACUCCUUAGAGCAACUUGAUUGUCAUCCUCCUCAGGAUUCUCAAUGUGUUCCAUCGCAAGGGUGGGUUCACGAAUUACAAACGAAUCCAGCUGCGUAGAUAGAGUAGGUGUCUCCUGAUUUGCUUAGUGAUGCAUAGCCUUCAUAUGACAUAUUUACACAAAUAAAGUCGCAUCAUUCGACUCCAUAAUUGUACCUUAGAUUGUAUUAUCAAAAAUCUAUAGACAAUGCUAUGAAAAGCAUAGCGCAAAAGAACACAAUCAAUGGUUUUUGGUCCAAGCUUGUGCUUCUUGGGAAUUGGUAUAUUGACUUUCAUAAAACAACCCCAAGUACGUAGAUAAGAGAGUUUCAGCAUUUUCCAUUCCCAUUCCUCAAAUGAAGUAAUGAUUUUAUGCUUUGUGGGAACUCGGUUUAGGACAUGACAUGCAGUCAUUAGUGCCUCCCUCCACCAUGCCUUGGACAAACCCGAUAUGUCUAACACUGCGUUAACCAAUCAAUUAGAGUUUGGUUCUUUCUUUUGACCUUCCCACUUCACUAAGGUGAGUAGAGAGGCAUCUUCUCAUCGAUUAUACCAUGUUCCACACAAACCAAAUCAAAAUCAUUGGAAAAAUACUCUCCGCCAUGAUCAGACCUAAGUCGUUUAAUUUUCUGAUCAAAUUUGUUCUCUGCUUCAGCUUUAUUGUUUUGAAGAAGUUUAAAGCCUCAUCUUUUAAUUUCAGAAGGUACACAUAAAAAUAUCUAGUGGAGUCAUCAAUCAACAUCAUGAAGUAUUCCUUUCCACCUUUUGUCAACACGCCAUUCAUCUCACAAAGAGGAGAAUGUAUAAACUCUAGUGGCGCCAAGUCUCUCGUCUGUGCAGUCUUAUGGGACUUGCGAGGUUGCUUAGCCUGCACGCACACUUGGCACUUGGAGCCCUUGACAGUAGUGAAUUUUGGAAUUAAAUUCAUAUUGGCUAGCCGUGAAUGCCAAAUGUCAGACUCAUUAUUGUGGCAAACAUUAUUAAUAACUUUAGUGCUAAUACACACAGAGAGGCAACACAAGCCUCCCCACUCAUAGACUUUUCCAACAAAUUGUCCAUACUCAGAAAUUACAACUUUAUUGGACACGAAAACCAACUUAAAACCAUCUCGGCACAAAAAGGAAGCACUCACGAGAUUUUUAUUGAUGGAGGGCACAUGAUGAACAUUCUUCAAGCGAACAAUCUUCCCCGAAGUAAACUUCGGAUUGACCUUACUGAUACCUCGAACGAUGUCAUGUGACACGUUACCCAUCGGCACGAAAGAAGUCCCUGUGAUGUGAUGAGAAGAAAACAUGAAGGCAUUAUCACAAACAUGUACAUUCGUACUAGUGUCAAUUAACCAAUCAGGAGAAUGACAUACUGAAAAUAUGGUAGGGAACAUACCGUACUCAGAUUUCUUCAUAUCAGUAUCACCGAUGAAAACAUUAGCAGACUUGCUGCUCUUCUCAGGUUCGCGCUCCUCAUAGCGGUUAGGACAUCUCAGAUACCAGUGAUUAGGAUCACCGUAGACAUGGCAUAGUACCUUCCCCUUCUUAUGAGAAUUUUUCUUGAAGUUGGUACAGUGUGACACCUUGUUCUUUGCAACAAACUUGCUUUUGCCCUUAGAUUUGUUCUUGUUGUUUCGGGCUUGUUGAGAUGGAAGUUCUUAUUCUCUACCAUGUGGGCACUAAAAUCUCCCUCAACAUCUCGAGCAUGUGUGUAUUUUGCUCUCGCCUUCUCCUCAACAUCAAGAGAUCCAAUGAGAUCCGAAACGGAAAACUCCUGUGUGUUGUGUAUCACAGAAGUAGUAAAAUUGUUCCACGAAGUUGGAAGGCUAGCAAUGAUGCCUCCAACCACAAAGUUGUGUGGAAACACACACUCAAAGUAGUCAAGCUCCUUCGCGAGUGACUGUAUCCCAUGAGCUCACGAGCUUGCUGAACAAUAGAACACUCAUAAGCCAUCUAUUAUAGUCAUAGAAUUGUUCCAUGACGUACAACUUGCUGCCAGCGUCCGAGGCCCCAAACUUAGCCUCGAGCGCAGCUCACAUGUCCUUGCCGUUGUAAAAUGACAUAUAUGAAUCCACAAUGGAAUCGCCAAUAACACUUAGAAGGGCGCCCUUGAAGAGGGUAUCCAUCUUCUCAAAAUCUUCCUGUUGUGCAAGGUUAAGAUCGCACUCUGGCUUGCCCUUGGUGGAGUCAUAGCAGUACAUCGUUUGAAACCAGUAAACUAAUCUAUAAUCAGGUUUUUGCAUUGUUGAAUAUAUGAGAAAAUUACUACGAGAUUUAAUCCGAAUAAACAAUAGAUAGAUCAUGACGACAAUAACACAUAUUAAACUAAUCAUGCAGACUAGCAUAGUAGACGAAUAGAUUAAAUCUACGACACAAACUAGAAAUAGGAAUUCUAGCAUGAUCUCAAACAAAGAGGACAAGAUUGCGUACGGUGUAGUGGGGAAGAACCACGAGUGUCGGUGUUGCCUACCAGGUCAUUGAUGAAGAGGUUGCCAAGAACAGGGAAGAAGUCGUCAUCCGGGAAGUAGUCGCUGCCAGUAGUCGCGUGAGUGCGCUCCCCAAAACCUGAUCACCCAUCUCCCGUAGGCCUGUUGUCCCUUCUCAUAGUACACGCCGGAAGGAGGGAGGAGGGAUGGAGAAUACUUAGAUGGUGACGCAAUUAUCUAGAACAAUGUGAAACCAUAUGUUGUGACGGUGACUAGGUAUGAGCUCACCUCGGCUCAAUCCCGCAACUCGAGACGCGUCGUGACGAGGCGUCGCAAUGGCGUGGCGAGACAAGCGAGGAGGAGCGUGCGCGUAGGUCUAUGCUCACACAAGUGCUUGAAGAGCUCACCUUAUAAGGAGGUGCAACUCUCUUCCCAUUAAUAGUAUGAGACUAAACUUUAGUCCCACUCACAUGACACACUACCAAAAAGAAUGGGCCAUGAGAAUUUCAAAUUUUAGUUGGGCUUUGGUACAAAGGCCUAUUAACAAAAAUAAAACAUAACCUACCUAUCUUUAUUAUGGGCAUGUGUAAUCUUCACAAUUGUAAUUAUGAUAGCUUUGACAAUGAUUACAUCAUUUUCUACUAGAACUCCGGUGAUACCAAGAAAUAACGAAUGAUUAAAUGAAAAAUGAUGUGUCAACCUAAGACCCUUGGAUAUUAACAUUGUUGUAAUGAACAAAAAUGUCAUCAUGAAGUGGUGGUAGCCUACUUAUAAUGAUCCAACGGACUCCCCUUCGAUCCAAACCUUGAAAUAUAAUUAUUUUCAAAACUCUACCGGCAAUGGCUCUCAAUUUCACUCGUUAAAGUGUCACACGAACUUUGUGGCCUCCUUAAAUUUGUGGUUGGUUCUGACGCUUCCACUCGUUUUUACUGGAUUGGUGGUGUGGGGAGCCCCCCACCCCACGUCCCCUCCUCUUUCCCUAGUCUCUUUUCUUAUGUUUCUAACUAGUCCAUCUCCAUUUCAGAGGUAGCUGCAAAUAAUUGUGACUUGGGAUUGCGCUAGGUUUUGUUCCCGGAAAAGUUGGGCAACUCGCACGACCUCAUUGUCAUUAUUGUUAAAUCCCUUUAUGCUAAGCUUAUUUGUGAACGACGGGAUAACUGAUUCAAGGCAAUUUGGUGGACGCAGAUCCCCCUUGAGAUCAAAAGCUUUCCAUGGCAACUAACGAGGCUUUGGUUGUGGGCUAGCAACCAAAUUAUCAAGAGAAAUGGCACACCAGCUGCUAGUUGUUCACGUUGUGAAGAGAUUGAACACACUGAAUACAUCUUGCUUAACUCUUCAUCAACAUAAGUAGAAUUUAAGUUUGCUACAGCACCUAAGGAAAUGGCACACCAGCUACGCAAAUUCUUCAGACUGUCGUAAUUUUUCAGAAUUUUUGAAGUACCAGAAGUAUACGAAGUAUACAGAUUGCUACAGACUGGUCUGUUGUUAACAUAUUCUGUUUUUGUUGUGUUGGUUGCUUAUUUUUAUGAAACUAUGGAUAGUAUCGGGGGGUAUUAGCCAUGGAAGAUUGAAAAUACAGUAACCCAACAUCAAUAUAAGUAGAAUUUAAGUUUGCUACAGUACCUAAGGAAGUGGUGGUUUGCUUUCUUAUACUAAUGUUAUCACGAGUUUCUGUUUAAGUUUUGUGUUGUGAAGUUUUCAAGUUUUGGGUGAAGUUCUUAUGGACAAAAAGAUAAAGAGUGGCAAGAGCUCAAGCUUGGGGAUGCCCAAGGCACCCCAAGUUGAUUCAAGGAUGUCGUAAAAGCCUAAGCUUGGGGAUGCCUCGGGAAGGCAUCCCCUCUUUCGUCUUCAAUCCAUCGGUAACGUUACUUGGGGCUAUAUUUUUAUUCACCACAUGUUAUGUGUUUUGCUUGGAGCGUCUUGUAUCGUAGGAGUCUUUUAUUUUUGUUGUGUCACAAUCAUCCUUUCUGCAGACCUAGAGAGAGAGACAUGCACUCACCAUGAUUUUGUCGAGCUUCACUUAUAUCCUUUGGUAGACAAUUCAGCUCACAUGUGCUUCACUUAUAUCUUUUGAGCUAGCUGAUUUUGCUCUAUGUGCUUCACUUAUAUGUUUUAGAGCACGACGGUGCGUGGCUUGGUAGUUGAUCUAUGCUAUGAAAGUAGUCUCAAAAGGGGUAGUUAUCCAAAGGGAUAUGAAAACUUCCACCUUCAUGUGCAUUGAAUAGUUAGAGAAGUUUAAUUCAUCUCAACUAGUUUUGAGUUGUGGUUAUGGUAAUAUUGAAGUUAUAUUAGUAAGGUGUUGUGGAUCUAGAAAUACUUGUGUUGAAGUUAGUGAUUCCCGUAGCAUGCACGUAUGGUGAACCGCUAUGUGAUGAAGUCUGAGCAUGAUUAGUCUAUUGAUUGUCAUCAUUUGUGUGGCGGUCGGGAUCGCGCGAUGGUUUAUACCUACCAACCCUUCCCCUAGGAGUAUGCGUUGAAUGCUUUGUUUCGAUUACUAAUAAAAUUUUUGCAACAAGUAUAUGAGUUCUUCACGACUAAUGUUGAGUCCAUGGUUUAGAUGCACUUUCACCUUCCACCAUCACUAUCUUCUUUAGUGUCGUGCAACUUUCGCCGGUGCACAAAACCCACCAUUAGCCUCCCUCAAAACAGCCACCAUACCUACCUACUAUUGCUUUUUCAAAGUCAUUCCGAGAUAUAUUGCCAUGCAACUACCACCAUGACAUGUGCCACCAUGUCUACAUUGCCAUUGCAUGAUUGUAAGAUAGCUAGCAUGAUGUUUCCAUUAAUGUCUAUGCGAUGCUAGAUCAUUGUCACGGUACACUACCGAAGGCAUUUCAUAUAGAGUCAUCGUUGCUCUAAGUUUUGAGUUGUAAGUGUGAUGAUCAUCAUUGAUGGAGCAUUGUCCCAUGUGAGGAAAUAAAAGAGGCCAAAGAUGCCCACCAAAAAAAAUUAAAAAAAAAGAGGCCAAAGAGCCCAUCCAAAAAAAAGAGAAAAAGAGAGAAGGGACAAUGCUACCACCUUUCCACACUUGUGCAUAUUAAGCACCAUGAUCUUCAUGAUUGAGAGUCUCUCGUUUUGUUACCACCAUAUAGCUAGUGGGAAAUUUUCAUUAUAUAACUUGGCUUGUAUAUUCCAAUGGUAGGCUUCCUCAAAUUUGCCUUAGGUCUUCGUGAGCAAGCAAGUUGGAUGCACACCCACUAGUUUUCUUUAAGAGCUUUCACAUACUCUUAGCUCUAGUGCAUCAUUUGUAUGCCAAUCCCUACUCAUUCACAUUGAUAUCUAUUGAUGAGCAUCUCCACAGCUCAUUGAUAUGCCUAGUUAGUGUGACCAUCUUCUCCUUGUUUCUCUUGCAACCUCCACCACACUCCACACCACUUAUAGUGCUAAAACCAUGGCUCACGCUCAUGUAUUGCGUGAGAGUUGAAAAAGUUUGAGAAAGUAAAGGUGUGCAAACAAUUACUUGGCCAAUACCGGGGUUGUGCAUGAUUUAAAUUCGUUGUGCAAUGACGAUAGAGCAUAGCCAAACUAUAUGAUUUUGUAGGGAUAACUUUCUUCUGGCCUUGUUAUUUUGAAAGUUCAUGAUUACCUUGCUAGUUUGCUUGAAGUAUUAUUGUUUCCACGUCAAUAGCAAACUAUUGUUUUGAAUCUAAUGGAUUUGAACAUUCACGUCACAUAAGAGGAGUUAGAAAUGACAUCUAUGCUAGGUAGCAUGAAAGCUUCAAAAAUUCAUUCUUUAUCACUUCCCUACUCGAGGACGAGCAGGAGUUAAGCUUGGGGAUGCUUGAUACGUCUCAAACGUAUCUAUAAUUUUUUAUGGUUUCACGAUGUUAUCUUGUCAACUUUUGAUGUUUUGUUUACCUUUUAUAUCUUUUUGGGGACUAACUUAUUAAUUCAAUGCCAAGCGCCAGUUCCUGUUUUUCUGUGUUUUUGACUCUUUUCAGAUCUGAUUUUGGAACGGAGUCCAAACGGAACAAAAUCCCCGAAAUAUUUUUUCCUAGAACGGAAGAAGAUCGGGAGGCUUGAGGGCCAAGCAAGUGGGCCCACAGGGGGCCCACAAGCCCUGUUGCCGUGGCUAGGGGGAGGCCGCGGCAACCAAGCUUGUGGCCCCCGUGACGCUCCCCUGCCCUAGGUCUUUGGCCUAUAAAUUCCCUAAAAAUCCAUAAAAAUCAGGGCAUCCAUGAAAACACUUUUCCACCACCGCAAGCUUCCGUUUCCGCGAGAUCUCAUCUGGAGACCCUUCCCGGUGCCCUGCCGGAGGGGACUUUGGAGUUGGAGGGCUUCUUCAUCAACAUCAUCGCCCCUCCAAUGACUCGUGAGUAGUUCACUUCAGACCUACGAGUCCGUAGUUAGUAGCUAGAUGGCUUCUUCUCUCUCUUGGAUCUUCAAUACAAAGUUCUCCAUGAUCUUCAUGGAGAUCUAUCCGAUGUAAUCCUCUUUGGCGGUGUGUUUGUCCAGGUCCGAUGAAUUGUGGAUUUGUGAUCAGAUUAUCUAUGAUGUAUAUUUGAGUCUUUGCUGAUUUCUUAUAUGCAUGAUUUGAUAUCCUUGUAAGUCUCUCCGAGUCUUGGGAUUUGUUUGGCCAACUAGAUCUAUGAUUCUUGCAAUGGGAGAAGUGCUUGGUUUUGGGUUCAUACCGUGUGGUGACCUUUCCCAGUGACAGAAGGGGCAGCAAGGCACGCAUCGUGUUGUUGCCAUCAAGGGUAACAAGAUGGACUUUUAUCGUAGAUAUGAGAUUGUCCAUCCACAUCAUGUCAUCUUGCUUAAGGCGUUACUCUGUUCUCAUGAACUUAAUACACUAGAUGCAUGCUGGAUAGCGGUCGACGAGUGGAGUAAUAGUAAUAGAUGCAGAAAGUAUUGGUCUACUUGUUUUGGACGUGAUGCCUAUAGAUAUAAUCAUUGCCAUAGAUAACGUCACGACUUUGCGCGAUUCUAUCAAUUUCUCGACAGUAAUUCGUUCACCCACCGUCUACUUGCUUUCAUGAGAGAAGCCACUAGUGAACACUACGGCCCCCGGGUCUAUUCACACCUAUCGUUUCCACUUUCGCUUUUACUUUGCUUUGUUACUUUGUUGCUUUCAGUUCUCACUUGGCAAACAAUCUAUAAUGGAUUGGCAACCCCUUCAUAGCGUUGGGUGCAAGCUCUUUGUGUUUGUGCAGGUACUUGUGAUAAUCCUUCAUUAGAUCGAUACCUUGGUUCUCAAAACUGAGGGAAAUACUUACCGCCGCUGUGCUACAUCACCCUUUCCGCUUCGAGGGAACACCAACGCAAGGCUCCAAGGCCACGGGGGAAUCCUUUGCAUAUUUGCCAAGAAAGUCCCUAAAGGCGUAGCCGUAGCAGAAGGAUGCCUGGUGCCGUUGCUGAGGAGUAUCAAGACAAGAAUAGUCUCCCGUCAGCACGCUUGUUUCUGGCGCCGUUGGAAGGUCUUUUGUUGCAAUAGCAUUGUGCUUCUCCCAUCAUACAAACUCUGGCGUCUGAGCUGAACAAAGACGAUACGUUAGGACUCUGAGAAUAGUAAGAGAUUAAGAGGCUUGUGAGCUGCUCAGGCUCUUGAUUUUUUUUGAACUGAUAAACAUCAGGAGUAAAUUGCCAAAAACCAUCACAAUUGGGUUGCUCGGUGCAAAGAUCCAUUGUUUUCAUAGAAGUUUGUCGAAAACAUCGUUUUUCAGUAAAAAAUCAUAAAGCACUGAAAUAUCGAUUGACAUACUUUUAACAAGAAAACUAACAAUAGGGCCCGGUCGUCAGGCCUACGUGGCACCAGGUGACAGCCCGCAGAGACAAUGUUUGUCUGGUCCAUUAAAAAGAAAAGAAGGCCCACCUGUCAGCUGCCCAGCCCACUAGCAGUCAUCUUCAACCUUCUGCCAGAAGGAAAAAGUUGAGUCGCGUGCACAGAGAAGCUGCCACCUCCGGCCUGCCUGGAUCCCAAGCCUCAUUCCCUUCGCCAGUGAUGCUGCAGAAACCUGCUCCGCCAAUCCCCGUCGCUCACAGAUUCCCUCUCACAGUCUUACUCUCCUGCUCGAAUCCCCAUCUUAGUCCACAGCAUGCCGUCGGCGUCUUCCUUCGCCCGUGCGACUACUAGCCUCCCCUCCCCCGUGAGCAUCCCCCACCAGAGGAUUUGGAUCGAGGCAUCCUGUAGGAAGCGCAAGUCGUUAUGGUGCUCGCCUCUGACCAUCGGUCCCUCGCUCCGAUUCAUCGAUGUUGCUAAUCCACGACGCCUCCUCUCGCUAUCACACACAACGCGUUGGCCUUGCCAAGCCUCUGAUGUCGUGCGUGACAAGCCUCGCAACUCCAUGCUUUGUCGCCAACACCGUCUGCUCCGGCCACCGCCGUCAACAUAAAGGACGACACUCCCAGGCAUCCCCGGCUGGCCCGACCAGACGAACGUGCUCAAGGUGAGCAGCCGGUUCUUCCCUCUCUACUUCCUUCUCCAUUUGCACCCUCCGGAGAGCCUCCGAUGACGACCGUGCCUCGGCCGCCACUCUGCUCCGCCACGAGCUCGAUGUGGGCGAGCUCCGACUACCCCCGCGAUAUCAAGCAAGACCCAUGGAGGGCAGGCGGCGGCCUACAAAGUUCCAGGACCUAACCUACGGCCGGUGGCGUGGCCUCACCUCGUUCAACGAGUCCGGCGGCGAGGCGUGGGCAGGCAUCGGCGUAGAAAGCGAUGGAUCAACGGGGGCCAUCUACAACUGCCUACGUGGACUGUUUGACUCCGCCACGUUGGCACUGACACUGGGUCCUGUUUGUUAGGUUUUCUGUCAAAAUGCAAUCAACCGACUAUUUAGUGCUUGAAUUUUUUACUGAAUAACGUGUUUUGGGCAAACUUUUUUGAAAACGAUUGUUUUCGGCACUGAGCGACGCAAUUUCGGUGGUUUUUGACAAUUUACUCUAAACAUCAGCAGACCAAUGCCUCAGUUACAGACCCAACUCAAAAACACCUCAAUUACAGUCAGGCAUGUUGCCAAUGGGUUCUUCGUUGUUCUCACACCUGGGUGGGUGUUUAUUCGAAAGCAUGUUGAUAUUGCUACGGUCCAUGAGGUAUAGGCCAGAGACUCUCGUAAACUGAUAGCACGUUUACUUGCUGGUUGCUGCAUAUCGUACACAAUAAACAAACACGAUGAACUCCAACUUGGUAUAAACUACAGCCGUCACAACUCAUACCUCAUCCCUAACGAAUUGUGGUGCCCAUCCGGGAAAAUAUCGGUCACUCUAAUGCAAUCAAUUUUUCGUUACCUUUCUAACUAUGGAAGAUUUGGGACGUGUAAACAACACCAUGUCAUGGUCAUAUAUACAUAAAACUGCCAACUUGCUAAUUAAGUUUCUCAGGCAUAUUCGGAUCUUCUCAUUAUUUUCUCUCGUUUACAGUUGCUAAGUUUGACAUAGCUACUAGUGGUAGUAUAGUCUACUACUAUUCGAAGCUGUGAUCCGCUUGAUGUACUUCAGCAGUUCGAGAUCCAUCUUAUAUGUUCAUAUAUAUGUCAUGUAUAUUCCUAGCAUAACAAUUAUGUGGGUUCCAGUUUUAUGUAUAUGAAACUUCAAAGUCAAAUCUCACAUAGACCUUAUAUAAGAAAUCCCUAGCUCAAUCCUUGCGAUAACUAAAAUGCAUCCCAACUUAGCAAGCUGCAGCUUAAAUUAAGGGACGACAUUUUACAUUCUUGUGUGUCUAUUUUAUAAGAGUAUCAUGCCAAAAUCUUGCUGUCUUGAUAAUGUACGGCUGUACGUACGUGCAAUGCCGUACAUGGAGAUUUUAAUAUUUACAAGUAGCGAGGAAAUGUCCCUUUGGCAUAUCCGCCGAACCUGCAUUAUGCCUAUAUAUACGUACUAGAAGAACGGAACAAAUCACACAACAAGAGAAAACCAGAAGAAAGAUAGAAGGGGGCAGGAGUUAAGCUGAGAGAUCGCCGGCGACCAUGGCGACUGAACAGCUCAACGUGUUGAAAGCGCUCGAUGUUGCCAAGACGCAACUGUACCAUUUCAAGGCCGUGGUGAUCGCCGGCAUGGGCUUCUUCACCGACGCCUACGACCUCUUCUGCAUCGCGCUUGUCACCAAGCUGCUGGGGCGCAUCUACUACACCGAUCCUGCUCUCAACGAGCCCGGCCACCUCCCGGCAAACGUGUCGGCCGCCGUGAACGGCGUGGCCCUAUGCGGCACACUUGCCGGCCAGCUCUUCUUCGGCUGGCUCGGUGACAAGCUCGGCCGCAAGAGCGUCUACGGCUUCACGCUCAUCCUCAUGGUCCUCUGCUCCAUCGCGUCGGGGCUCUCGUUUGGACACGAGGCCAAGGGCGUAAUGGGGACUCUAUGUUUCUUCCGCUUCUGGCUCGGCUUCGGCGUCGGCGGCGACUACCCUCUGAGCGCCACCAUCAUGUCCGAGUAUGCUAACAAGAAGACCCGCGGCACCUUUAUCGCCGCCGUGUUUGCCAUGCAGGGGUUUGGCAUCCUAUUUGGUACUAUUGUUACCAUCAUCGUCUCGUCCGCAUUCCGACAUGCAUUCCCUGCACCGCCAUUCUACAUUGACGCCGCGGCAUCCAUUGGUCCGGAGGCCGACUACGUGUGGCGCAUCAUCGUCAUGUUCGGCACCAUCCCGGCCGCCCUGACCUACUACUGGCGCAUGAAGAUGCCCGAAACUGCACGGUACACAGCACUCAUCGCCGGCAACACGAAGCAAGCCACAUCAGACAUGUCCAAGGUGCUCAACAAGGAGAUCUCAGAGGAGGCUGGGCAGGGUGAGCGGGCCACUGGUGAUACCUGGGGCCUCUUCUCCAGGCAGUUCAUGAAGCGCCAUGGGGUGCACUUGCUAGCGACCACAAGCACUUGGUUCCUGCUCGAUGUGGCCUUCUACAGCCAGAACCUGUUCCAGAAGGACAUCUUCACCAAGAUCGGGUGGAUCCCGCCGGCCAAGACCAUGAAUGCAUUGGAGGAAUUGUACCGCAUCGCCCGUGCCCAAGCGCUCAUCGCGCUCUGCGGCACGGUGCCGGGCUACUGGUUCACCGUCGCCUUCAUCGACAUCAUCGGGAGGUUCUGGAUCCAGCUCAUGGGAUUCACCAUGAUGACCAUUUUCAUGCUUGCAAUCGCGAUACCGUAUGACUACUUGGUGAAACCAGGGAACCACACCGGCUUCGUCGUGCUUUAUGGGCUCACUUUCUUCUUCGCCAACUUCGGCCCCAACAGCACAACCUUCAUCGUACCGGCAGAGAUCUUCCCGGCGAGGCUCCGGUCAACAUGCCACGGUAUAUCGGCCGCAACCGGUAAGGCGGGCGCGAUCAUCGGCGCAUUCGGGUUCUUGUAUGCGUCGCAGGACCAGAAGAAGCCUGAGACAGGGUAUUCACGGGGAAUCGGCAUGCGCAACGCCCUCUUCGUGCUCGCUGGCACAAACUUUCUGGGCCUGCUCUUUUCCCUGCUGGUGCCGGAGUCCAAGGGCAAGUCGCUCGAGGAGCUCUCCAAGGAGAACGUCGGCGAUGAUGGCAUCGAUGCUUAGGCUGGUGCACAUCUGGAGACACAGAGUCAUGCACAAGUGUUUCCUUUCUCCUUGCAGCAUUUCUUUCCUUCUGUGUGGCCACUUCCUGAAUUUGUGGUGUCGCUUACCGUUCGUGUGUUGCUGUUUCUGGCUGGAUUUUGCCUAAACCCAGCGAGAUUGCAAUUUUCUGAUGGUGCUCUGUAUUCGUUUGUGAAGAAUUGCCAAUAAAAUAUCCCCUUCAUUUGAUUUGAUUCCAACAGAUCACCUGUUGCCUGCAGUGCAAGAUCAGAUGUCUGAAAUGUUUAACCUGGACAAAAGAUAUGGGAUUCCAGAGAGAAAAAAUCUCUUCACAAAAUUGAAGUAAUUUGCUUGCAAAUUACCACAUCGAAUGUCCUUUAGACAGCGUGGAAAUUGGAUAUUUCCCUCUGUAGUGACAACAACGAGUAGCAACACAUUGGUUCCCCGCAAAAAAAAAAAAGGAAUAACAACACCGCUUGGUUCCGAUACUUACCAGGCCAAGCUAGCCUUCUUUUUUCCAUUAAGAAAGACUAGGAAAAAUGCCCGUGCGUUGCAACGGAAGAACAAACAUCACAUCCCAAUUCAAAACCGUAAAGCUCAAGACCAACCUCAUUCACAUGCCUACGCCUCUAUUUCAACACCACACCAUCCAUGUCUUCACCGCUUAUCCACCUUUCCGUCACGUUGACAUUGUUGUGGUGUUCAAUUGGUCCCAACAUCUUCGAACAUGGUCAAUCCCAAGUCGAUGAGCUCGGCCAUUGUGCUUCACUAUGAAGGAAAUGUCGGUUGCCAUGAAUCAUAAUUUGACGAGUCUACGAAUUCAACCACCAAAACAUUGAAAACAUUAGAACCAUGAAAAAAAUCAUAAAAAGGUCUUAUAUACGACUAACAUAUAUUCUUGUCGGUUGAAAAUAUGCCUUCAUGUGUCUACGUUAUAACACUGUACAUGCAAAUAUUUGUAUACUGGAAUGUCCCACAAUAUCAAAAGUUAGUACAACUGACGAUACUAAGUGUCCUAACAUUUUUUUUCGUGGUCCUGUUCAACCAACAUAGCAGUGGUAGAUGGGCUAAAUAAAAAAUAAAAAAACUAAAUAUACCCGUUGGCUGCUGUUGUAGUUGUCUCUCGUGGAGUGAAGUCUGAAAUAAACCUUGAAUUUAUAUGCCUAGUCGAAAUCGAACCCUCAACUUUGAAUCCCUGAAGUAUGUACCCUCUACUCUUUGAGCCCGAUCAUUUUUAACCUUGAACCUGUUUGGCGCGUUGGGAAAAGAUCAUUCCCGCUCAGGAUUAUAUGAAACUCUCACUGACAUGCAGACCCCAUUGUCAUAUUCAUCUUGAUCUUUCCUUUUUGCGUUGUAUUCAUCUUAUUCUUUAGUCCAUGCUAGAGUUGCGAUGGCCUAAAAAACGAAAAAAAAACAUUUGAAGCGUUUUGCAGAUCAUCAUCGUCCUUGGUCCAUGUUAGAGUAAUAAAGAAUAAAUAAAUCUUAAAAUAAAAAAGAUCCCUUCUGCUUUCUUCUUCCUGCUCCCUUUGUCUUGCCCAAAACUGAACAUCUGAUCCAUCAAACCCAUGGCCAAAGACAGUGGAUCUGUAUGCAGCUUAGCCAAAAUGAAAUCUCCAUACUCUCUUGUGAUCACGCAUCCCAUUUUCACCAUUGAUUAGAUCUUCUAGAGUUCCACUUUCUAAGCUCGGAUCUUGAUGGGCAAGAUCAAAGGAGAGACAUGAAUCAUGGAGUCCACUUUGCCUUCAGCUUGCAGGUGGUGGAGCACCUGUUGGAGGGCCGACGACCGCGCUGCUUCCUAGGCAGCGGGCUCAUUCCUUCCCUCCGAUGAGGUGGUAGUGACGAGCUCGGUGGCGACGAGCAAAGAUCUAGCAGCUCUGGCUUGCAUCGACACGGAGCUCAACGGCAGUAACUAUUUUUUGCCGGUCGUCGUUGCAGCUUUAUAACACCCAUAGUAUAGUGCAGAGCUGAGCUCCUCUUUGCAUCUCCGUCAUCGACCACAAGAAAUAGAGGCAGGCAAGAGGAGACCACAUACCACACACCCACGCAUGGCUGCGGACAGCAAGAUGCAAAGCCAGAUGCUGCCACCAACGGCCGGUAGCAUCGGCGAGGAGAGGCACGGGAGGCGGGCAGAAAGUGGCUGGAGAGCAUCCUGAGCGACAAGUUGGUGCCGUGGGCAUGGCGGGCAGGCGUUCGCGGAGCCGGCGCAGGUAGCGUGCUUGCCGCCAUGGCGCCCCUGGAACUGAAGAAGUGAGAAACGGGCUACACAAGAGAGAUAGAGAUUGGAAGCAUAGGAGGAGGAAGAUGAAAUUGACGUGUGGGGCCGUGCAGUCAGUGAGAGUAGAGAUUCAUCCUGGCUGGGAUCGUCCUUGUCCCGGUACGUCAAACAUGAAUUCACAGGCAUAAGGUCAGGAUUGACCGGGAUUAGUAAGUAUGGGGUAUCAAUUUCAAGGAUUUGAAGGUCGAGGUUUAAUUUUGACGGGUUGUAUCAGUUUAAGGUUUUUUUCAGACUUUACCCUCUCUCGUGUGGCCGUAUGCAAUGGUUUAAUGUGCCUAUGGUAUAGGCCAUCCAAGGGAGCCGAAGCUACUUUCUGCCACCGAUCCCAAAGCCACUGUCUUCUCAACCUCUUCAACUGAAUCCAUCGCAGAAUGAUUGAUUUGCUCGCAGGCUUCAGCUUGCAGUGUGGUACGGCUCUGUACAUUGUGAGGCGGAUGACUGCAUACGUUUGGCAUGGAAGUAACUCAAAGGCUACAUAUGGAAAAAGAGGUACCCGACGUUGAAGUGGAUGGAGGGGUUGCAUCAGGUCGCAGGAGAGUAGCGGAGGCGCGUCCUCGGGUCGGAUCCCCUUGAGGCCCGGCGCCAGCUUCCAGCGAGUCACUGUUCCGAAAUGUGAUUGCGUUCGAGCAGACGUAUAGGUGCCUGAAUAUUAUCUUUUAUGAUUCUGAAUUUUCACAGGACAGGGCUAAUGACAUACAAACAAUGUGCCUUCAUUCUUGAAGAGAAUGGUAAUUGGAUUCUCAUUCUGAGGAACCAUCUUCAGGUGCAUUUUCUUCAUAAUCUGCUACAUCCUUCUAUAUUGAUAAGUAUGACCAUCAGCUGCAUUCACCUCGACGUAACUGAGAAGAGAAAUGUUUUUUAUGGUGGAGAAGAUAAAUAAUGAUUGAUAGAAACCUACCCAACCAUGAAUUUAUAAUUUAUGGGGGUAUACACUACAGUAAAAAAUCAUAACUUAAUCAAAAAAUAACUUCAUCCAAGAUUAUGUCGCAAUGGAUUGCUCUAAGUCCACCAACGAAUUUCGGAUUUCGGUUCUGCCGGAAGUCAACCACAAGACUGGCAUCAAUUUAUGUCAACAAUGAAUAACAACACCGCUUGGUUCCGAUACUUCCCUGUAUGGCCCAGGCCAAGCUAGCCUUCUUUUUACCCGGAGCAAAAGGGCUCGUUCGUUGCAACGGGAGAAAAACAAUUAAAAUCUCCAACAAUGCUGAUCAUAUUAUGUCUUUAAAAUUUUAGGACAUUUCUUGAAAUGCAUGAACAUUUUUUGAAUUAGCAAACAUUUUUUUCAAUUGCACUCAAAAAAUAAUACACAAACUUUUUUUUGAAAAUCAUGGACUUUUAUUGUUUCCAGCAGCAUUGUUCUCAAAAUGAUGAACAUUUUUCUGAAUAUGCGAAUAUUUUUACAAAAAUCCCAAGCAUUUUUUGAACUCACAAACAUUUUAUGUUUUCUUCAAACUUUUAUUUCAAAAUUCUCCGUUUUAUAAAUUGAAAAAGUUUUCCAAUGUUCUAAAUUAUUUAAAAUAAAAAAUGGAACAGAAAAAUGAAGAUAAAAAACGAGACUAAAAACAAAGGCACGAACUGUUUUUAAGAUUUUUACACGGACUUUUCUUUACAAUCAUUGAUUUUUUAAUUUUAUGGACAUUUUCUCAAAAUUUAAACAUUUUUUUGUAUAUGCAAACAUUUUUCAACAAUCCUGGGUAGUUUUUGAAUUCUCAAAAAAAUUAUGUUUUAUUGAAUAUUUUAUUUCGAAAUUCUCAAUUUCUUAAAAUUGAGAAAAGUUAUUUGAAGUUCUAAAUUAUUUAAAGUACAAAAAAGAAAAUGGAACUGAAAAUAAAAAUAGAAAACUAAACCAAAGAAACAAGCGCCCACGCAUGGGCCGGCCCAAACAGGUGUGAUGCAUCUUUUUCCAAGGCCCAGAGCGUAAUAUAGGAGUUUCCUACAUGGGCCGGCUCAGUCCGGAGAUUUUUCUGUUUGAAACGUUUUCUAUGACUUAUAGGUGGCAUUGGUGGGUAAUUUUAGUCAACUUUAGGGGCAAUUUGAAACCAACUUAUAUUUUGGACUGCACCGGACUAGGACUGCGGGUUAGUUUCGAUUAAAUAUAAGGGGUUUAUGUAAAAUGUAAAAAAAACGAUUCGUUCUCUAACUUAAAUCUGGACUGCAGGUUGAUUUCUGGAAACAUCAUGGGCUUUUUUGUAAAAGUGGCACGACGGACGACAGAAGCAGUCGACGCUUUAUUAUUAGGGAGAUAUUAAGAAAGAUAGGAUAUGAAACAAACGAGGGGCAUCUGUUUUUAGGCAAUCUCGCAUAACUAUUUAUUCUUCUCCUAUGAUGUUCUUGUUGGGAUAUCUUCCUCAUGUGGGGUGUAAGGAGAUGACCAUUUCAGGCCUUUAAGCAGCCCAAAAGAGGUGCAAAAGCCCACUAUCCAUUAGGGUUAUGACCUAGGUUUAUUUUGGUCUUUGCAUCUGAGGGGAUGGGGAUGCUUUAUCCUCCAUCUGGCAGCCACCACCUAGGGUGAUGAAAAUCAGUUCAGCCUUCAUUGGAGAAGAAGAGAGAAAACCAAGUGAGAAAGGAAAGAAAAGAAAGAUUGAAGGAAGAAGCAAAGGGAGCUCCUCCCCAAGGUUGUGAUGAUCCAUAUCCACUACCUUGCCUCCUUCAAACUGCGGUUCCACCAUCUUUGGUGAGAUUGUUCCAAUCCCUAGCUCUUGAUCCCCAAAUCUUGGUGUGUUCAUCCAAGAUUGGGUUUUGAUGAAAUAUGGAGAAGACAUAUUGAAUCCUUUGUACAAAAAGGGAGUGUUGGAAUUAAAAUCAAUGAUGACAUGGGCCAUUUUUUCCAAACACUCAAAGGUCUCACGCAGGGAGAUCCAAUGUCACCUAUCCUAUUUAACAUAAUUGUUGAUAUGUUGGCAAUUCUAAUAGGAAGGGCUAAACAAGAAGGACAAGUAGGUGGACUCGUGCCGCAUCUGGUGGAUGGUGGUGUCUCCAUUCUACAAUAUGUUGAUGAUACUAUAUUGUAAUUUGCCUUAUUUUCUUAAGUAGGGGAAUCAUUCCACUCAGACAGUCGUAACCAACCACAACCACCAUGCCGCUCACUCUCAACCCUUAAUCUUAUCACAAAAUCUACUCACUUGUCUUAUGGGUGAGCCAGUGAUCGCCGCCGCCGUUGCAGUCCAACAACAAGGGACGAGGGUGGCAACCACGAGGGUGGGAACCACCUUCCUAUCUUAGUGCUAAUUCUACCCAUGGUCACUUACUUAAUUCAGUUCCAACGUCUCACAUAGUAAUUCUACCCAUGAUGAGUUGUGCUAUAGCCAUUCCAAGAAAAUCUGCAGCAUGCCCCAUCAAGUAGGUCUCUUAGUAAGGUCUUUGAUGAGGGAGAAGCUAGACACACCUCCAUCGUUGAUAUCUCUCUCUUCUUCACUUGACGCCUCUAGUUAGCUAGCCCAACAAACAACCUAGAUCCCAUGAUGGCGAGCUAGUACUCGUUGUCACAUUGUUUCCCCUAUAUAUUACAACAAUUAUUUUUAAAUGAUCAAUAUAUAGUUUCUUAUUUCUUUCAUUAUUAUUAUUUUACAAAAAAAAUAGUUCACAUGUGUAGAUUGAUUCACCCAUAAGCUAUUUUGAUCACACGAUAUAAAGAUUCUACAUUUCUAUCCCUAGGCGAAGUAAAAUAUGAUCUAGCUAAUAAGUUCAACAUGUGUACCACUAAUGCCUUUGAAGAAGGGUAGCUGCUAGGGUGGCCACAUGUGUCGCAUACAAAACAAAAUCUUUAUUGCCAAAAAAUCGUUGUAGGAAAUUUGCUAUCAAUAAUUAACAAUUUACGAAGAAACAAUAUGCCCUAGCACAUUUGGUCAUGCAUUUGCAACAUUUUUUUAACAUUAUCACUCAUUUAAUAAAACCACCAUAACAACAUUUGCUUUAGAAAACAACCAUAACAAUGUAUUCCCAUGAAGAUAUAUGUUCAAUAAAUAUGUAAAGCCCAAGUUGAGGUAAGUGCAUUAUACCAUGAACUGAUUCCCAAAAAAAACAAUUAUUUGUUGUACUAAUUUCGGAGCUAAAGUUGAGUGUACAAAUAUAUUGCCAGAAAACAGUGAAAUAGUAAGUUAUUUCAUCAGCAGAUAGAUGCAGGAGCACAUAUGCAAAAUCACAUCUAAUGCAUGUUUGUCAAAAAUAAGGAGUUACUUUACUACAAACGAUGCAAACCUUAAGGUGAAUUUUGUUACAAUAUUGUCUCGGUUUUAAGACCCCAUGUCAUCCACAGUGCACCAAUGCACUUUUCCUAGCUAUUUCAAGACAUAAAAAUACGGGAACAGCACCACCAACAAUAUUGAACUCUUGCUCCACUUUCAAUCAUAGGUUUCACACAGCUCAAAAUUUCCGAUUUAUCAGACCGGAUGUUUCACAUUGAGCAGGAUAUACAAGCUUCAGUUUUAGAAGCAAAUGUUGAGAUGAGAUUGUAAAUCGAUUUGAAUAGUUGUCGAUUGACAGCAUCCGUCCAUGUCAAUUUGUGAGCAAAUCACUUUCUAACUUUGGUAACAGAAUUUCAGAGCAGUUCUUUGAUGUCUUGAUCAUGUACAUGAGAUGAAAAUCGUUGUAAUAUAGUGCAGAUGGGAAUAGGGAUCUAUUGGAGAGCAUACCAUUGGUGUUGUCAACGUAUGGGCACAAAACAAAUAAACUAAACUAAACCAUGCCCGAGUACUGAACACUUGAAUAAAUAUGAACUAUGUAUAAUAUGCUCCUAGUUCAUUGGUUAUCUAUAAAUCUGAAAUGAAACAAAAGAGUAUUACCAUAACCCUGCUAAAAGAUCAUCCAGGAUCGGUCCUGUAAAUGAAAAAGAAGUUUGAUUUUUUCCUUUCAAAUUAUCAUAUCUAAAUAUCUAAGGUAACUAUCUUAGCAAGCUUACCAUCCAUAGUUGAGUGAAGCUAAGAUUGGUGCUUCUGCUUGUAGACCAGCACAAUUAAGAUGCCUCUUGUAUCUUGUAGUAAAGGAAAACGGUGAGCUCUACUUGUGCACGUGCGCCUCAUUGCUUGCCUCUUCCCCAAACUAUGGAUCAAUUGCACCAGUAGUUUCCAUAACGACAAAACGGAAAGCUUGAUCACGUUCAAAUGGAUUUAAUGAUGAAAGGCAAACUUUUCCAUGGGGCGUCCCUCUGCGGUACUUCCACUCUACAUCAGACAACCUUUUAUUAAAUCUGAAAUUUCAUCUCCUUCACCUUACUCAAAUCAAGCAUCAAUUAUACAUUAUGGUUUAUUUUGUUGUAAACAAUAUUUUAUGACAUAAUUAAUUGCCAUGCAUUAGAAGUAAUAACAAAUCAUGAAGUUCUUUCGAGAUACAUUGUCAGUUACAAAAUCUGUAAGACAACUGAAAGAGAAAAAUAUAAGAGCAACUCAUGUCAGUAAUAGAUGACAGAAUAAUUUAACAAAAUAAGCACAGGAGGUAGUAAAGAUCUAAUAUAAUCCAAAGCAAGAUUCCAUCUUAACAAUUGAGAACCAUUCCGUCCUAAGGAAAUACAAUAUCUCACCCCCCACUACGCACCAAAGAUGUGUAGGCCGGAUCUAAUACAUUAUUCUAUUAGUUUAGGUAGAAAUACAAAUCUAUUCAAUCUACUCCAUUAGAACAAAUAAGUGGUAAGAGUACGCUGUGGGACCUGGGCAUUGAGAAAAAACAGCCAGCUACAACCAGGCCCUCCUAGGAGCACAUAUCAUUAGAGUAGAUCUAGACCUCUCCCUAUGUUGUCAUUCUACUUGGUCAACUACAACAACAUGUAAACGGACCAAUUUGAGCUCAUAAUGUAUAGUGAAACAAGUGGAUUCAUGUCUUCUCUCCUUUUUCUCAUGCUUCAGACAGAAGGAACUCUCUUCGUUCCUUCAUGAUUCAUCUCUUACCAACUCGAGAGAUAAGAAAAAGGAUAGAAAUGUCAGCACUUGCUUACGAAGAAGAGGAAAAUAGCAGCAGAUAGAAAACUUGAUGCUUCGGGGUAGCUAAUCCACCAAUUUUAAAACAGUUACAAAAGACAAGAAUACCACAUAUUAAAAUCCUACAUUUUAACAUACCUUGAUGAAUCUCUAAUCAAUUUUUUUGUCACCGAGAUAAUCAAAAGAAAAAGUUGUACACUCCUUUGAGCAAACAAUCAACAACAACAUAGUAAUACAGGAAGAAAUCAAUAGAAGAUAUUUGUGGAAAACACCUGAAUGGAAAACUUAAUAUAUAUAUUAAAAUGUUUGGGGCACCUAGGUGACUCGGCACCUAGGCCUAUUAUGGCAAGCCAUUUUCAUUGGUGCAUUGCGUGCAUUCAAUGAAAUAGUAUCUUUCCAUUUUUCAUUUGCAUAUAUAUAUUUUUUUAAUCUAGAUAUAUAGAUUGACUAUUCGUAACCCUGGGUGAGGAAUAGUUAUUUUUCACCCCUCCCUAUUUUUUUAUAUCAAUGCACCCUGAUUUUAUGUUCCAUAAUUUUUUUAUUAUUUCAUACGUAAAAAGAGACUGUAACAAAAUAUAUAGGCAUCAUAAAAAAUAUUUUAUAUCAUGUAAAAUUACAAACACAAAAACAUAGUGUAAAAUAUACAUAAAAUAUGAUUUUUCUGGUCUUAUGACCUAUAUUUUUGUUUUCUUAUGUCAAACUUUACGUAAUGAAUCAUUAUAAAUAUAACAAUUUGCAUUUCAAAUAUAAUUUAUGAAAUGAAAUGAUCGUAAAAAUACCUCAGUUGAAGAAUAAGUUAUUCUGCAUCCUAAGUGAUGAAUAGAAUAUAUAUAUAUAUAUAUNGGCCUUUGGUCGCGGUUCGCAACUGCCAUUAGUCGCGGUUGCGCAACCGCGACCAAAUAGGCGCGACUAAAGGCCCCCCCCUUUAGUCGCGGUUGCUUAAGAAUCGCAACUAAAGGCCCGUCCACGUGGGCGCCAGGCGGCCGUCGGGGCGGAGGACCUUUAGUCGCGGUUCUUCUGGCCAACCGCGACUAAAGGCCGCCACAGGGUAUAGCCCCCCCCCCCUAAACCUGUUUUCUGUUUAAUUUGUAUUGUUUUAUUUCUUUUGUGCUUUAUUUUAAUUUUGAAGGAGUUUCACAUAUUCUACGGUACUACAUACAUGCAUAUGAAUGUACAAUUUCAAACAAAUUUGAAAUUAGAACCAAAAAAAAUUCAAGAGGAAUAUACAAUAUAUAUUCAAUAUCAUCGGAUGACCAUAUACAAUUUUGAACAAGUUUCCAUACAUAAUUUAAUGCAUAUAAAGUUCUACGUCCUCGUAAUGGUGUUCUCCUUUACGAUGGAGGACUUCCCUCCUGAACCAUCCAGCUAGUUCCUCUUGAAGUGGUCGGAAGCGAGCUUCUGGACUAAGCAUCACCCGGAGGUUAUUCCGCUGAGCAUUGGUAUCACUCGGAACCCGCUCAGAGGUGUAUCUUCGGAUCAUCUCACAGACAUAGUAUCCACAUAGAUUGGUCCCCGCUGGCUGAAUAUCCCCACCAUUCUUAGCCUUUGACCUUUUGAAUUCUAGCUCUUUUUUGAAUUCACCGACCUUUGUAUCUACGAACCGUCUCCAAACCCUACGAGGCAAAGAAAAUUAAAUGAACAAGAGAGUUAUUAGUUACUUGAUAUUAGGAAAUGAACGAAAUAGGCCGAUCGAUAUAGAGCGCAAAUGAAUGAAAAUAAUUACUUCUGCAGCAUUCUUCUCAUGCCGCCCCAAAGCUUUGGAUCCAUAUUCAGCGAGUCGUGGACGAGACAUUCUGAGGUGUCAACUUUAAUUACUAGCAGAAUCCAGUGGAACCUGCGGACACGAUACAUGCACAGUACGUCAUGCAUAACUCAUCGAUUAGCCGGCCACAUACCAUGCAUGGAGUAAACAAAAGAGAAUGUGCUCAAGACAGAAACACCCACCCAAAAUGGUAAGGAAAUAGAAUAUCACUUUUGAGUUCCUGCUUUGUAAGAAACUGCCACAGGUCUGCCUCCAUGUCGGCGGGGUGAUGCUCCAACACAUAUCCAUUAACGAUGUGUGGGUCAAUGAACCCAACAUCAUGGAUGUUCCUUACUCUGCAUUCCUUAAUCUUCAUUCUGCAUGUAUAAUAGCGGACACAACAAUAUAGUUACGACAUAUAUAUAGUGCAGGCAAUAUGAACGAGAUGGGGUAUAAAUAAAUCACUUACAGAACGUAGCAACUGAUGAUAGAUUUGUCGAGCUCGCGCAGAUUGAAAAGCUGGAACAAUUCACUCAGAUGAAUUUGUACAUAGUAAUGUUUGAAGUGAUGCUCAUAUCUAACUUCCGCAUAAAUAUAAUCUUUGGCGUUUUUAUUUUUUAUGUAACCCUUGUACCAUUUCAGCAGACCUUUCAUUUGUGGAGGUAGAUCCUCUUCCUGCGCAGGCUCGACGAGAGGCCCAUUCUUCACAUAUGUAAUUACUACCUCCUUCACUGGCGCCUCAUCAAGGCCUAACAUUUCACAAAGAGUAAUACCUAAGUUGGCCGCUUGUUCUCUGGCACUCGUUACAGUCAAUCCAUGUACUGCCGCAGCUGCUAUGAUAUCGGGGUCAUCCGGACCGGCGGCUUUCACUAUAAGCGGGGCAAUCGAUUGUUUACUUUGUUCCCCGAGCUGGGCAACUCGUUUCCCGCUUUUUUUACUUUCUAAUUCCGUUUUCUCGGCCUCCUCCAAGGCUUUGUUCUCCUGGUUCUCCGCCCUCUCUUUCUUCUCCUUCAACAUGAAUGCCUGCCUACGAAGUUCACGUGCAUAGUCGUCAGGCAGAUUCUUCGCGGCUUGGGACGGUGUGCUCAAAAAUAACUUAGCCCACUUCUUUUGCUCAUCAGAAAAUACUGGCUUGGGCUCGGGCUCUCUUUUCUUCUUGCAGUCCGCCUUCCAUUUCUCAUGAUCAGCAGCCGCCCUCGCGGCAGUUUCCUCGGCACUACGUUCCCAAGGCCUUGUGGGGAGAGGCUUCAGUGAUGGCUCCGGUACCUUUGUGGUCUUAGGUACAUAAGGGUCCGGGUUAAUAAUCCAGGACUGCUUCUGCUUCUUUGCCGGAGGCGGAUUGGGGGGUGGCGUCUGAUCACCCGCCGGACGAGGACUGGGGGGCGGCGUCUGAUCACCCGCCGGACGUUGUGGACUGGGGGGCGUCGGCUGACGUGACGGAGGUGUAGGUGAACCGUCACCACCACCACCACCACCGCCACCGCCACCGCCACCACCACCACCGUAGGGGGGUGGACUUGUUGUCCUUGGCGCCUCGCCUGGAAACUUGAUAAACUUCUUUUGCCACAGAAUGAAAUGGCGCUUGACAUCUCCAAGUCUUUUCUCCCCUUCAGGUGUAGCAAUGUCAAUCUCCAGGUCCUCAAACCCUUGGACUAUGUCCUCCACCGUGACACGAGCAUAGCCAUCUUGAAUUGGGUUGUUGUGGUGGAGUGCUCCAGGUAAACAUGGUAAAGCACUGCUGAUGGCUACCUUCAUGGACAUGUUCCCGAUAGGAUAAUACAGAUGACAUUCUUUCAUCUCCUUUAUAUCGUCCACGGGGUAGCGAGGAGGCUCCGGUGCAGUAAUUUCGACCACCAGAGGCUCCGGUGCAGUAAUUUCGAUCGUCGGUGCAUCUGCACCAGCUGGUGGGGCCUCCGUGGAAGCCACGCUGCUUCUCCGCUGCUGGCUUCCGAGAUCCGCUGGAUGAUCUUCAUGCUGCGCCCGAGCUACAUCUCUUUCGGCUAAUAGUACACUCACGGUUUUCUUCAUCACAUCCAUUUCCGAUGCCAACCGCGCCACAACAUCUGCUUCCCGAUCCAUCUUUCUCUUACGGCUUCUGUAACCGUACGGGUCAUCGUUCUGGGGGAACCCUAUUUUCCACGGAAUGUUCCCCAUGCCUCGUACACGUCCUCCGUGUUCAGGAUUCCCGAGGGCUUUUGUCAGCGCGUCGUUCUCUCUGUUGAACUUGAUCUUCCCCUCUUGAGCAUCCCUCAUUGCGUCAAUAAGGGCUUGGGUGGGUUUAAUUAAUUUGCCCCGGUAAACACACUCCCCUGUCUCCGGGUUCAGCGUUCCCCCAUGCCCGUACCACCAGCUUUUGGCCCUUUGGUCCCAUCCCUCCGUACCUGGACGGAUUCCUCGCGCCCUCAGCUCGUUCUCCAUCUUCUCCAACCUAGGCACCCAAAUGCGAUACCCUCCUGGCCCCAUAAUAUGAUUGUACUCCUUCUUAGCCGCAUUUUCCUUAUUUCUUUUCGAUAUUUGAAUGAACUGCUCCGAUUUCUUUUGCUUCACAAAUUCUGGCCAAUCAUGUUUCAGUUUCUCAUAUUGUCCUUUGAAAUCCGGAGUCUUGUUCUGCUUGACAAAGUCAUGGGCUAGAUUUUGCUUGAAUUUUCGGAAUGCGUCGGCCAUCUUAUGAAGAGCGAACUGUUUGACUAGCCUCCUCCUCUCCUUGUUUUCCUCAAUCUUGUUACCCUCCUCAUCGAAUUUGUUGUAUUCCGGAGGUAGAACGAAAUGUUCCAUAAGCUUCUUGAAGCAAUCUUUUUUUGUUCUCUUAUCGACAAAAGUGAAACCAGCAAUUCGUGCCUUCUUUGGCUCAUUCCACUCCUGGACGGUGAUCGAGACGUUGUCUCUAACAACGGCUCCGCAUUGGCUGACAAACUUGGUGGCGUUCUUGCGGGGCUCCAGCGGCCUGCCGGUUGCACUGUCGACAACCUCGAUGGUGCAUGUUUCUCCUUGUUUCAUCGUCUUGGUUGCGCCACGCUUUGACGACGUACUCGAUUGUUUCGACGAUCCGGCCGAGGGCUGAAAUAAGAAAGAGAGUCGCGCGCGUUAGUACACACAUAUUUAUUCAAAUCAGUUAGUUUGUAUCACCAGAGGCUCAAUGUAUAUAUAUACCUCGGCGCCGGAGGUGGUUGCUACUUCCAUUUGAAGAUCGUCGUUUAUCGACGUUUGUUCGGCAUCAUCUUGCUGACGGCGCCCUUCAUCUUCACCGUCAAGGUUCAGAUAAGAAGAGAUAUCAUCUUCUUGAUCUUGUCCGGUCGGCACAUAUAGAAUAUCGUCGUUUAUGAUGCCGAACAUAUGUGCUUCACCGUCCGGAUCAUAGUUGUCCAUAAUCGGGUCAGCUCUAUCGUCCGCCAUUAUGUCAGUCCUGAAAACAUGUAGUAAAAACAAAUUAAUUAAGUGAAGAAGGGGGGCGGUGGCGGUGGCGGUGGCGAAAGGGCGGUGGCAAAAGGAGGGGGCGAGGAAGGGGUGGGAGAGGGUGUCGCGGUAGAGCGCGAGACGGGGCGGCAGACGACUACUUGGCCUCCCUUGUCCUAUUUUUCUGGCUCCGCCACUGACCCUAUCUCUAGGAAUGUCUGCUUCCACUAACACACACGAGCAUCAAUGUUAAGUUUAGAACUUAAAUUCUGAUGGGUUAGGAUAUCACUGUAUUCCUAACAAAGCUCCAAACUUGCAAGGUAAACAUCUUAUAUUUGUGAACAGAGGGAUUAUUUCACUUGUUGCAAAUAUGGUAUAAACUUAACCGAACACGAGAGCUCGUACACACGUUAUAUAUAACAAAAAGAUCUCAAGUAUCCGGCCUUCAUCGUCGUGAGACAUAUAACCAUCACUAUAUAUAAAAAAGACCCGGAUUUCUAUAGUACUUCCUCCGUUUCUAAAUACAAGUCAUUUUAAAGGUUUCAUUAAAAAACUACAUAUGGAUGUGCAUAGACAUACUUUAGAACGUAGAUUCACUUAUAUUUAGGAACGGAGGGAGUAAUACUAAGUGAAUCAAGUAUCCAACUUUUAAAGGAAAACUAUUAUUGACGGUGCAAGAUUCAUAGUGGCCGGCGGCAUUGAGGGUGGGCGAGGGAGGCCGGUGAUAGCGACCGGCGGCGCCGUACGUGGGCGAGACGGGGCGGCGUCGAGGGCGAGGGGCGACGGCGGGCGGCGUCGAGGGCAAGGGCGACGGCGGGCGGCGNNNNCGGCGUCGAGGGCGAGGGCGACGGCGGCAGGCCUUCGGCGCGCGCGGCAGAGAAUCGGAGAAGACGAGAAUCGGAGAAGACGGCGGCAGGCCCUUGUAUUUAUAGCCCCCCCCCUUUAGUCGCCUCCCCAACCGCGACUAAAGGGUUUUUUUCGUUCCCGCGCGCAACGACCUUUAGUCGCGGUUGGUCUGGCCAACCGCGACUAAAGGUAUUUUUCAAAAUACUUUUCUUUUUCAAUAUCUUAAAAAUACAAAUAAUAUAUCAAAAAAUUCAGAAAAAUAAAACUAAUUCAAUUCAAUAUGUUAAAAACACAAAAAUUAUAUCAAAAAAUUAAGAAAAAUAAAACUAAUUCAAUUCAAAAUGUUAAAAAUACAAAUAAUAUAUCAAAAAGUUAAGAAAAAUAAAACUUCUGGAUUGAUUACCUUCUGAGAGAUUGCAUUGAGGAAUGCACAUAGCUUCACAAUGGCUACUCGAACAUUUUGCGGCAGGAGCCCCCUCAAAGCAAUCGGAAGCAAUUGCGUCAUAAUCACGUGGCAGUCGUGAGACUUCAGGUUUUGGAACUUUUUCUCCGCCAUGUUUAUUAUUCCCUUUAUAUUGGACGAGAAUCCAGACGGGACCUUCAUACUGCUCAGGCAUUCAAAAAAGAUGACCUUCUCUUCUUUGGUCAGAGCGUAGCUGGCACGACCUUGAAACCAUUCCCGAUGCCGGUCAUCAGGGUCUUUCAAACGUUGCUGGUCCUGCCGUGCUUCCUUUGUAUCAUUUGUCUUCCCAUACACGCCCAAGAAGCUUAGGAGGUUCACGCAAAUAUUCUUCGUAACGUGCAUCACGUCGAUUGCAGAGCGGACUUCUAGGACUUUCCAAUAUUCUAGCUCCCAGAAUAUAGAUUUCUUCUUCCACAUGGCUGCGUGCCCGUCAGCUCCCUUCGGAACUGAUUGUCCGCCAGGACCCUUUCCAAAGAUGACUUUCAAAUCCUUGACCAUAUCAAAUACCUCAGCACCAGUGCGUUCCGCAGGCUUCGGCCGGUGAUCUGCCUUGCCGUUGUAAUGCUUGCCUUUCUUUCUUACUGGAUGAAUUUUCGGAAGAAAUCGACGAUGCCCAAGGUACACGUUCUUCUUACAAUUUGGCAAAUGUACACUUUCAGUCUCAUGUAAGCAGUGCGUGCAUGCAUUGUAUCCCUUAUUUGACAGUCCCGAAAGGUUACUAAGAGCAGGCCAAUCGUUGAUGGUUACGAAAAGCAACGCUCGUAGGUCAAAUUCCUCUUCUUUGUGCUCAUCCCACACACGGACACCAGGUCUGCCCCACAGCUGUAAAAGUUCAUCAACUAAUGGCCUUAGGUACACAUCGAUGUCGUUUCCGGGUUGCUUCGGACCUUGGAUGAGCACUGGCAUCAUAAUGAACUUCCGCUUCAUGCACAACCAAGGAGGAAGGUUGUAGAUGCAUAGAGUCACGGGCCAGGUGCUAUGGCUGGAGCUCUGCUCGCCAAAAGGAUUCAUGCCAUCUGUACUUAGACCAAAUCUUAUGUUCCUUGCGUCAGCUGCAAAAUCUUUGAACUCUCUGUCGAUCUUUCUCCAUUGCAUUCCAUCUGCGGUGUGUCUCAACUCCCCGUCCGACUUACGGUCCUCUUUGUGCCAUCGCAACAACUUGGCAUGCUCUUUGUUCCUGAACAAACGUUUCAACCGUGGUAUUAUAGGAGCAUACCACAUCACCUUGGCGGGAACCCUCUUCCUGGGUUUCUCGCCCUCAACAUCGUCACCAGGGUCAUCGCCUCUCAUCUUAUAACGCAAUGCAGUGCAUACCGGGCAUUCAUUCAAAUUCUCGUAUUCACCGCGGUAGAGGAUGCAGUCGUUGAUGCAUGCAUGUAUCUUCAGAACCUCUAAACCUAGAGGGCAUACAACCUUCUUUGCUUCGUACGUACUGGCGGGCAACUCGUUAUUCUUUGGAAACAUAUUCUUCAACAUUUUCAGCAAGUUUUCAAAUGCCGAGUCAGCUACACCUGCCUGUGCCUUCCAUUUCAGCAAAUCCAGUGUGCAGCCCAGCUUUUUCAGACCAUCAUCGCAUCCGGGGUACAACGACUUUCUGUGAUCCUCUAACAUGCGAUCCAAAUUCUCCCUCUCCUUUUCAGUUUCGCAGCGUCUCCGUGCAUCAGCAAUGGUCCGACCAAGAUCAUCAACGGUCUCAUCACGUGCCUCUUCUUCACCUUCACCUUCCCCUUCACCUUCCCCUUCACCUUCAGCAUCCUCCAUGAAAGUAUCACCGAAAUGAGCAAGAUAGCUUUCAUCCAUGAAAUCAUCCCCUUCUUCAUCUUCUUCCAUUAUAACCCCUCUUUCUCCAUGCUUGGUCCAACAAUUAUAGCUUGGCAUGAAACCGUGCCGAAGCAGGUGCAGGUGAACUUCUCUUGAGGAAGAGUAACCCUUCUGAUUCUUACAGUCAACACAUGGACAGAUAACAAAACUCUUCUGCUUGUUCGCAUUAGCCACUACGAGGAAAUCUUUCAAACCCGUAGUGAACUCGCGGGAGAGUCGGUUACCGUACAUCCAUUGCCGAUUCAUCUGCAUUAUUAUAAUAUAAAAUAUAUAAUUAACCAUCAUGCAUUUGUUAAACUAACUAGCUAUAAACAAUAGAAAUUAAACAAUGAACAACACACAUGCAUAUUUUAUCAAUGACACACAUGCAUGAAAGGUUCAAGUUGCUAACCGCGAUCGAGGAGGAAAAAAUAAAUGAGGAACCUCAAGUGUGGCUCCAACACUUCAUAUCAUGUUUGUUUCACGCUCUUGGGGCAUUUCAUCAAACACCUUGUGUGCAUAAGAGGAACCAAAAGCAAACCUACACCCCCUUGUGAAGCUUGUGAAGAGAAGUGGCACCAAAUGGCUAAGUGAGUGUGCUGAACUGGUAUCUAUAGGGGAGGAGAUUUAGUCGCGGUUGGCAUGGCAAACCGCGACUAAAGGCCUUUGGGCACCUCUAGUCGCGGUUGGCCUGGCCAACCGCGACUAAAGCCCCUCACGUGCACCAGCUGGCCACCGAGCGCCCUGGCCCAGGCCUUUGGUCGCGGUUCGUCUGCCGAACCGCGACUAAAGAAAUCAUUAGUCGCGGUUCCUACAGUGUCGCGACUUAUGGGGCUGGACGGAAGCCUCUUUUUCUACCAGUGAUAUAUAUAUAUGUUUGUGCGUGCGUGUGUUAGCUUGCUUCUGUACUACGUCAAUAAACAUAAAAUGUUUAAAUAUCUAGAUUAGAAAAUGGAGCAAAAACUUUUUCUUGGAAAGAUGUUAUGAUUUUUUCUUUUAGCAACUUAAUGUUACUUCCGUAAGGUGUGUAGAUGAACUGAAAGCUACGGCUCCUGUGACAUGAAGAUAUAGAAAAAGCUUGAGUCAAGUAUGAAAAAAACUUUUGUCGAACUUGAAGAAUAUGUUUGCAACGAAAGAUAAAUAUGACAUGUAUGUAUUAUUAGGUGGAGUCAUUUGUUUUUAUGUUAUAUUACUUCUUUAGUUUGGUAUUAUCAUGUGACGAAGAGUCCACUUAGAUGUGUAUUCGUAUGUAUUCCCAAUAUUUUCAUUCGUAAGGAGACUUGAUUGCAACGGAAGAAGAAAAUUGAAAUUUAUGUAUAUAAUAUUAUGUGGAGCCAUCAACUCUUAUGUUAUCUCCCCUAAUAAUAAAGCGCGGAGCGCUUCUGUCGUACGUUGUUGGCCUUUUUGCAAAAAGGCCCCUCUCUUUCUUGAAAAUCAACCCGCUGUCCUUUUGUAAGUUAAAAAACGUUUCAGUUUUUCACAACCCCCCCCAUUAGUUAGAACACACCCACCGCUCGUCCCCUGCCUUCCAAUCCCCAUCUUCAUCUUCACCUCCAGCGCACCGCCACCUCCUGCCGCGCCCGUCCUGCCUCAUCGCGCGCCGCCGGCCCACCGGUGUGCGCCGUCCUCACGAACCUGGGCUUCCGGAGGCGCUCCCUGCCUGGAGGUGCUGCUGCUCCAUCCCGGUCCUCGCGCACCCGCCGUCGCCGGCCAGUGCCGCCACCGGAGCACGCACCCGCACACGCGCCCCCAGCGAUCUCUGCCGACGACGAGCUGAGGAUGCCCGGAGCAGCGACCAGGUCAUGCCGGCGCCCUUCUCUUCUCCUUCCUCCCAUUUUCCCUCCCCUGCUCUCUCUCUCUCUCUCUCUCUGACGCAUCUCCCUCUCUUCGUUCUUUUCUCUGCAGGAGCAUGGCUGAAGCCCCGUGGGAUAUCGCCGCCGCAGUCGACCACCACCGGCUCGUGCCCCACGGCCGCCGGGAAUGGAUCCCCUGUGCCUGGAUAUGCUCGGAUCCGGUCGGGCCCCAUCAUUCCCGCGCCGCCGGACCUCAUAUCCCCAAACCUAUCCCGUAGAUGAUUCGCCCCCAGACACGUCUACAGGUACAGAUUCGUGAGAGGAUACAAUUCAUCUAGAGAAACAUAUUUUCCCCCUUGUGUAGUCUGAAGAUGUCUUGUCAGCUUGACGUGGAGGUUUGAUUACUCCAAGCCUUUGAAGAGAAACAUAUUUUCCCCCUUGGUGUAGUGUGAAGAUGUCUUGUCAGCUUGAUGUGGAGGUUUGAUUACUCGAAGCCUUUGAAGGUAAGGCAGUCUUUUCUGUAAUUUAUUUGUGUACCGCCAACCCCUGACUCCCUCUAUGUUUAGCUCCAUGAUGUUGGCCAUAAGAUCCAACUUUUCCUAAAAAAGAGAACUUCAGGGCAUAGCUUUUAUCUUUCUAAUUCCUUUUGUAGCAAACAAAUAUCUCCAACUGUGAUAUACCAUUACUCAGGUUGUGGUAUCUUAUGGAUCGUUGCAUUUAUUUCUUUAGGCAUCUUCGAGUACUGGAUCUGACUGAAGAUUAUUUCCAUGAGGAGGAGAGCGAGGUGGUGGAUUGGAUCUCCAAGUUUCCAGAGUGCAACACGUCCCUGGAGUCACUUGUAUUUGACUGUAUUACAACUUCGAGGCCCUGGAGGCACUUGUUGCACGCUCACCAGCUCUGUGGCGUCUGCGUGUUAAUGAUCAUGUAUCGAUAGAGUUGUGUCGUCUUAUGGCAAGGGCACCCCAUCUAACUCACCUUGGCACCGGAUCAUUUCGAUCUGAGCCAGGCCCUGGCGGUGCCUUGUCUGUGUCUGAGCUUGCUACCUGUUUUGCAGCGUCGAGAUCACUUGUUUGUUUAUCAGGUUUCUUGGACGUCAAUGGAGCGUACCUCCCAGCAAUCUACCAAGUUUGUCCCAAUCUCACUUCCCUCAAUUUUAGCUUUGCGGCUCUAACUGACGAAGAGUUCAUACCAGUUAUUCGCCACUGCAUCAAUCUUCGCACUUUAUGGGUAAGUAUUUUGUGAAUUUUCCUGUCGGUCACAUUGAUAGAUAUAUUGGUUUAUGUACUUUGACAUCAGGUCUUGGUGUUCCAAUUUCUUAUUCUAGGUUCUUGAUACUGUGGGUGAUGAAGGCCUUCGGGCUGUGGCUGAAACAUGCUCAAAUCUCCGUGAGCUCCGGGUUUUUCCUCUGGAUGCCACUGAGGAUUCUGAGGGCUCAGUCUCAGAUAUUGGUCUCCAGGCAAUCUCGGAAGGCUGCCGGAAGCUCGAGUCGAUUCUCUACUUCUGCCAGCGCAUGACAAAUGCAGCAGUUGUUGCCAUGUCCGAGAACUGCCCUGACCUUUUGGUGUUCCGCCUCUGUAUUAUGGGCCGCCACCGCCCUGAUCGGAUUACUGGGGAGCCCAUGGAUGAGGGUUUCGGGGCGAUUGUGAUGAACUGCAAGAAGCUCACCAGACUUUUAGUCUCUGGCCUGCUCACCGAUAAGGCGUUUGCACACAUUGGAAAACAUGGAAAACUCAUAAAGACUCUGUUUGUUGCCUUUGUUGGGAAUAGUGACAUGCCUCUUAAACAUGUGUUUGAGGGAUGCACUAGGUUGCAGAAGUUUGAGGUCAGAGACAGCCCUUUUGGCGACAAAGGACUGCUCUCUGGUCUGAACUAUUUUUACAACAUGAGGUUCUUUUGGAUGAACUCAUGCAGGCUAACUGUUAGGGGUUGUGGGGAUGUAGCUCAGCAAAUGCCUAAUCUGGUGGUUGAAGUAAUGAAGGAAAAGGAAGGGGAAAUCGAUACCGUUGAUAAGCUGUACCUGUAUCGAUCAUUGGCAGGACCAAGGGAAGACGCUCCAUCAUUUGUCAACAUCUUGUAGUACUGCCAUUGAAGAAGUUUGUUGUAAGGUCAUGUUUGUUCUACUAUUCCUGACCAUUGCUGUUGUAUUCCUGUUCAAGUAUUGCCAGAGCCAGAGAGGAAGAUCCCCGCGGAUGAUUUUGAAUUGCGGGAAAUAUGAAUGCAUCAUUAAUUAAGCAGAUCAUCAAUUAUUCUUUUCUGGGCUGAUUGAGUCGAGGCUUGAACCUGUACGAGGUUUCUUUGAUGUAUGUAUCUUAGUGAGGCAUCUCACCUUAUUCCCAACGGAAUCUGAGCUAUUUUCCUGGCCAGCACCAGACUGAUGCCUUUGUUGUACCAUAGUUGAGUUGUCGAAACUGAUUAGUGAUUUCACAGAGACUGGCUGAAGGUCGACUCCAAUUUGGCAGCAGAUUUUACAUGGUUCCUUUUGCCCUCGAGUCUGCAGCCAUUGAUGUUUUGCCAUGUACUGUUCAAUCUAUCUGCUCACACGAAGGAACGGCAUUAUCUACGUUGGAAUGUUCCAUAAACUUUUUGCCUUGUAUUUUAGAUUAUCCUAGCUACGAUAAAUUUCCUCUUCCCAUUUUUUUAUAGUUUCCACAACUUAUUUUUGUAGAUCAAUGUAGACCACUACCACUUUUCUUGGUCACAACCUUCUGCUGUUAUUAAUCAAGAAGAUAUUGGAUGAUGAAAUUCAGUCAACAUCAAUUUGUUAUCAUGUUCUCCUUGCUUUGUUGCCUGUUCAUUUGCCAUGAUCAUGCUAUACUUUGAUUAUGACUGCUCUGCGGCUACCACCAUAGCAAAUAAAUGCCCUCUGCCUGUGUAUUGGCACAUGAUAAGGACAUGACCUACUAAUAAUUUGAUCUCAAGAGUGGUCCUUGGUCCUUGUUUCAUGUAGAUCUGCAUGGCAUCUACUGUCAGAUGGGGAUUUGCCUUUCCAUCCUUCUCCUCUGCGGAUGCCUGGAGGCGUCAAAAGCUCAAAACUCCCAAUGGGCAGAGCUGCAACUUCCACAACGCAAGAGGAAAAAUGUAAUGGUCUUACUCCCUGACAAUAGUAACAUAUACUCUUAUGUUACAAAAUAAUUGGCUAGACAAAGGUUGCGUGUCCUGAUGAUUUUUAGAUCUCUACCUUCCCUGACGGGCUGGCCAUCACUCGAUUCUAGCUUGUUAUGACUAAUCUCACUCUUAUUUUACAAAAAGGACUCUUAAUGUUAAAGUGGGUAAAGCAAUCUGGUCCUCCGUCACCAGCUUUAGGGCAUCCCCAAGGCUAAUUCGCAAAUUUUAUGAUGCAACACAGGGACAUAUAUUAUUAGGGAGAGAUGAAAUGGGAUGAAAGAGAUGAUGCUUCAAUUUGUCUACCAAACGACAAUGCCUUUUUUUAAUAGCGUCAAUUGUUAUUGUACUGCAAGUCGUUUGGGCCAAGCCCAAAAUUCACAAAAUGUUCAAGAAAAAUAUUUAUUUAAAAAAGAUUCAUUUUCCAAAAAAAACUGGAAAUUCAUAAAAACAAUACUUAAUUUUAAAACAUUUAACAUUUAACCUUGUCAUCGACAAUUAUUAAAAAUCCAUAUAAAAAUGAUGCACAAUAACACAUGAAACAAGUUUUGCCAAAAACAAUAAAAAAAUAUUAUUCAAAAAAUAUUUAUAAAAAAUAUGUUGUACACACAAAUGACAUUUCCAAUCAAAAAAACGUUAUUAUCACACUAUAAAAAAAUCCUUUGGAAAAAAAUUAACAAUUUAUCUCUUACAACAAAUUUUAAAAAUUAAUAAAAAAUUAACUAUUAUAAAAAAAUUCAUCCAGUUUUUAUGUAAGCAGUACCUAAUAUUUUAAAAUAAAACAUUUAACAUUAUUAUACACAUUUAUUUCAAUUAAUGUCGCAUAAUGGCACAACAAGCACAUUUUAUAUUUUUUUCCUACCCGGUACACCGCACGGGCAUUUGUACUAGUAUAGCAAAUAUGUCCGUGCACGAUAAUGAAAGAAAAAUUAUAUUGUUGUUCUUUACUAAAAAUCACAACGUAUAAAGCACAAGAAUCAAAAUAUCGUAGAAGAAUAUUUUUAGUUCAUAUUGUAAGCAUCUACAAAACCACACCCAUCCGCGUGAAAAGUUGUAGUCAAGGAAGAAGAAUAUUCGAAAAAUAAGAAAAAGAUUCCCUUCGAUCUAAAUUAAUUGUCAUAGCUUUGGUACAAUUUUAUAGAAGGUAGGAAGUAGUAAAAUUUAGGACAACAGAAUUUCGAUUAUCCCAAUGUUAUGACACACUACUAGGAAAAGGCCUGCUAAUGGCGCACCUGUUUUGGCUACUAAUGGCGCACUACAGGUGUGCCACUAGCAUCACGCCAUUAGAAUUUUUUACUAAUGUAUCUGGUAUACUAAUGGCGCACCAGGCAGUGCGUCAUUAGUAUAGCCCAUGGUGCUCCAUUAGUAUGCCUCCGAGGGCAUAUAUACUAAUGACGCACCAGGCAGUGCGCCAUUAGUAUAGCCCAUAGUGCUCCAUUAGUAUGCCUCCCAGGGCAUAUAUACUAAUGGCGCACCAGGCAGUGCGCCAUUAGUAUAGCCCAUUGUGCUCCAUUAGUAUGCCUCCCAGGGCAUAUAUACUAAUGGCGCACCAGGCAGUACUCUAUUAGUAUAGCCCAGGGAGGGAGCGGAGGGCGGACUGCCUGCCUGCGGCGUCGCCAACGGUCGGGAAAUCCUCGGCCGGCGCGCUUAUUGAUCGCGCUCGCUAAUUGCUGCGAUCUCGCAGUGGAUUUGCGGAGGGGAUGGGUGAGGAUGGUCUGCGCGAUGGCCAUGCCCACGUUGCCGGCCCCGAUGACGAAGAUCUUGGUGAGGCGGCGGUGCGGGACGGCGGAGGAGGUCGGGGUGACCGGGCAGCCGUCGGCCACCGGCUGGAAAAAGCCCGACGAGGCGCCACCGGCGUCGAAGCCCAGCUCCGACAGCGACGAAGCCUUGUGCAUCCUCGACGGGGUGGGGUGGGGUGGGGUGGUGACGCUCCACGACGGCCUUGCCUGGCGGCCGUGGUGGUUCGGGCCGGGGAGGAGAGGAUGAGGGCGAGAGGGGGCUUGCUAGGUUUGGGGUCGUGGGUGGCAGAGAAAUAACUUUUUUUUUGCAAAACNGUUUUGCAAAAAAAAAGUAGUGGCGCACUGGCUGAGUGGUGCGCCAUUACUAGUUAAACUAGUAAUGACGCACUCUACCCCGGUGCGUCAUUAGUACUUUUGGAAAAAAAAUUGUUAGUAGUGGCGCACCGUGUGUGUUGUGCGCCAUUAGUGUCCAUCACACUAAUGGCGCACCUGCACAUGAUGCGCCACUGCUAUAUAGUAGUGGCGCGCCACUUGUCUGGUGCGUCAUUAGUGUUUAUAUUAUCUAUAGCCCUUUUUCUAGUAGUGACAUAUCUACACUGUUUAUUUUGCGAGGCCAUACCGUUUUAUUUAUUUUAUUACAUGUAGCAUCUUGUACAUAUAUACAUGCAUGCAAAGCUCUAAAUGAUCCAAAGACGUGUUUUAUCACUCAAGAAGCCAUGUUGUAUGCAGUUUUUUCUUUUUUGGCUCUUGUUUUUUCCAAAAGCAGCCCCACACACUCCACAUCUUAUCCACGCUUCAGGACUGUGGCGGCCGUUGGCUCCCAUGGCUCCCCGCACGCGGUUGAGGCCAUCUCUCCUUCCGCUUCGGUAGCCCGCUUAGGCUGGUUGUAAUAGGUAGUAUCAUAUACUAGUAUCAUGCAUAUGAUAUUAGUGUAUGCAGGGCCGGCCUUGGCGGGGGCGAACGGGGCGGCCGCCCCGGGCCCCCAAAACUCAGGGGCCCCCUCCCAGGUAUACAUACGUAGAGUAUUUGCAGGGUAUUUGUACAUGCAGGCUGCCAGGCUACAAUGAUUCAGACUUUAAAGCCUCGAAGGCUGGUUCAGGGCCUGGUGCCACAGCCAAACGAAGCCUGAUCCGUUGGCGGCGCUGGCGCUGGCGCUGAUUAAUCUGUACCAGGAAAGGAAAGGGUCAAAGAACCGCUGGUUUGACUAAACAAAAGGAAAGGAAUCGCUGAAUUAACGUACAUGCACAGAAACAUGGAAAGGAAAGGGUCCAUCACGGUAUGUUUCCUAUCUCUGUGUUGCUUUUCCUCUAACUGCCGCUGCCGCUGUUUGUCGCCGCGACGCCGCUAUCUUGCUCCAGCCAGGCUCCAGCGCCCUGUCUCCCUGACUGGCUGACUCGCUCGUUCAAGUUUCAACACUCGCCGCGACGCCGCCCGGCCGCCGUCUUGCUCCUGACGAAGACGUUGGUAGUCUGCAGGCCGCUGUAGCAGGUAUGUAUCUUCUGAACUCCUAGUUUACAUCUAGAUACCCAGAAGCCCUAAUCGUUUUUAGUUAAUCUAAUAUUUUAAUUAACUAAUAGCUAUGUGCUUAUUUUAAAAGCUAAUUGUUCCUUUCAAUUUCACCAAGGUCAUGUCAGGUCCGGGUAGAAAAUAUCCAUCUGGAAGUCUUAAAAGAAAAAAGAAGCAGGAGGUAAAUGAGGAGAAAGAGGCAUUGAGUGGAUCAAUUUUCAAAUAUUAUAAGGGCAACACGAGCACUUCAAGAAAUCCAGAUGAGUUGGCGAUAGUUCUUGUGAAUGACCAAACUAAUGCCAAUCGAAAAGAUGAUGAUCAUACUCCUACAGAAGACGAUGUUGACAUCAACAUGGAUGAUAUCAAUGUGAGUGAUCAUGAGCCCAUAUUUAAUUCAUCUCCGAUAGAAUCUACUAGUAUUGAUGAGGAACCGGUUAUUACUGUGGAUAUUUAUGAUCCAAUCAACUGGGGUAGUCUUGAUAACAAAGCUAGGGACAUAUUAGUGGAAAAGGGGCCUAAAAGGGAAGAAGAAAAUACUACAUAUCCUUUGGAUGGAAAUUUACGACAUUUUGCGUAUAGCCAUUACUCAAGAAAAAUGAGCAAUGGAGAAGUGCGUGAUAGGAGAUGGUUAGUUUUUUCAAAACACGCAAAAAAAGUGUUUUGUUUUUGCUGUAAGCUUUUCAAUUGUGAUAAAUGCAAGAGUGCGUUGGGGCAUGAUGGGUUUUGUGAUUGGCGGCAUAUUAGUGAGAGACUUAAAGAACAUGAAGCUAGUGUCGACCACAUCACCAACAUGAACUCUUGGAAUGAACUGAGAAUUCGACUGAGUAAGCAUGAAACAAUUGAUAAAGAGUUACAACAACAAAUCACAAAGGAGAAGGAACGCAUAAGGCAAGUUUUAUUGAGGAUAGUUGCCAUUGUGAAAUUUCUUGGUAAGCGUAAUUUGGCUUUUAGAGGAUCCAGCGAGCAACUUUAUGACGAUUCAAAUGGCAAUUUCUUAGCUUGUGUGGAGAUGGUUGCGGAAUUCGAUUUCGUAAUGCAAGAUCAUCUUAGGCGUAUUCAAAACAAAGAUAUCCAUUACCAUUAUCUUAGCCAUAAAAUUCAGAACGAGUUGAUUUCUCUUAUGGCUCUUGACAUUAGAAAUUCUAUCAUCAAGAUUGUCAAAGUGGCCAAAUAUUUCACUGUUAUCCUAGAUUGUACCCCGGAUGUGAGUCAUCAAGAACAAAUGAGUUUCUUGGUUCGAUGUGUUCAUAUGUUUGAUGGAAAAUACAAAUUGUGGAGUACUUUCUUGGUUUUUUGGUAGUGGAGGACACAUCAGGUUUGGGAAUUUUCAAUGUAUUGGUUGAUUCUAUGAUGUCCUUCGGUCUUAAUAUUGAUGACAUUAGGGGCCAAGGUUAUGACAAUGGAUCUAACAUGAAAGGAAAAUACAAGGGGGUUCAAAGUCGGUUGCUUGAGGUAAAUCCAAGAGCUUUGUAUAUGCCAUGUGCUUGCCAUAGUCUCAAUCUCACUCUUUGUGAUAUGGCUAAAUCUUCUGGUAAAGCUGUUUCUUUUUUUGGAAUUGUGCAACGAAUAUAUGUACUAUUUAGUGGUUCUACCAAAAGAUGGAAAGUUUUUGUGAGCCAUGUGAAAGAUUUAACUGUGAAAUCUUUGAGCAAUACUCGCUGGGAGAGUCGGAUUAAAAGUGUAAAAGCAAUUAGAUAUCAAGCUCCUAGCAUAAGAUCAGCUCUACUUGAGUUAAGUGAAGAUAGUGGUACAGAACCCAAGGAUAGGAGUGAUGCAAAAAAUUUGUUUGAUGUGCUUGGCAGCUAUGAGUUCAUACUUGGCAUGGUCAUUUGGCAUGACAUUCUAUUUGCUGUAGAUACAGUGAGCAGGAAGCUGCAAUCACCAUCCAUGUGUAUUGAGUCUGCCUUAACGCAAAUAGAUGGUAUGAGGACUUAUUUUGACACUUAUAGAGAGGAAGGGUUUGUUUCUAGUGUGGUAAUUGCCAAAACAAUUGCAGCUGAAAUGGGUGUUGAGCCAUCAUUUCCAGUAAAACGUCGUGUUUCUAGGAAGAAACAAUUUGAUGAAGAUGACAAUGAUGAAGCAAUGUUUGAAGCUGAGAAGGAUUUUAAAGUCAAUUAUUUUUUGGUCAUGGUUGAUAAGGCGAUCACUUCACUAAAAAACAGAUUUGAAGAACUUGAAUCAUUCAAAAAAAUAUUUGGAUUUUUAAUGAGUUCGACGACCUUGAAGUCAUUGGAGCAUUCUGAACUUAAAAACAGUUGCACUAAAUUUGCAAGUUCUUUCUCCUCAAGUGGUUCAUGUGAUGUUGAUUUAAAUGAUCUGAUUUCUGAGUUAACUGUUAUACAGUCAACUUUGCCUGAUAGAGCAAUGUCUGCUAUGGAUAUUUUUGAGUUUGUCAGAGAAUCAGAUUGUUAUCCUAAUAUUUCUAUUGCAUAUCGGAUUUUCUUUACUAUGCCUGUGACUGUGGCAUCAGCUGAAAGGAGUUUCUCGAAGUUGAAAUUAUUGAAGAACUACCUGACAUCUACAAUGUCGCAAGAGAGAUUAAAUGGCUUGGCAACUUUAUGCAUCGAGAAAAAAUUCUUGGAUGAAAUUAAUAUUGAUACUAUCAUUAGCGAUUUUGCUUCUCGGAAUGCUAGGAGAAAUUUUUAAAGGUAAUAUGUAAUACAUUAUGCAAUAUGCACAUUGAUUUUUGAUUAACUUAAUUAUAUAUGAUGAAUGCUUUAUAUAAAAUAAAAUAUAUGAUGAUUACUAGUUAGAUAUUUAUACUAAGGGCCCCGAAGGGCUCUGGAUUGUAGUUUCGCCCCGGGCCCCUGAAACCUCAGGACCGGCCCUGAGUGUAUGGUACCACAUCCCUAAUGCAUAGUAUCAUAUGUUAGUAUCAUAGAAUAAUUUAUUUAUUAUCAUGCAAGACACAUAGUAGCACAUCAUUUAAUAUGAUACUCAACCCUUUCUUUUUUCAUUUAAUUGUAUGUCACCUCAUUAAAAUUACUUAGUUGACAUGCAUGAUACUACCUAUGAUACUUUCAUUACGGACAGGCUUACAAUGAAUCGAAGCACCCAUUCUCAUAUUGUGUUGAUCCAAAUUGCAUGGUGCUGUGUGCGAGGCACCUCCCCCUUCUCAUUUUCUGUUCUGUGAUUCCGGUGGUAGCUGUUUUAGAGAACUUACGAAACAUAUUUGAAUCGAUGGGAUUCCUUAUAAUCGAGGUGACAUUAUUUAACGGUAAAACCAAUGCGUCCUUUGUCUUUUUAUGAGGGAAUACCUCCUCUGUCUUUUAAUACUACUCGCUCUUCUGUUGACAAGCAUGUGUUGUCUUAAUUGGUGAAGAGAGCCUUAUCUUUGUAUGGCCCCGUGUGAGCUCAUGAGUUCGUGGAAUCUAUACAUAGUCCGAGUUGACGUUUAUAAAAGCGAGGGACCAUUUUACAUAUUAAUAUGAUGGAUUAAAAAUACCUAUUUUUUAUUAGUAUGUAUAGAUUAUGGAUGGGGUAUAAAGUACACGAUGAUAUACCUCAAGAUCAUAUGAAUGAAUCCUAGUCUAUAAACCUUGCCUCUACAAAUUGAAUCCAUCGACUUAUAUAUAUACGCACCCGGGGUAUCUAGGGUUAUAAGUAUGUUGGCUACAACUAGAAAUAACAUGCCGAUCAUUCAAACAUGCCUUGAAAUGUACUCUAUGUCUUCAAAGGAUUUCAUCUGAAGUACGCCAAGGGCCAUGAUAUUUACGGUUAAUUUGUCAGUUGUCGGGAUAUCCUCGGCCGAGCCUAAUAAUUGCAUGGCAACGUGGUGUGCACCCCCUAAUCUAAGACACCAUUAGUAGUCCUGAACUUGUCUUCAAGCCAAGGAAUUUGGUGGUUCUCUCGGAACAGCUUAAUGGUUUUUGUUUGGCUUCAUAGGCGAGUUUCGUCUUCCACGUCGUCUACCCGAUCCGAGGGCAUAUCCAGAUCCGAAGUCUUAGGAAGGGACCUCUUUUGGCAAGGCCCUUUUUAUUUUUUACUAGGUCCAAAGUCAACUACGUGAGGUCGACUCCUCUUUACUUCUCCGAGUUUCCUCGGCGACCUUUGGCAGUUUUGUGGUCCCACAUUUCGACAUACUCAUCAAAAGGAGUCGGCGGGCGGAGAUCCAUCGUUAAUGAGGAUGUAGAGAUGUGGGCAACCGAAUGGUUUUAUAUCGCCGAUAUCCCACUUGAGGAUCCUAUUCGACAAGGUUUUCCCCCCUUUGUUCACACACCACCGAAAAGAGAUAAAACUAGUGUGAGUCUCUCUCAAGAAGACGAUGCCGAGGUUGCCCGACUGGCCACCCAAGCCACUUGCCUUGGCCACCACACGCUUACUAUCAUUAAUGUGAUGGUCGUAGCUAUAGGUCGAGGAGUUCAGCCACUUUAAUGGCACACUCAUCCAUUAUGUAGAUACAAUGUCUCCGACGAUGCCACCAGAGCUGUUAGAAAAGGUUCCAAGAACCAAGACACCCUGGCGACAACACUGGAGGCGAUUUUUAAAGGGGAGAAAAGAGGAUUUUGUCUCCUUCGAAAAUAAAAUCAGACUUGGUAAACUUUAGAGCAGCAAAUUUUGUCUCCUUGAUGAUGGAACUAUAUCUUCCCCCUGUGUCGGACUUGAUGUAUUUAACAACUGCUUCACAGUCACAAGCAAUAAAACUUGAUUCAAGGACAGAUCAAGUGCUAGAGCCAUAGCUUCCCGAGAUGAAAGUGCUUCAAGAGUUGGUUGAUCUGUAACUCUAGUGAAAACCAUUGCUGAAGAACCCAAGAAAUGUCCCAUGUGAUCACGGAAAAUAGUUGUCGCGACACCUUUGUUACCAUUCCUGGAGAUACCCCCAUCAACCUGGAUCUUGGCUACUCCCUGGGCAGGAGCAAUCCACCGAGUCGGUCGAAUUCUCGGGGCACCCGCGGUAGAACAAGUUCCUCAUGUCUCCUUUUCUUUGAUGCUUGCAAGUUCAGCGUUAUAGUUGGUAACGAAAGCGUUAGUUGCAUGGGGGGCUGCAAAAUUUCUUCGUGGAUAGCUUUACGGAGAACAGACCAAAUGGCCAACAUAGAAACCAGCAAUUUGGUCAGCCUAGCAUGAGGCAAAUCCUCAAUCACUGCAAACAACCAGUCCUUUACUUUAGGCUCUAAAGUUGUCUGAAUAUAAUCCGCAAUAUCUUCAUCCUCGAGAGCCCAAAUACACCUUGCAACCGAGCAUUCUAUAACCGAGUAUCUCCACGAAUCUUGCAUCCCGCACGGCUAGCACUUGUUAUUGUUCGACAUAUUUCUGCUUUGACGAACAUCUUUAGUUGGAAUCGAGUGCCUUGCGAGUCACCACUAGAAAUUACGGAUUUUACCAAUUAUUUGAACUACCCAUAGAUAAGUCCAUGCCUUAGAAUCGUCGGAAGAGGACGACCCUGCAUUGCCCUCUAGCCAGUCCUCUCAUCGUUUCUUAGUGUCAACCAACAUAUGGUAUGCCGAUCUCAUAGUGAAUAGGCCGUUUUUCUCAUAGUUCAAUGCCCAAUGGUCAUCUAUCUGACUAGUGCAGAUAGGAAUACUCAAGAUAGCAGCCGAAUCUGCUGUUACAAAGUUUUGGUGCAAAACUUCUUAGUUCGAGGCCACGUUGGUGCUAUAUAUCAGCUCACUAACCAUCCAUGGCGGGUUGGCUGACAAGCAAGCAAUAUGCCUCGUUGAAGCAGGUUUUUGAAAUCCACUUAUCCAUCCAUAUAUGUGUGGUUGUUCCGUCACCAAUUCUUUUUAUCGGACCCUGAGUCAACACUUCUUUCCCCUCCAGAAUACACCACCAUAUCUGUGAUGGCUUGUUACCAAGCUCAGCUCAGAGGAUCGAUCCCUGAGGGUAAUAUAUUAACUUCAGUAAGCGCGCACAUAGAGAGUCUGGUUGAUGUAAUAAUCUCCAAGACUGUUUAGCUAGCAGUGCAAGGUUGAAUAGCUCAAAUCUCGGAAACUGAGGCCUCCCAUGUGUUUAGGUUGGGUCAUAUCUUUCCAGGAAACCCACGCUCGCUUUCGCUUUCCUUCCUUACUCCCCACCAAAACUAUCUGAUUAGUUUAUUUAGAUUCUCACACAACACCCUUGGUAGUUUGAAGCAAGACAUCGAGAAACCCAGUACUGCUUGUGCUAUAUACUUGACCAAAACCACCUUACCAGCGGAUGACAAGCACUUCUCUAUCCAUCCCUUAACUUUGCUCCACAACCUAUCUUUUAAAAACUUGAAAGCACCAUAUUUUGAUGUACCUAUAUUAGAGGGCAUACCUAGGUAGUUGUUAUUCAAAAUCUCGUUGGUCACAUUCAGAAUGCUUUUUAUCUCUUCUUUUGUGUUGGCAAGACACGCUUUACUAAAGAAUAUAGAAGAUUUCAAUGUAUUAAUUCGCUCACCUGAAGCUUGGCAGUAGCUCUCCAACAGGUUUGACACUUCAGUCGCCCCUCCAUCAUUAGCUUUGAAGAACAACACGCUGAUAUCCGCAAAAAGUAAGUGAUUAACCGAUGGUGCCGAGGGGGCCACGUGAAUACCUCCCAAUCAAGAUGACUGACUUAAAAUUUUUAAGAGGCCUUAAAGGCCCUCCGCUGCCAACAAAACCAGGUAAGAAGAAAUUGUUGGAAUUAUGCCCUANNNNNNNNNNNNNNNNNNNNNNNNNNNNNNNNNNNNNNNNNNNNNNNNNNNNNNNNNNNNNNNNNNNNNNNNNNNNNNNNNNNNNNNNNNNNNNNNNNNNNNNNNNNNNNNNNNNNNNNNNNNNNNNNNNNNNNNNNNNNNNNNNNNNNNNNNNNNNNNNNNNNNNNNNNNNNNNNNNNNNNNNNNNNNNNNNNNNNNNNNNNNNNNNNNNNNNNNNNNNNNNNNNNNNNNNNNNNNNNNNNNNNNNNNNNNNNNNNNNNNNNNNNNNNNNNNNNNNNNNNNNNNNNNNNNNNNNNNNNNNNNNNNNNNNNNNNNNNNNNNNNNNNNNNNNNNNNNNNNNNNNNNNNNNNNNNNNNNNNNNNNNNNNNNNNNNNNNNNNNNNNNNNNNNNNNNNNNNNNNNNNNNNNNNNNNNNNNNNNNNNNNNNNNNNNNNNNNNNNNNNNNNNNNNNNNNNNNNNNNNNNNNNNNNNNNNNNNNNNNNNNNNNNNNNNNNNNNNNNNNNNNNNNNNNNNNNNNNNNNNNNNNNNNNNNNNNNNNNNNNNNNNNNNNNNNNNNNNNNNNNNNNNNNNNNNNNNNNNNNNNNNNNNNNNNNNNNNNNNNNNNNNNNNNNNNNNNNNNNNNNNNNNNNNNNNNNNNNNNNNNNNNNNNNNNNNNNNNNNNNNNNNNNNNNNNNNNNNNNNNNNNNNNNNNNNNNNNNNNNNNNNNNNNNNNNNNNNNNNNNNNNNNNNNNNNNNNNNNNNNNNNNNNNNNNNNNNNNNNNNNNNNNNNNNNNNNNNNNNNNNNNNNNNNNNNNNNNNNNNNNNNNNNNNNNNNNNNNNNNNNNNNNNNNNNNNNNNNNNNNNNNNNNNNNNNNNNNNNNNNNNNNNNNNNNNNNNNNNNNNNNNNNNNNNNNNNNNNNNNNNNNNNNNNNNNNNNNNNNNNNNNNNNNNNNNNNNNNNNNNNNNNNNNNNNNNNNNNNNNNNNNNNNNNNNNNNNNNNNNNNNNNNNNNNNNNNNNNNNNNNNNNNNNNNNNNNNNNNNNNNNNNNNNNNNNNNNNNNNNNNNNNNNNNNNNNNNNNNNNNNNNNNNNNNNNNNNNNNNNNNNNNNNNNNNNNNNNNNNNNNNNNNNNNNNNNNNNNNNNNNNNNNNNNNNNNNNNNNNNNNNNNNNNNNNNNNNNNNNNNNNNNNNNNNNNNNNNNNNNNNNNNNNNNNNNNNNNNNNNNNNNNNNNNNNNNNNNNNNNNNNNNNNNNNNNNNNNNNNNNNNNNNNNNNNNNNNNNNNNNNNNNNNNNNNNNNNNNNNNNNNNNNNNNNNNNNNNNNNNNNNNNNNNNNNNNNNNNNNNNNNNNNNNNNNNNNNNNNNNNNNNNNNNNNNNNNNNNNNNNNNNNNNNNNNNNNNNNNNNNNNNNNNNNNNNNNNNNNNNNNNNNNNNNNNNNNNNNNNNNNNNNNNNNNNNNNNNNNNNNNNNNNNNNNNNNNNNNNNNNNNNNNNNNNNNNNNNNNNNNNNNNNNNNNNNNNNNNNNNNNNNNNNNNNNNNNNNNNNNNNNNNNNNNNNNNNNNNNNNNNNNNNNNNNNNNNNNNNNNNNNNNNNNNNNNNNNNNNNNNNNNNNNNNNNNNNNNNNNNNNNNNNNNNNNNNNNNNNNNNNNNNNNNNNNNNNNNNNNNNNNNNNNNNNNNNNNNNNNNNNNNNNNNNNNNNNNNNNNNNNNNNNNNNNNNNNNNNNNNNNNNNNNNNNNNNNNNNNNNNNNNNNNNNNNNNNNNNNNNNNNNNNNNNNNNNNNNNNNNNNNNNNNNNNNNNNNNNNNNNNNNNNNNNNNNNNNNNNNNNNNNNNNNNNNNNNNNNNNNNNNNNNNNNNNNNNNNNNNNNNNNNNNNNNNNNNNNNNNNNNNNNNNNNNNNNNNNNNNNNNNNNNNNNNNNNNNNNNNNNNNNNNNNNNNNNNNNNNNNNNNNNNNNNNNNNNNNNNNNNNNNNNNNNNNNNNNNNNNNNNNNNNNNNNNNNNNNNNNNNNNNNNNNNNNNNNNNNNNNNNNNNNNNNNNNNNNNNNNNNNNNNNNNNNNNNNNNNNNNNNNNNNNNNNNNNNNNNUCGCGGGAUUGUUCGCGGGGCGGAUCGAGGGACGUGAGGACGUUCCACUACAUCAACCGCGUUCUCUAACGCUUCUGCUGUACGAUCUACAAGGGUACGUAGAUCACUCAUCCCCUCUCGUAGAUGGACAUCACCAUGAUAGGUCUUCGUGCGCGUAGGAAAAUUUUUGUUUCCCAUGCGAUGUUCCCCAACAGAAAUUAGGUCUCCCUGAAGGAUACCUCUGCUUGGUUUGAAUUCCUCUAAACUUUUCCCAUUGAACAACACUGAAUAUGAAACCGAAUUAACUAGAUUCAUGACUAUAUGAACGCACCUUCGGUAGAAUAGUAGCUUCAGCAUGAUUUCCUUUGGGUAUUGCCCUUCUAAUCUGUCAUAAGAUUUCAUCAUAUCAAGUUUCAACGCACAAUGCUGAUGCUUCACCGCCUUGUUUCACUUCAUGAAAUGCAGGCACUCAUAAGCCACUAUAAUUUUAUCUGUGAUCAGCCCCCGAGGCGCAAAAGCAUAUUGCUCUGCUGAAAUAAUCUCCGGCAGCACCAUCUUAAGGCGAUUUGCGAUCACCUUUGAAGCUAUCUUAUAUAAAACAUUACACAAGAUGAUAGGACGAGAUUGUGAAAGCAAAACUGGGUUUUUUAACCUUUGGGAUCAGAACCAGAUAGGUUUGGUUGAUUCCCUCAACACUUUCUGUACCUUCAACAAUUUUUAGCACAACUGAAGUCGCCUCUUCGCCUCAAACACCCCAAUGUUUCUGAAAAAAAUGAGCAGGGAAUCCAUCCGACCUAGGAGCUUUAGUGGGAAACAUUUGGUAUAGCGUAGUUUUGACUUCCUUCUCAGAAUACGUUGCAGCUAGGAGGGCAUGCAUAUCAUCUGUAACUUUCCGAGGGACCGAGUCUAGCACCUCCUACAUGUUAGUGCACCCCUCCGACGUGUAGUGGUUCUUGUAGAACUCCGUUGUCACACCUUCCAAUUCUACAUUAUCUUCAGUAAUCUGCCCAUCUGGUCUAGCAAGAGCUGUAAUUUUAUUCUACCUCCUCCUCAAUGAAGCCCUCUGCUGAAAUUUUUUAGUAUUUUUCUCCCUAUGAGUGAGCCAGCCACUCUAGAACGUUGACGCUAUAAGACUUCGUCUCUAUAACAUAAUUCAACCAGCCGGUCCAUAGCCAUUAUUUCUUGCCGGCUCGGUCCCAUCCUCCCUCGUACAUUCUUCAGAAUUUCUAGUUCACUUUUGAGUUGUUUGAUCUCCUUUUUCACACUCCAAAAAGUGUCGCGAUCCUAGCUAGACAAGUUGUUGCUCAGAUCAUGCAGUUUAUCCCUCACCCCACUGCUAUUGAGCCUUUUGGUUUUAUAUUCCACUUCUCAUUGACACAUUGGUGCAGCUCAGAAUGUCUCUCCCAAGCCACUUCAUGUCUGAAAAUCCUCGGUCUUCUCUGAGAAUCCACCACAUCCGUCAGGUGCAUAACUAUCGGGCCAUGGUCAGAACAAGCAGCAGACUCAUUACAGACUUUGGCGUUGGGGAAAAUAGAGUUGCACUCAGCAUCGGCCACUUCCCUAUCCAACCUAACCAUUGUCUAAGUUCCAUCCGAUACCUUCUUCUCAAAAGUCCACAUCCUCCCUUUGUAGCCCAUAUCUACAAGACCACAGAUAUCAAGUGCAUCUCUAAAACUUUCCAUUUGCACCUGCCCUCUAGGAUUCACACCCUCAUGUUCAGCCUGUGAGACAACUUCGUUGAAAUCACCAAUAGCCACCCAUGAUAGACUAUACACCCCUGCAAGUCAUGUCAAAGUAUUCCACGUCUUGUACCUCUCCACCACCUAUGCCUCCCCAUGGACGCUAGUUAACCUCCAAGGAGAAGUCCCGAGUUCUAUGUUGCUAGUAUCAAUAUGAUAUCUCGAAUAACCCAUAACUUCUAGUUUUAUUACAUCAUUAUAGUAAAUUGCAAUACCCCCACUCCUGCCCGAACUACUGACAGCAAAAGAUCUGUCAUGUUGGAAAUAUGCCCUAGAGGCAAUAAUAAAGUGGUUAUUAUUAUAUUUCCUAGUUCAUGAUAAUUGUCUAUUAUUCAUCCUAUAAUUGUAUUAACUGGAAAUCGUAAUACAUGUUUGAAUAUAUAGAUCACAACAUGUCCCUAGUGAGCCUCUAGUUGGCUAGCUCGUUGAUCAAUAGAUGAUCAUGGUUUCCUGAUCAUGGACAUUGGAUGUCAUUGAUAAUGGGAUCGCAUCAUUAGGAGAAUGAUGUGAUGGACAAGAACCAAUCCUAAGCGUAGCACUAGAUCGUAUUGUUCGCUUGCUAAAGCUUUUCUAAAUGUCAAGUAUCAUUUCCUUAGACCAUGAGAUUGUGCAACUCCCGGAUACCGUAGGAGUGCUUUGGGUGUAUCAAACAUCGCAACGUAACUGGGUGAUUAUAAAGGUGCACUACAGGUAUCUCCGAAAGUGUCUGUUGGGUUGGUACGAAUCGAGACUGGGAUUUGUCACUCCAUGUGAUGGAGAGGUAUCUCUGGACCCACUCAGUAAUGCAUCAUCAUACUAAGCUCAAUGUGACUAAGGAUUUAGCCACAGGAUGAUGUGUUACGGAAUAAGUAAAGAGACUUACCGGUAACGAGAUUGAACAAGGUAUAGGGAUACCGACGAUCGAAUCUCGAGCAAGUAUCAUACCGGUAGACAAAGGGGAUUGCAUACGGGAUUGAUUAAAUCCCCGACAUCGUGGUUCAUCCGAUGAGAUCAUCGUGGAACAUGUGGGAGCUAACAUGGAUAUCCAGACCCCGUUGUUGGUUAUUAAUCGAAGAGGUGUCUCGGUCAUGUCUGCAUGGUUCCCGAACCCGUACGGUCUACACACUUAAGGUUUGAUGACGCUAGGGUUGUUAUGGGAAUAAUAUACGUGGUCACCGAAGGUUGUCCAGAGUCCCGGAUGAGAUCCCGGACGUCACGAGGAAUUCCGGUAUGGUCCGGAAGUAAAGAUUCAUAUAUAGGAAGUGGAGUUUUGAUCGCCGGAAGAGUUUCAGAGAUCGUCGGUAUUGUACCGGGACCACCGGAAGGGUUCCGGGGGUCCACCGGGAAGGGCCACCAGCCCCGAAGGGGUAUGUGGGCCGAAACUGUAUGGGAACCAGCCCCUGGGUGGGCUGGUGCGCCACCCACCUCAGCCCAAGACACACAAGAGGGGAAGGGAGGGCUAACACUAGGCGUGGGGGCAGCCUUGGGCGCCAAGCCCACCCUAGGGCGUCGCCCCUCUUCCAUCUAUGGGUUUGCUGCACCACCUAGGGGAAACCCUAGGGGUGGCGCACCCUCCUCCCUCUCCUCCUAUAUAAACCCAAGGGGUUUUGGGGCUGCAACACACAAGUUUCACCUCUCCACGGUACAAUGAUACGUCCAUUUUGCAUCAUGUUUUCAUGUUGAUAUUUANNNNNNNNNNNNNNNNNNNNNNNNNNNNNNNNNNNNNNNNNNNNNNNNNNNNNNNNNNNNNNNNNNNNNNNNNNNNNNNNNNNNNNNNNNNNNNNNNNNNNNNNNNNNNNNNNNNNNNNNNNNNNNNNNNNNNNNNNNNNNNNNNNNNNNNNNNNNNNNNNNNNNNNNNNNNNNNNNNNNNNNNNNNNNNNNNNNNNNNNNNNNNNNNNNNNNNNNNNNNNNNNNNNNNNNNNNNNNNNNNNNNNNNNNNNNNNNNNNNNNNNNNNNNNNNNNNNNNNNNNCUCGGGAGCGUUUUUCCUCCUAUAAGACUUUGUCCAGGCUUGUCCCUUGCUACAAAAGGGAUUGGGGCACUUUUUUGCACCGUUGCUACUUUUGCUACUUGUUGCUUGCUACGGAUCAUCUCACCACACAAUCACUUGUUACCGACAAUUUCAGUGCUUGCAGAUUUUUCCUUGCUGAAAACCACUUGUCAAACCCUUCUGCUCCUCGUUGGGUUCGACACUCUUACUUAUCAAAAGGACUACGAUUGAUCCCCUAUACUUGUGGGUCAUUGAUACGUCUCAAACGUAUCUAUAAUUUUUGAUGGUUUCACGCUGUUAUCUUGUCAACUUUGGAUGUUUUAUAUACCUUUUAUAUCUUUUUUGGGACUAACUUAUUAAUUCAGUGCCAAGUGCCAGUUCCUCUUUUUUCUGUGUUUUUGACUCUUUUCAGAUCUGAUUUUGGAACGGAGUCCAAACGGAAUAAAAUCCCCGAAAUAAUUUUUUCCAGAAUAGAAGAAGAUCGGGAGGCUUGAGGGCCAAGCCACGGGACCCACAGGGAGCCCACAAGCCCUGUUGCCGCGGCCAAGGGGGGCCCACGGCAACCAGGCUUGUGGCCUCCCUGGCGCUCCCCGGCCCUAGCUCUUUGGCCUAUAAAUUCCCUAAAAUCCCAUAAAAAAUCACGGCAUCCACGAAAACACUUUUCCGCCGCCGCAAGCUUCCGUUUCCGCGAGAUCUCAUCUGGAGACCCUUCCCGGUGCCCUGCCGGAGGGGACUUUGGAGUUGGAGGGCUUCUACAUCAACAUCAUCGCCUCUCCAAUGACUCGUGAGUAGUCCACUUCAGACCUACGGGUCCGUAGUUAGUAGCUAGAUGGCUUCUUCUCUCUCUUGGAUCUUCAAUACAAAGUUCUCCAUGAUCUUCAUGGAUAUCUAUCCAAUGUAAUCCUCUUUGGCGGUGUGUUUGUCGAGAUCCGAUGAAUUGUGGAUUUCUGAUCAGAUUAUCUAUGAAUUAUAUUUGAGUCUUUGUUGAUUUCUUAUAUGCAUGAUUUGAUAUCCUUGUAAGUCUCUCCGAGUCUUGGGUUUUGUUUGGCCAACUAGAUCUAUGAUUCUUGCAAUGGGAAGUGCUUGGUUUUGGGUUCAUACCGUGUGGUGACCUUUCCCAGUGACAGAAGGGGCAGCAAAGCACGCAUCGUGUUUUUGCCAUCAAGGGUAACAAGAUGAGCUUUUAUCGUUGAUAUGAGAUUGUCCAUCUACAUCAUGUCAUCUUGCUUAAGGUGUUACUCUGUUCUUUUGGACUUAAUACACUAGAUGCAUGCUGGAUAGCGGUCGACGUGUGGAGUAAUAGUAGUAGAUGCAGAAAGUAUCGGUCUACCUGUUUUGGAUGUGAUGCCUAUAGACAUAAUCAUUGCCUUAGCUAACGUCGCGACUUUGCGCGGUUCUAUCAAUUGCUCGACAGUAAUUCGUUCACCCACCGUCUACUUGCUUUCAUGAGAGAAGCCACUAGUGAACACUACGUCCCCCGGGUCUAUUCACAACUAUCGUCUCUACUUUCACUUUUACUUUGCUUUGCUUACUUUUUUGCUUUCAGUUCUCACUUUGCAAACAAUCUAUAAGGGAUUGACAGCCCCUUCAUAGCGUUGGGUGCAAGCUCUUUGUGUUUGUGCAGGUACUUGUGACUUGAACGCUCCUCCUACUGGAUUGAUACCUUGGUUCUCAAAACUGAGGGAAAUACUUACCGCCGCUGUGCUACAUCACCCUUUCCUCUUCAAGGGAACACCAACGCAAGGCUCCAAGGCCGUGGGGAAAUCCUUUGCAUAUUUGCCAAGGAAGUCCCUAUAGGCGUAGCCGUAGCAGCAGGAUUCCUGGCGCCUUUGCCAGGGAAGGUCUGUUGUCGCAGUAGCAGUCAUCAAGACUCUUUUCUGGCGCCGUUGCCGGGGAGUGAAGCGCCUUUGGUAAGUGGAACUUGGUAAGGGAACAUUCAUAUAGUGUGCUGAAAUUUGUUGUCACUUGUCACUAUGGAUACUAAUCCUUUGAGGGGCUUGUUCGGGGUAUCUUCACCUCGAAUGGAAGCACAAGGAGUUGCUCCUCAACCUGCUGCACAUACUGAAAAUAUUUGCUUUGAAUUUCCUUCGGGUAUGCUUGAGAAACUGCUGGCUAAUCCUUUUACACGAGAUGGAACAUCACAUCCACACUUGCAUCUAAUCUAUGUAGAUGAAGUUUGUGGUUUAUUUAAGCUUGCGGGUUUGCCCGAGGAUGAGGUCAAGAAGAAGGUCUUUCCUUUAUCUUUGAAGGAUAAGGCGUUGACAUGGUAUAGGCUAUGUGAUGAUACUCGAUCAUGGGACUACAAUCGGUUGAAAUUGGAAUUUCAUCAAAAAAUUUAUCCUAUGCAUUUAGUACAUCGUGAUCGGAAUUAUAUUUAUAAUUUUUGGCCUCGUGAAAGAGAAAGCAUCGCUCAAGCUUGGGGGAGGCUUAAAUCAAUGCUAUAUUCAUGCCCCAAUCAUGAGCUCUCGAGAGAAAUUAUCAUUCAGAACUUCUAUGCUCGGCUUUCUCAUGAUGAUCGCACCAUGCUUGACACUUCUUGUACCGGUUCUUUUAUGAAGAGAGAUAUUGACUUCAAAUGGAAUUUAAUGGAGAGAAUUAAAUGCAACUCUAAAGAUUGGGAGCUUGAAGAAGGUAAGGAGUCAGGUAUCAAUUUCACGUUUGAUUGCGUUAAAUCCUUUGUUGAGACAAAUAGUUUUUGUGACUUUAGCGCUAAGUAUGGACUUGACUCUGAGAUAGUAGCUUCAUUGUGUGAAUCAUUCGCUGCUCAUAUUGAUCUCCCCAAAGAGAGGUGGUUUAAAUAUCAUCCUCAUUUAGAAGUCAAUGUAGUUAAACCCACUCCAGUUGAAGAGAAAGUCAUUGCCUAUAAUGAUCAUGUGGUUCCCAGUGCUUACAUUGAGAAACCACCUUUCCCUAUUAGGAUAAAGGAUCAUUCUAAAGCUCCAACUGUGAUACGUAGAGGCUAUAUUAGAACACCUACACCCCCUGAGCAAAUUCGAGUUGAACCUAGCAUCGCUAUUAUCAAAGAUCUUCUGUCCGACGAUGUUGAGGGACAUAAUAUUCACUUCUGUGAAGAUGCCGCUGGAAUUGCUAAACCUCACGUUAGAGACAAACAUAGGCUUGUUGUUGGCAUGCCUGUGGUUUCUGUUAAGAUAGGAGAUCAUUGUUAUCAUGGUUUAUGUGACGUGGGUGCUAGUGUUAGUGAAAUACAUCAAUCCUUAUACGAUGAAAUCAAAGAUGAGAUUGCACCUGUUGAGAUAGAGCCUAUUGAUGUCACCAUUCAGCUUGCCAAUAGAGAUACUAUCUUCCCUAUGGGAAUUGUUAGGGAUGUUGAAGUCUUGUGUGGUAAAACGAAGUAUCCUACUGAUUUCCUCGUUCUUGCUACCGCACAAGAUAGUUUUUGUCCCAUCAUAUUUGGUAGACCCUUCCUCAAUACUGUCAAUGCUCAUGUUGAUUUUGAGAACCAAACUGUCACUGUUGGCUUUGAAGGUGUGUCACAUGAGUUCAAUUUCUCCAAGUUUGGUAGACAACCUCAUGAAAAGGAGUUGCCUAGUAAGGAUGAAACUAUUGCCUUAGCUUCUAUUCUCGUGCCUCCUACUGAUCCCUUAGAGCAAUGUUUGCUUGAGCAUGAAAAUGAUAUGCAUAUGGAUGAAAGGGAUGAGAUAGAUAGAGUUGUCUUAGAAGAAUAUCCUAUCCUUAAGAAUAACUUGCCUAUUGAACUGCUUGCAGAUCCACCCGCACCAAAGGGUGAUCCUGUGUUCGAGCUUAAACAGUUGCCUGAUACUCUUAAGUAUGCUUAGUUUGAUGAAAAAGAGAUAUAUCCUGUUAUAAUUAGUGCUAGCCUCUCAAAGCAUGAAGAAAAGAAGUUACUAAAAACUCUGAGGAAGCACCGUGCUACUAUUGGAUAUACUCUUGAUGAUCUUAAGGGCAUUAGUCCCACUCUAUGCCAGCACAAGAUUAAAACCGAUCCUGAUUUCAAACCAGUUGUUGAUCAUCAAAGGAGAUUAAAUCCUAAGAUGAAAGAGGUAGUAAGAAAAGAAAUCCUAAAGCUUCUGAAAGCGGGUAUUAUCUAUCAUGUUGCUCAUAGCGAUUGGGUGAGUCUGGUGCAUUGCGUCCUUAAGAAGGGAGGCAUUACCGUUGUACCUAAUGAUAAGGAUGAAUUGAUCCCACAGAGGAUUAUUACUGGCUAUAGAAUGGUGAUCGAUUUUAGGAAAUUGAAUAAGGCCACUAGGAAAGAUCAUUAACCUUUGCCUUUUAUCGACAAAAUGCUAGAAAGGUUGUCUAAACACACACACUUUUGCAUUCUAGACGGUUAUUCUGGUUUCUCCCAAAUACCAGUUGCACAAUCUGAUCAGGAGAAAACCACUUUCACCUGCCCUUUCGGUACCUUUGCUUAUAGACGUAUGCCUUUUGGCUUAUGUAAUGCACCUGCCACUUUUCAAAGAUGUAUGAUGGCUAUAUUCUCUGACUUUUGUGAAAAGAUUGUCGAGGUUUUCAUGGACGACUUCUCCGUUUACGGGUCUUCCUUUGAUGAUUGCCUCAGCAACCUCGAUCGAGUCUUACAGAGAUGUAAAGAGACCAAUCUUGUCUUGAAUUGGGAGAAGUGCCGCUUUAUGGUUAAUGAAGGCAUCGUCUUAGGACAUAAAAUUUCCGAAAGAGGAAUUGAAGUCGAUAAGGCUAAGGUUGACGCAAUCGAGAAAAUACCAUACCCCACAGAUAUCAAAGGUAUAAGAAGUUUCCUUGGUUAUGCUAGUUUCUAUAGAAGGUUCAUUAAAGACUUCUCUAAGAUUUCUAGGCCUCUUACCAAUCUCUUGCAAAAGGAUAUUCCUUUUGUCUUUGACAAUGAUUGUGAGGAAGCCUUCGAAAUACUUAAGAGGGCUUUGAUAACCGCACCUAUUGUUCAACCACCUGAUUGGAACUUGUCGUUUGAGAUCAUGUGUGACGCCAGUGAUUAUGUUGUUGGUGCUCUUCUAGGGCAAAGAGUCGAUAAGAAGUUGAAUGUUAUUCACUACGCUAGUAAAACUCUAGACAGUGCCCAGAGAAACUAUGCUACUACGGAGAAGGAAUUUUUAGCAAUCGUAUUUGCAUGUGAAAAGUUCAGGUCUUACAUAGUUGAUUCCAAAGUCACUAUUCACACUGAUCAUGCUGCUAUCAAGUACCUCAUGGAGAAGAAGGACGCUAAACCUAGACUUAUCAGAUGGGUUCUCUUGCUACAAGAAUUUGAUUUGCACGUUGUCGACAGAAAGGAUAGUGAUAACCCCGUAGCAGAUAACUUGUCUAGGUUGGAGAACGUUCUUGAUGACCCACAACCUAUUGAUGAUAUCUUUCCCGGUGAGCAAUUGAAUGUCAUCAAUGCUUCAGGUAGUGCACCGUGGUAUGCUGAUUAUGCAAACUAUAUCGUUGCCAAAUAUAUACCACCUAGUUUCACGUACCAGCAAAAGAAGAAAUUCUUCUUUGACUUGAGACAUUACUUUUGGGAUGAUACUCACCUUUAUAAGGAAGGAGUAGAUGGUGUUAUUAGACGUUGUGUACAUGAACAUGAACAGGGACAUAUCCUACAGAAGUGUCACUCCGAGGCCUACGGAGGACACCAUGCGGGAGAUAGAACUGCACACAAGGUACUGCAAUCAGGUUUCUAUUGGCCCACUCUCUUCAAGGAUGCAUGUAAGUUUGUCUUGUCUUGUGACGAAUGUCAAAGAAUAGGUAAUAUUAGCAAACGCCAGGAAAUGCCAAUGAACUAUUCACUUGUCAUUAAACCAUUUGAUGUUUGGGGCUUCGAUUAUAUGGGACCUUUUCCAAAAUCCAACGGGUAUACUCAUAUCCUCGUUGUUGUUGAUUACGUCACUAAGUGGGUAGAAGCUAUCCCCACUAGUAGUGCUGAUCACAACACCUCUAUCAGGAUGCUGAAAGAAGUUAUCUUCCCUAGAUUUAUAGUCCCUAGAUAUCUAAUGACCGACGGUGGUUCACACUUCAUUCAUGGUGCUUUCCGUAAAACGCUGGCUAAGUACGAUGUCAACCAUAGAAUUGCGUCUCCCUACCACCCUCAGUCCAGUGGUCAAGUAGAGCUAAGCAAUAGAGAAAUUAAACUAAUUAUGCAAAAGACUAUCAACAGGUCUAAAAAGAAUUGGUCUAAGAAGCUCGAUGAUGCACUGUGGGCUUAUAGAACUGCCUAUAAGAAUCCCAUGGGGAUGUCUCCGUACAAAAUGGUGUACGGUAAAGCAUGUCAUUUACCUCUUGAGCUAGAGCAUAAAGCUUAUUGGGAAAUCAAAGAGCUCAACUUUGAUUUCAAACUUGCCGGUGAGAAGAGGUUAUUUGACAUUAGCUCGCUUGAUGAGUGGAGAACUCACGCAUAUGAGAAUGCCAAGUUGUUCAAAGAGAAGGUUAAGAGGUGGCAUGAUAAGAGGAUACAAAAGCGUGAGUUCAAUGUAGGUGAUUAUGUCUUGCUAUAUAACUCUCAUUUAAGAUUCUUUGCAGGCAAGCUUCUCUCUAAAUGGGAAGGUCCAUAUGUUGUUGAGGAAGUAUAUCGUUCUGGUGCUGUCAAGAUCAACAACACGGAAGGUAAUUGUACGAGAGUGGUAAAUGGGCAGAGAAUCAAGCAUUAUAUCUCAGGUACUCCCAUAAAUGUUGAAAGCAAUAUUAUCAAUACCAUAACUACGGAAGAAUACUUAAGGGAUAUUUAUCAGACUGUUUCAGACUCUGAAAACGAAGAGGUAUGUGAUUUGGUAAGAAAACAGAGUCCAAAAGUUUUCCAGUAGGAAAUUUUCUCUAUUUUGGAAUAUUUGAAAAAAUACAAAAAUUGGAAGUAGUCCAGAAAGUGCGCGAGGAGGCGACAAGCCUGCACGGCGCGGGUCCACCCCCUGGACGCGCCGUGAGGGAUUGUGGCCACCACGUGUGCCUCCCGGACUCCGUUUUCGUGCGGUGUACUCCUUCUGGUCUGGAAAAAAUCAUUAUAUUUCUCCCAUGAGGUCUGACCCUUGUAUAACGCAGAUUUCCUCUACUUUCGUUUCAAGCCUGUUUUCUGCCGCAGAUCUAGGUCAAGAUGUCUUCUCAUGAUUCAGAGGGGGAGAGCUAUGUGGCUGAUUACCUUGCUAACCCCAAGGUCUAUGGGGACUUUGAUCCAUAUGGCUGGACCACUGAUGAGGAAGAAGACUAUGAUCCCAAGGGGAAGGAACAAACAAGUUCCGAUGAAGAGGAGGCUCCUCUACCUCAACCUGGACACACGCAUGUGGAGUUCAAGAAGUCGAGCCUCCCUUACUCAAGGAAGAAGCCUAAGACGUUGUUUAUCCCUUCUCGUUUCUUGGAGGAGAGUAAGCAUGAAUUAUGCCAAAGGGUGUUGAAGCUUGAAGAGGAAAAUGAUGAUCUCAGGGAGCAGAAUUUUAUGCUCAAGUGGAAAUUAAACAAGCUCAAGACCUCUUCAACAACUCCUCCACCAUCACCAACAAAGGAAGACAACUGAGCAUUGGUAUGGGCAAUCCCCUUAGCUUGUGCCAAGCUUGGGGGAGUUUCCCCGGUAUCGUAUCACCAUCACAUCUUUUGCCUUUACCUUUGUUUUAGUUUUCCUUUUUAGUUUUCUUUUUCUCUAGUAGAAUAAAAGGCGUAGUGUUUUAGUCUUGAGUUUUGCUUUGUGUCACCCCCGAUGUAAUCGAGCUCGUGAGCCAUAUAAUAAAGAGUGUCUUAGUUGAAGGGCUUUACCUCUUGCCAUGAUCAAAAGAGUGAGAAUAGAACAAAAGCAUGAAAGAUCAUAUAAUGAUCUUAUGGAAGUGAUGGCUUCACAUAUAAAAAGAAUGAGGAUUGAAACUUGUUGAGGGUAGGCAAACGUAGACCUUGGUCAUGGUCGCAAUUAAUAGGAAGUGAUAAAGAAGGAGAGGUUCAAAUAUAAAUAUAUCAUCUCUAACACCAUCUAUGAUUGUGAACACUCACUAAACUAUUGCAUGCCUAGAAGUAGAUGUUGGACAAGUAAGACAACAUAAUGAAUUGUGUUUGCUUGGAUCCGAACAAUGUUAUAUGAUUAGAGAUCCCUUAGCAUGUGACGAUUGCUUCCACCUCAUAUUAGCCAAAACUCCCGCACCAAGUAGUGAUACAACUUGUGCAUCCAUAAACCAUCAACCCAGUUUUUCCAUGAGUGUCCACCAUACCUACCUAUGGAUUGAAUAAGAUCCCUCAAGUAAGUUGUCAUUGGUGCAAGCAAUAAAAAUUUCUCUCUAAAGUAUGAUCUAUUAGUGUGUGGAAAAUAAGCACCUAAGAUGAGGAAGACAUAAAAGCGACAGACUGCAUAAUAAAGUUCUUUAUCACAGGAGGCAAUAUAAAGUGACGUUCCUCCACACUAAGAGGACACGCAUCCAAACCUCAAAAGCGCAUGACAACCUCUGCUUCCCUCUGCGAAGGGCCUAUCUUGUACCUUUACUUUUUGCCCUUGAAAGAGUCAUGGUGAUCUUCACCAAUUCUCUAUUUCGCCUUUAUCUUGGCUAACGUCAUAUGCUUGGGAAAGAUCUAUAUUCAUAUGUCAACUUGGAAGUAAGUGUUCAUGAAUUAUUAUUGUUGACAUUGCCCUUGAGGUAAGUGGUUGGGAGGCAAAACUGUAAGCCCCUAUCUUUCUCUGUGUCCAGUUGAAACUUUGAUCUCGUGAGUACCACGUGAGUUGUAGCAAUUGUAGAGAACGAAAGAAUGAUUGAGGAUGUGGAUUUGCUUUACAAGCUCUUAUUUGACUCUUUCUGAUGUUGUGAUAAAUUGCAAUUGCUUCAAUGACUAAAGGCUACCGGUUGUUACUUCUCGGUAAGGUUCUUGAUCCAUGCUUUACUUUGUGAAGGAAUUAUCACUUUAGCAUGAGAGAUUAUAUGUGGUAUUGCCGUUCUGAUCAUGAUCAUGAUGCCUGCAUGUUCGUAUCUUGUUUUGUCGACACCUCUCUCCCUAAACAUGUGGACAUAUUUAUUGAGCUUGGCUUUCGCUUGAGGACAAGCGAGGUCUAAGCUUGGGGGAGUUGAUACGUCCAUUUUGCAUCAUGUAUUCAUGUUGAUAUUUAUCGCUUCUUUGGCUGUUAUUUCACUUCACGGUACAAUUCUUAUGCCUUUUCUCUCUUAUUUUGCAAGGUUUACAUGAAGAGGGAGAAUGCCGGCAGCUGGAAUUCUCGCCUGAAAGUGGAGCAAGUUUGAGAUACCUAUUGUGCGCAACUCCAAACACCGUAAAAAUCAACGAGGAUUUUUUUUCCGGAUUUACAAAAAAUACUGGGCCGAAGAAGUGCGAGAGGGGCGCGUGAAGGUGGCCACAAGCCUGCACGGCGCGGCCACCCCCCAGGUCGCGCCAUGAGGGCUUGUGGGAAGCCUGCUGGCCCACUGGGCCCCCUCUUCUGCUAUAUGAAGGGUUUCGUCCAGGGGAAAAUCAAGAAGGGAGCUUUUCCGUGGUUUCGCCGCCGCCACGAGGCGGAACUUGAGCAGAACCAAUCUAGAGCUCCGGCAGGACGAUCCUGCCGGGGAAACUUCCCUCCCGGAGGGGGAAAUCGUCGACAUUGUCAUCACCAACACUCCUCUCAUCGAAGGGGACUCGUCACCAUCAACAUCUUCAUCAGCACCAUCUCAUCUCCAAACCCUAGUUCAUCACUUAUAACCAAUCUCCAUCUCGCGACUCCGAUUGGUACCUGUAAGGUUGCUAGUAGUGUUGAUUACUCUUUGUAGUUGAUGCUAGUUGGAUUACUUGGUGGAAGAGUUUAUGUUCAGAUCCUUGAUGCUACUCAUUACCUCUCUGGUCAUGAACAUGAUUAUGCUUUGUCCACGAGGCGGAACUUGAGCAGAGCCAAUCUAGAGCUCCGGCAGGACGAUCCUGUCAGGGAAACUUCCCGCCCGGAGUGGGAAAUCGUCGCCAUCGUCAUCACCAACACUCCUCUCAUAGGAGGGGACUCGUCACCAUCAACAUCUUCAUCAGAACCAUCUCAUCUCCAAACCCUAGUUCAUCACUUGUAACCAAUCUCCGUCUCGCGACUCCGAUUGGUACUUGUAAGGUUGCUAGUAGUGUUGAUUACUCUUUGUAGUUGACGCUAGUUGGAUUACUUGGUGGAAGAGUUUAUGUUCAGAUCCUUGAUGCUACUCAUUACCUCACUGGUCAUGAACAUGAUUAUGCUUUGUGAGUAGUUACUUUUGUUCCUGAGGACAUGGGAUAAGUCAUGCUAAUAGUAGUCAUGUGAAUUUGGUACUCGUUCGGUAGUUUGAUAUGUUGUAUGUUGUUUUUCCUCUAGUGGUGUUAUGUGAACGUCGACUACAUAACACUUCACCAUUAUUUGGGCCUAGAGGAAGGCAUUGGUAAAUAGUAAGUAGAUGAUGGGUUGCUAGAGUGACAGAAGCUUAAACCCUAGUUUAUGUGUUACUUCGUAAGGGGCUGAUUUGGAUCCACUAGUUUAAUGCUAUAAUUAGACUUUGUCUUAAUUCUUCUUUCGUAGUUGCGGAUGCUUGCGAGAGGGGUUAAUCAUAAGUGGGAUGCGUGUCCAAGUAAGGGCAGUACCCAAGCGCCGGUCCACCCACAUAUCAAACUAUCAAAGUAACGAACGUGAAUCAUAUGAACAUGAUGAAAACUAGCAUGACAGAAAUUCCCGUGUGUCCUCGGGAGCGUUUUUCCUUCUAUAAGAAUUUGUCCAGGCUUGACCCUUGCUACAAAAGGGAUUGGGCCACUUUGCUGCACCGUUGCUACUUUUGCUACUUGUUGCUUGCUACGAAUCAUCUCACCACACAAUCACUUGUUACUGACAAUUUCAGUGCUUGCAGAUUUUUCCUUGCUGAAAACCACUUGUCAGAUCCUUCUGCUCCUCGUUGGGUUUGACACUCUUACUUAUCGAAAGGACUAGAUUGAUCUCGUAUACUUGUGGGUCAUCACGCAACCCUAUCUCUCCUCAUUCUCGUCCUCCAUAGCGCUUGGCGAAGCCCUGCCGGAGUACCACGCCGCUCCACCGUCACCACGCUAUCGUGGUGCCGGAGCUCUCCCUCAACCUCUCCUCUCUCCUUGCUGGAUCAAGGCGUAGGAGACGUUACCGGGCUACACGUGUGUUGAACGCGGAGGCACCGUUGUUCGGUGCUUAGAUUGGAAUCUUCCACGAUCUGAAUCGCUACGAGUACGACUCCAUCAAUCGCGUUCUAGUAACGCUUCCUCUUAGCGAUCUUCAAAGUACGAAGAUGCUCUACCCCUUUGCUCGUUGCUGGUUUCUCCUAGAUAGAUCCUUGUGAGACGUAGGAUUUUUUUUGAAAUCACUGCGUUCCCCAACAGUGGCAUCCGAGCCAAGUUCUAUGCGUAGAUUCUAUGCACGAGUAGAACACAAAAGUUGUGGCAACGAUUUUGUCAAUUGCUUGUCAUUACUAGUCCUAUCUUUUUUCGAAGGUAUUGUGGGAUGAAGCGGCCCAGACCGACUUUACACGUACGCUUACGUGAGACUGGUUCCAUCGCCUGACAUGCACUUGGUGCAUAAGGUGGCUAGCGGGUGUCUGUCUCUCCCACCUUAGUCGAGUUGAAUUCGAUGAAAAGGGUCCUUAUGAAGGGUAAAUAGCAUUGGCAUACCAACGUUGUGGCUGUCACGUAGGUAAGAAACUUUCUUGCUAGAAACCCAAAUUAGCCACGUAAAAAUUGCAACGAGAAUUAGAUGACGUCUAACUUGUUUUUGCAGGGUAUGCUAUGUGAUGUGAUAUGGCCAAAUUGAUAUGAUGUUACAUAUGUGAUGUAUGAGAUUAAUCAUGUUCUUAUAAUAGGAUUCACGACUUGCAUGUCGAUGAGUAUGACAACCGGCAGGAGCCAUAGGAGUUGUCUUAAUUUAUUGUAUGAGAUGCAACACCAUGUGGUUACUUUACUUUAUUGCUAACCGUUAGCUAUAGUAGUAGAAGUAAUAGUUGGCGAGACAACUUUGCAAAGACACAAUGAUGGAGAUCAUGGUGUCAUCUCGGUGACAAUGAUGAUCAUGCCGUGCCCCGAAGAUGGAGAUCAAAGGCAAGAUGAUAUUGGCCAUAUCAUGUCACUAAAUGAUUGCAUGUGAUGUUUAUCAUGUUUUUCAUCUUAUUGCUUAGAACGACGGUAGCAAAGAUAAGAUGAUCCCCCAUUAAAUUUUGAGAUAUGUAUUCCCCUAAGUGUGCACCGUUGUGAAGGAUCGUUGUCUCAAAGCACCACGUGAUGAUCGGGUGUGAUAGAUGAUAACGUUCGCAUACAACGGGUGUAAGCCAUAUUUACACACGCAAAACACUUAGGUUGACUCGACGAGCCUAGCAUGUACAUACAUGGCCUCGGAAUACGGGAGACCGAAAGGUCGAACAUGAGUCGUAUGGAUGAUACAAUCAACAUGGAGAUGCUCACCAUCGAUGACUAGUCCGUCUCACGUGAUGAUCGGACACGGGCUAGUCGACGUGUAUCAUGUAACACUUGGAUGACUAGAGGGAUGUAUAUCUGAGUGGGAGUUCAUUAUGUAAUUUUAUUAGAUGAACUUAAUUAUCACGAACUUAGUCUAAAAAUGUCUUUACAAAUAUUGUAAAUCCAAUGGCCAACGCAAAUGUCAACCUCAAUUUCAACGCAUUCCUAGAGAAAACCAAGCUGAAAGAUGAUGGAAGCAACUAUGCGGACUGGGUCCAUAACUUAAAGCUCAUCCUCAUUGCAUCCAAGAAGGCAUAUGUCCUUGAUGCACAACUAGGUGACCCUCCCGUUCCCGUUGCCGCCUCAAUGCGUUAUGAACGCCUGGCAGUCGCGCAGUGAUAAUUAGUCCCUGCUUCAGUUUGGCAUGCUUUACAAUUUAGAACCGGGGCUUCAAAGGCGUUUUGAGCUACAUGGAGCAUAUGAGAUGUUCCAAGAGCUGAAACUGAUUUUCCAAGCUCAUGCCCGGGUCGAGAGAUAUGAGGUCUCCGACAAGUUCUUUAGUUGUAAGAUGGAGGAGAAUAGUUCUGUCAGUGAGCGCAUACUCAGAAUAUCUGGGUUGCACGGCCGUCUAACUCAGCUGGGAGUUGAACUUCCGGAUGACGCGGUCAUUGACAGAAUCCUCCAGUCGCUUCCACCUAGCUAUAAGAGCUUUGUGAUGAACUACAACAUGCAAGGGAUGGAGAAGAGUGCUACGGCACCAGAAAUCCCCGGCAAAGAUGCCAGAAAUCCUUCUGCUGCCUCUUGAGCCUGCGUUGGUUUUUCCCUUGAAGAGGAAAGGGUGAUGCAACACAGGAGCAAUAAGUAUUUCCCUCAGUUUGAUAACCAAGGUAUCAAUCCAGUAGGAGAAUCGCGCCAAAUCCAGAGUACCUGCACAAACACAAAAGAGCUUGCACCCAACGCUAUAAAGGGGUUUCAAUCCCUUGAGGAUUGAUUGCAAAGUGAGAUCUGAAGGCGGAAAGUGCAACGAAGUAAAAGUGUAAGGCUGAAAAUAUGGUGUGAAGUAGACCCGGGGGCCAUAGUGUUCACUAGAGGGUUCUCUCAAAAUAGCAAAUAAUACGGUGGGUGAACAAAUUACUGUCGAGCAAUUGAUAGAACCGCGCAAAGUCAUGACGAUAUCUAAGGCAAUGAUCAUACAUAUAGGCAUCACAUCCGAGACAAGUAGACCGAUACUUUCAGCAUCUACUACUAUUACUCCACACACCGACCGCUAUCCAGCAUGCAUCUAGUGUAUUGAGUUCAUGACGAACAGAGUAACGCCUUAAGCAAGAUGACAUGAUGUAGAGGGAUAAACUCAAACCAAUGAUGAAAACUCCAUCUUUUUACCCUUGAUGGCAACAACACGAUACGUGCCUCGCUACCCCUUCUGUCUAGGGCUGGGCGUUCGGUUUAUAUGGUUAAUACGGUUCGGUUUAUUCGGUUCUUUAUAAUUUCGGUUUUAGAGAAACAAAAACCAAAAUAAUCACUCAAAAUUUAGAAACCAAACCACAUUAACCAUAAUAUAUCGGUUCGGAUGUUCGGUUAACCGAAAAACCGAAACUCAUGCACUUGUUAGUAUAAGUGUAAUAACUCAAGAGCACUAAUUUAGAUUGUAUAAUAUGCAAAUAAUAUUCACAAUAUCUAGCAACCUUAAUAGCAUUCUAUGGUUUAUUCGGUCAAUCAAACUAGUAAAAAUAAUUAAGUAAAAAAUAACAUGGAACGUGAAAUGUAUUAUAUGUGGAGAAAUACGUGAUGGCUCCAAACUGUUACACUUUUGGAAACAAGGUGUUAUAUGGGGUAUCCUACAUAUCAGUUUGUUCGGUCUAUUCGGUUUCUGGACACUGAAAACCGAACAAAAUAAAGACCAAACAACCUUAAAUUUUCCCACCGAACCAAAAAUCAGACCACCAAAAAAACCGAGAAAUCAGUUAAUACGGUUUGGUUCGGUUCGGUUUUUCGGUUUGCGGUUUUAUAAUGCCCACCCCUCCUUCAGUCACUGGGUGAGGUCACCGCACGGUAUGAACCCAAAACCAAGCACUUCUCCCAUUGCAAGAAUCAUAGAUCAGGUUGGCCAAACAAAACCCACAACUCGAAGAGAAUUACAAGGAUAUGAAAUCAUGCAUAUAAGAGAUCAGAAGAAACUCAAAUAAGAUUCAUAGAUAAUCUGAUCAUAAAUCCAUAAUUCAUCGGAUCUCGAGAAACACACCGCAAAAGAAGAUUACAUCGGAUAGAUCUCCAUGAAGAUCAUGGAGAACUUUGUAUUGAAGAUCCAAGAGAGAAAAGAAGCCAUCUAGCUACUAGCUAUGGACCCGAAGGUCUAUGGUGAACUACUCACGCAUCAUCGGAGAGGUCAUGGUGUUGAUGAAGAAGCCCUCCGUAUCCGAAUCCCCCCUCCGGCAGGGCACCAGAACAUGCCCCGGAUGGGAUCUUGCGGAGACAGAAGCUUGCGGCGGCGGAAAAGUAUUUUCGUGGAUCUCUCUCGCAGUUUUGGAAUUUUUCUGAAUUUAUAGGCGGAAGAGGUAGGGCAGACGAGCCACAGGGGCCCCCCUGGCCGUGCCUAGGGGGCUUGUGGGGUCCCCUGGUGGCCCCUUCCUUGGUUCUCAAGUCUCGUGUGUAUCUUCUGUUCCGGAAAAAAUCUUUUCGGAAGUUUUAUUCCGUUUGGACACCAUUUAAAAUCCUCCUCUGAAAAGGGUCCAAAACACGGAAAAACAGGAACUGGCACUUGGCACUGAGUUAAUAAGUUAGUCCCAAAAAAGAUAUAAAAGGCAUACAAAACAUCCAAAGUUUGACAAGAUAAUAGCAUGGAACCAACAAAAAUUAUAGAUACGUUGGAGACGUAUCAAAGAGCAUUCCUGAGUUGUAUUCAAUGUUGAAAUCAGCGGAGGUGGAAAUCAAGAAAGAACAUAAAUGUGUUGAUGGCGAAUAAGAUCACCAGUUUCAAGAAAGGCAAGGGUAAAAAGAACUUCAAGAAGGACGGCAAAGAAGGUGCCGCACCCGGUAAACCAGUUACUGGGAAGAAGAAGAAAAAGAAUGGACCCAAGCCUGAGACUGAGUACUAUUAUUGCAAGGGAACCGGUCACUGGAAGCGGAACUACCCCAAGUACUUAGCGGAUAAGAAGGUCGAUAAUGUCAAAGGUAUAUAUGAUAUACAUGUUAUUGAUGUGUCCCUUACCAGCACUCGUAGUAGCUCCUGGGUAUUUGAUACCGAUGAUGUUGCUCACAUUUGCAACUCAAAACAGGAACUGUGGAAUAAGGGGAGGCUGGCUAAGGACGAGGUGAUGAUGGGCAUCGGGAAUGGUUCCAAGGUCGAUGUGAUCGUCAUCGGCACGCUACCUCUACAUCUACCUUCGGGAUUAGUUAAAAACCUUAGUAAUUGUUAUUUAGUACCAGCUUUGAGCAUGAACAUUGUAUUGGGAUCUUGCUUGAUGCGAGAUGGCUACUCAUUUAAAUCUGAGAAUAAUGGUUGUUCCAUUUAUAUGAGUGGUAUGUUUUAUGGUCAUCCCCGCUGGUCAAUGGUUUAUUCUUGAUGAAUCUCGAACGUGAUGUUACACAUAUUCAUAAUGUGAGUACCAAAAGAUGUAAGGUUCAUAAUGAUAGUCCCACAUACUUUUGGCACUGCCGCCUUGGUCAUACCGGUGUUAAGCGCAUGAAGAAACUCCAUAUAGAUGGACUUUUGGAGUCUCUUGAUUUUGAAUCAUUUGACACAUGUGAACCAUGCCUCAUGGGCAAGAUGACCAAGACUCCGUUCUUCGGAACAAUGGAACGAUCACCCAACUUAUUGGAAAUAAUACAUACUGAUGUAUGCGGUUUAAUGAGCGUUGAGGCUCGCGGUGGCUAUCGUUAUGUUCUGACCCUCACUGAUGACUUAAGCAGAUAUGGGUAUGUCUACUUAAUGAAACACAAGUCUGAAACCUUUGAAAGGUUCUAGGAAUUUUAGAGUGAGGUAGAGAAUCAACGUGACAAGAAAAUAAAGUUCCUACGAUCUGAUCGUGGAGGAGAAUAUGUGAGUCACGAGUUUGGCAUGCACCUAAGGAAAUAUGGAAUUGUUUCACAACUCACGCCGCCUGGAACACCGUAGCGUAACGGUGUGUCUAAACAUCGUAAUCGCACUCAAUUGGAUAUGAUGCGAUCUAUGAUGUCUCUUACUGAUUUACCGCUAUCAUUUUGAGGAUAUGCACUGAAAACUGCCACAUUCACUUUAAAUAGGGCAUCGUCUAAAUCCGUUGAGACGACACCGUAUGAAUUAUGGUCUGGAAAGAAACCUAAGCUAUCGUUUAUGAAAGUUUGGGGCUGCGAUGCUUAUGUGAAGAAAUUUCAACCUGAGAAGCUCGAACCCAAAGCGGAAAAAUGCAUCUUCAUAGGCUACCCUAAGGAAACUGUUGGGUAUACCUUCUAUCUUAGAUCCGAAGGAAAAAUCUUUGUUGCCAAGAACGGAUCCUUUCUAGAGAAAGAGUUUCUAUCGAAAGAAGUAAGUGGGAGGAAAGUAAAACUUGAUGAGGUAAUCAUACCUCCUCUCGUACCGGAGAGUAGCGCGGCACAAGAAAAUGUUUCUGGGGUGCCUGCACCGGCUAGAGAGGAAGUUAAUGAUGAUGAUCAUGAAACUUCAGAUCAAGUUUCUACUGAACCUCAAAGGUCCACAAGGACACGUUCCGCACCAGAGUGGUACAACAACCCUCUUAUGGAAAUCAUGUUGUUGGACAACAGUGAACCUUCGAACUACGAAGAAGCGAUGACGGGCCCAGAUUCCAACAAAUGGCUUGAAGCCCAUGAAAUACGAGAUAGGAUCAAUGUAUGAGAACAAAGUAUGGACUUUGGUGGACCUGCCCGAUGAUCGGCGAGCCAUAGAAAAUAAAUGGACCUUUAAGAAGAAGACCCACGCUGAUGGUAAUGUGACCAUCUAUAAGGCUCAACUUGUCGCUAAGGGUUAUCGACAAGUUCAAUGGAUUGACUAUGAUGAGACCUUCUCACCCGUAGCGAUGCUGAAGUCGGUCCGAAUCAUGUUAGCAGUUGCCGCAUUUUAUGAUUAUGAAAUCUGGCAAAUGGACAUCAAAACAGCAUUCCUAAACGGGUUCUUAAAGAAGAAUUGUAUAUGAUACAGCCGGAAGGUUUUGUCGAUCCUAAUAAUGCUAACAAGGUAUGCAAGCUGCAGCGCACUAUCUAUGGGCUGGUGCAAGCAUCUCGAAGUUAGAACGUUCGCUUUGAUGAGGUGAUUGAAGCGUUUCGGUUUGUACAGACUUAUGGAGAAGCAUGUAUUUACAAGAAAGUGAGUGGGAGCUCUGUAGCAUUUCCCAUAUUAUAUGUGGAUGAGAUAUUUUUGAUGGGAAAUGAUAUAGAACUUUUGGAUAGCAUAAAUGCCUAUUUGAAUAAGAGUUUUUCAAUGAAGGACCAUGGAGAAGCUGCUUACAUAUUAGGCAUCAACAUCUAUAGAGAUAGAUCGAGAUGCCUCAUAGGUCUUUCACAAAGCACAUACCUUGAUAAGAUAUUGAAGAAGUUCAAUAUGGAUAAGGCCAAGGAGCGGUUCUUGCCUAUAUUACAAGGUGUGAGGUUGAGUACGACUCAAUGCCUGACCACGGCAGAAGAUAGAGAAAAGAUGUGCAUCGUCCCCUAUGCUUAAGCCAUAGGCUCUAUUAUGUAUGCCAUGUUGUGUACCAGACCUGAUGUGCACCUUGCCAUAAGUUUGGUAGGGAGGUACCAAAGUGAUCCAGGAGUGGAUCACUGGACAGUGGUUAAGAAUAUCCUUAAGUACUUGAAAAGGACUAAAGAUAUGUUUCACGUUUAUGGAGGUGCCGAAGAGCUCGUCGUAAGGGGUUACGUCAAUGCUAGCUUCGACACAGACCCGGAUGACUCCAAGUCACAAACCGGAUACGUGUACAUUUUGAAUGGUGGGGCAGUAAGCUGGUGCAGUUGCAAGCAAAGCAUCGUGGCGGCAUGUACAUGUGAAGCGGAGUACAUAGCUGCUUCGGAAGCAACACAGGAAGGAGUCUGGAUGAAGGAGUUCAUCACUGACCUAGGAGUGAUUCCCAGUGCGUCGGGCCCGAUGACUCUCUUUUGUGACAACACUCGUGCUAUUGCCAUUGCCAAGGAGCCCAGGUUUCACAAGAAGACCAAGAACAUCAAGCGCCGCUUCAACUCCAUUUGUCGAUACAUCUAGGAUGGAGAUAUAGAUAUUUGUAAAGUACAUACAGAUCUGAAUGUCGCAAACCCGUUGACUAAACCUCUUCCACGAGAGAAACAUGAUCAACACGAGAACUCUAUGGGUGUUCGAUUCAUCACAAUGUAACUAGAUUAUUGACUCUAGUGCAAGUGGGAGACUGUUGGAAAUAUGCCCUAGAGGCAAUAAUAAAGUGGUUAUUAUUAUAUUUCCUAGUUCAAGAUAAUUGUCUAUUAUUCAUGCUAUAAUUGUAUUAACAGGAAACCGUAAUACAUGUAUGAAUAUAUAGAUCACAAUGUGUCCCUAGUGAGCCUCUAGUUUCCUAGCUCGUUGAUCAAUAGAUGAUCAUGAUUUCUUGGUCAUGGACAUUGGAUGUCAUUGAUAACGGGAUCACAUCAUCAGGAGAAUGACGUGAUGGACAAGACCCAAUCCUGAGCGUAGCACUAGAUCGUAUUGUUCGUCUGCUAAAGCUUUUCUAAAUGUUAAGUAUCAUUUCAUUAGACCAUGAGAUUGUGCAACUCCCAGAUACCGUAGGAGUGCUUUGGGUGUAUCAAACAUCACAAAGUAACUGGCUGAUUAUAAAGGUGCACUACAGGUAUCUCCGAAAGUGUCUGUUGGGUUGGUACGAAUGGAGACUCGGAUUUGUCACUCCGUGUGACGGAGAGGUAUCUCUCGGCCCACUUGGUAAUGCAUCAUCAUACUGAGCUCAAUGUGGCUAAGGAGUUAGCCACGGGAUGAUGUGUUAUAGAAUGAGUAAAGAGACUUGCCGGUAACGAGAUUGAACAAGGUAUAGGGAUACCGACGAUCGAAUCUCGGGCCAGUAUCAUAUCGGUAGACAAAGAUAAUUGCAUACGGGAUUGACUGAAUCCCCGACAUCGUGGUUCAUCCGAUGAGAUCGUGGCGGAACAUGUGGGAGCCAACAUGGAUAUCCAGACCCCCGCUGUUGGUUAUUGGCUGGAGAGGUGUCUCGGUCAUGUCUGCAUGGUUCCCGAACCCGUAGGGUCUACACACUUAAGGUUUGAUGACGCGAGGGUUGUUAUGGAAAUAGUAUACGUGGUUACCGAAGGUUGUUCGGCGUCCCGGAUGAGAUCCCGGAUGUCACGAGGAGUUUUGGAAUGGUCCGGAGGUAAACAUUCAUAUAUAGGAAGUGGAGUUUUAAUCGCCGGAAGAGUUUAAGAGAUCGUCGGAAUUGUACCGGGACCACCGGAAGGGUUCCGGGGGUCCACUGGGAAGGGCCACCAGCCCCGAAGGGGUAUGUGGGACGAAAGUGGAUGGGAACCAGCCCCUGGGUGGACUGGUGAGCAACCCACCUCAGCCCAAGGCGCACAAGAGGGGAAGGGAGGGCUAACCCUAGGCGUGGGGGCUGCCUUGGGUGCAAGCCCACCCUAGGGCGCUGCCACUCCUCCUGGUCGCCGCCACUCUCCCAUCUAAGGGGCUCCCGCACCACCUAGGGGAAACCCUAGGGGUGGCGCACCCUCCUCCCUCUCCUCCUAUAUAAACCCAAGGGGUUUUGGGGCUGCAACACACAAGUUUAACCUCUCCAUGAUGCAGCCCUAUCUAUCCUCCUCCUCGUCCUCCGUAGCGUUUGGCGAAGCCCUGCCGGAGUACCACGCAGCUCCACUGUCACCACACGGUCGUGCUGCCGGAGCUCUCCCUCAACCUCCCCUCUCUCCUUGCUGGAUCAAGGCGUAGGAGACGUCACUGGGCUGCACGUGUGUUGAACGCGGAGGCACCGUUGGUCGGUGCUUAGAUUGGAAUCUUCCGCGAUCUGAAUCGCUACGAGUAUGACUCCAUCAACCAUGUUCUAGCAACGCUUCCGCUUAGCGAUCUUCAAAGGUACGAAGAUGCUCUACCCCUUUGCUCGUUGCUAGUAUCUCCUAGAUAGAUCCUUGUGAGACUAAGGAUUUUUUUGAAAUUACUACGGUCCCCGACAUGUCAAAUCCAAGAGUUUGAGCUAGUAUCUUGGCAUGUGAACUCUGAAUCUGUGUUUCAACUAGGCAUAACACAGCCGGGGCAAAUUUUGCAGUGAGGUCACGGACUUCUCGGGCUGUUGUGGGAUUGCCCAAACCGCGACAGUUCCAGCAUAAUGUAUUCAUUGCGUGCGCCGACACCUCUCGAGGGAGCCCAUCGAUGAAGCUUUUGUGAGAUCUUGUUCCUCCACCUCCUUGUUCUUGCCCGUGCUAUCUAUUAGAGGUCCAGCCAACACCUGCAGUUUGGCCUUUUUGGCAUUUUAUUCUCUUUCCUUGGUGAUACAUAUACAGGUGGCAGUGGGGGAAUCCCACCCCCUCUACUAUUGCAAGUUGGUGUUCCACCUCUUUUCCAGGCGUAGUAGGAGGAGCUGCAGUAUUCUCGAGAGAAGAUCUUUUGUUGGACAGAAGGUGUAGGUCCGUCGCCCCCCCCCCAUCCCCUGGAUCCUUUUCUUGGACCUGAAUUUCGUCCCUCUCGUCACCUCCCUCUCGCCUCGGAGGUGCUUGCUCCUCUCUAGCAUUAAAUCGCCAACUAUGAUUAGGGUUAUAGGACUCUCGGCCUCUACCUCGACCCCCCCAUCCAUGGCCCCCUACCUCUUGGAGUGACAUUGCUUCCACGCCCCAUUGUUCUGAGACAAAUAUUUUCAGCGAAAAGAAAAUCACCCCACUCGAAGGUAGAUUCAUCAUGUACACCAUCCCCACAUUCCUCAUGCCAAUUGCCAAAUUCGCCACAAUUGUAGCAGAAGGUGGGUAACUUCUCAUAUUUUACUUGGUACUUAACUCUCUCAUCUCCUUUUUUACCUAUGACAAACUGCUUAAUCUGAGCAUUGAUGUCUAUCUUAACCUUGACUCUGACGAAUUCUCCAAAGAAACCAGGCGACACCUUCAGCUGGACCUCUUCCACUUCACCGAUAUGCGAUGCUAAACCUCUGACUGCAGGUUCUAUGAGGAAGUUGUCUGGCAGACGGUGGAUCUGAUCCCAGAACAAAAGCUUAUCGAGCUUGAACGUAUGAGGGUUUUUGAAGCCAUCAUAUUCUUCCAAGAUCACAACCUAGUCUCUAAAGAGAGAAGGUCCCUCUAGCAUAGCUUUCUCCCAAUCCCCUAAGCAACCAAACUGAGCUGUGAAGAGAUUCUCCUUGAUCCUCCUCCAUGCCACAGGUUUAUCUGUAUUCCAGGCCGCCCUCAUGUUGCCGUAUAAAGCGUUAGGGCUGGAACAUUUUGGCAUGUGAACACGGGCAAUCGCCAGCCACUUGGCCGGCUCCAUCAGAUCCGGGAGCUCCUCCUUCCACACAAAGUUGUCUUCCUUCUCCUCCUGAAGGGCAAGGUGGUCCAGGAGUUCUUCCGCCGUCUCCCUGCCAGGUUUGCUUUGCAAUCCCGAGCUAGCAGUCAUGACAAACGAUCUGAUCUUGCCAUCGCACUCCCUCCCCCCCCCCGGUGCGAUUGCUGGUUUGGAGGGCAGAAAAAGUCCAAUUCCGGUCAUAGUCGCCGGAAGAAAUAGAAACCCUAGCGCCGUUGCCUAGAGGAGAAAAAAAAAGGACGUCUAUAACGGAGGAAGUAACUACUAAGAAGCAAUUGCAAACCAACCCAUGGUUGGAUGGUUAGGAGGACUGUGUUAUCCCCUACCCACCAGAGUUCAAGUCCCAGACUUGACGUUAGUGCUUGCAUUUUCCUGGAUUUAUUCCAGGUCUUCCGACGAUGUGCUUUUAGUGGGAGGAGACGUUCCCGUCGACAACGAAGGCAUCAGUGGCGACUUCGUCAAUCUCAAGAUGAUGUGCCGUCUUAGUCUCUCGAAGGUGCUCAUAGGGAUAUCAUGUGCGUGCGUGCGUUCAUACAGGUGAGUGUACGCUCGUGUAUGUGAACGACUUUGAUUGUACUCUGCUCAAAAAGCUACUAAGAAGCAAUGCGCGUUGUAUGUAAGUAACGUGUGGUUUGUGAUCGGCGUUUCUUAAAAGAAAUAUAACAUUUUUUGUUUCAAACACAACAGUAUUAUAUAACGUGAUGAGCAGAUAAGUUCUUAUUUUUAUAUACGGUUUGCAACCACUUUCAUGAAGGAAUGAACACGUCAUCUCCUUAUUAUCCGAAAUAAUAAUAAAAAGAUCAAUCUCUCUCCUUUUCUGCGGGAUAAAAACAGGAUCUGGUGCAACAACAAACGAACAGGAUUCCACAAUAAACCUCAACUAACAACACAUAUUUGCCGCUCGGGGCAGAUCAGCACGGAGAGCAUUACACUCUUCAAGAGGGAACCUAUGGGCGCCAUAUCGCGGCAUCCACGUGUGCAAGAGCGACUGGCGAGGCCACUGUUUUGUCGGUUGUUCCUUUUCAUUAAACAAAGUAAAAAAGAGCCUCAAUGCACGCGACCCAGUCCCACACCCCACACUCUCUCCAAGCCCCACACAACCUUCGCCUCUUCUCGUCUCUUCUCUGCCUCACCGUCGCCGCCAAUGCUUCACCCCCUCCACAUCCCAUUGCAGCAACAGGGUGCCGACCUACCUGCUCUCCCCUCUGACCUAUGCUCUCCGCCGCCGUUGCUCUGCCUCAUGGCUAGGUAUUCUUCGUCUUGGCGUUGAGCAAGAAGAAGCACAAAGAUGAGUGGACCUGGGCGACGGCUACCGUCCAGCUCCCCAAAACGAGGGAUUCGUUGUAGUGAUCUCCCCACACGACGACUACGAGGAGGAGGACUAUCUCGUCCACCGCGAGGCACGACCACCCGACACUGGUGAAAACUGCAGCGAUAGGCCGUCAGAUCCGUCGUCCGUCGUUCUUCCCCUCGAGGCAUCCGUCGUUCACGUGCUCCUCCUAAAGUUGCUCCUCACCAUCACGGGUGGAUGCCGGUGAGGCCAGCCUUCCCUCCACGCGCAGGUGCUCCCCCGCUCCCCUAUCUCUCUUCACUGACCCUUUCUCUGUUCCUUGGUGGUAGCACAUUAGUGGUUCAAUAGGUAGAUUGGCCAGUUUCAGAAGUUUGUAGAGAAGACUACACCAAAUCUUCCCCACGCUAAUUCUUUCAUUUUUCUUUUUUAAUUAUUCAUCUGUAUUUUUAACCAUCUUUCUCCAUGAUGAAAUUAGUAACUCUUUUUUCAAGUUCCGAGUUGAGUACUAUCAAUGGUAUGAGCACAUAGCUGGACAUCAGGAUAAUAGUCGCGACAUAAGCCCCGGGCGGUGGGAGCGUAGGAUCUCCCCGUCUCACGGGCCAUGCCUCUCGUCCGCGCCACAAUGCCGCCAGCAUGGACGCCCGGGCUCAGGCAGCCGAUUGCAGUCCUGCCUCCCUGUAGGAACAAAUACGUUCACCGUAAUACUAGCUGAUUGUUACUCUAUGAAUUUUGUUGUGAUUUCCUUUAAUCAACUUGUUUAACAAGAGCUGCUGACGUUUUGGCUCACCAAAAAAGACCAAAUGUUGGCCCAUCUAUUUACUGUGCGGCUGAUAGAAUUUCUAUACAAGGAGGAUUUGUUAGUUGAUCAGUUAUGCAAUAUAUAAUCCUUCAUAUAUACUCCCCCUGUAAACUAAUAUAAGANNNNNNNNNNNNNNNNNNNNNNNNNNNNNNNNNNNNNNNNNNNNNNNNNNNNNNNNNNNNNNNNNNNNNNNNNNNNNNNNNNNNNNNNNNNNNNNNNNNNNNNNNNNNNNNNNNNNNNNNNNNNNNNNNNNNNNNNNNNNNNNNNNNNNNNNNNNNNNNNNNNNNNNNNNNNNNNNNNNNNNNNNNNNNNNNNNNNNNNNNNNNNNNNNNNNNNNNNNNNNNNNNNNNNNNNNNNNNNNNNNNNNNNNNNNNNNNNNNNNNNNNNNNNNNNNNNNNNNNNNNNNNNNNNNNNNNNNNNNNNNNNNNNNNNNNNNNNNNNNNNNNNNNNNNNNNNNNNNNNNNNNNNNNNNNUCUUAUAUUAGUUUACAGAGGGAGUACUGUACUAGGUGCUAUUGUUAACUGGAUUUAAUCAUCUCUCUUUCGUUCUUUGAUGUAUUAUGACAAUGACACAAUCAGUACUCAAGGUUAUUGCUCUACAUAUCAAAUUCCAUUCCCUUACUGAUGAGGCUCGGGGCGGUCGUCGCGGCGGCCUCUUCAGCGGCGUCGCCCGACGGGCUCCACGCACAUGUGGUGGAUGCUGGUUCCCGAGGUGAGCGCGAUGUCGAGAAGAGAUGACGUCGAGGACGGCAUCCAAGGACAUCAUCACGCUCAACGGCUCCGCCACCAUCGUCAUCGAGUUCUUUGGUACUCACGCGCCUCCAAUAGAGAUCCCCCUUCCCCUCCACCACUCUCUAAUGUUUCAUCGAGUGAUUCGAUGGCAGGUUACACAGCGAACAGGUGCGCGACCGGCCGGCAAACAGCACUGCCGUCUCUAUCCCCGACACUGCAUCUUUGUGGGGCUAAUGGCCCCGCGCGCGUUGCGCCCGUAAGUGCCCUAGGCGGUGCGGAAUGCAACUGCACGUGGGGCCGUAGUAGUUGCUUGCUCAAGGCGGCGUGCGGACUGCCUGGUAAGCUUAACCAAUCUACUCUAAAUCUCCCUAUUUGGCAAUGUUGCUCUAUCCAGCAUGGGGUUCGUUCUUCAGGGCCGCGUCCAACACUGCUUCAAAUAUAUGUGCCCUUAAGACGUAGUGUCCAUGGGAUAAAAAACUCAGUUGGGUUUCAAGUGGUAGCUGAACGUCUACCCCUUGAAUAAACUUUUCCUUCAGAUUUCAUAAGAGAUCCGUCUAUUCUCCUUUUAGAACUGAAUAUAUUUGAUAUGUUGUUCAAUACCAAUGUGGACAUCUUACCUACUAAUAAAGCAAAUAGUGCUUCUUCCGUACGUCAUCUAAAUUGCCCUUAAAGUUAACUAAAAUUACCCACCAAUGCCACCUAUAAGUCAUAAAAAACGUUUCAAACAGGAAAAUCUCCGAACUGGGCCAGCCCAUGUAGGCACCUCCUAUAUUACGCUCUGGCGUUGGAAAAAGCUGCAGCACACAUGUUUGGGCCGGCCCAUGCGUGGGCGCCUGUUUUUUAGUUUAGUUUUUUAUUUUUCUUUUCAGUUCCAUUUUCUUUUUCUAAUUUAAAUAAUUUAGAACUUCAAACAACUAUUCUCAAUUUUAAGAAACUGAGAAUUUCGAAAUAAAAUAUUCAAAAAAACAUAUAUUUUUUUAGAAUUCAAAACUACUUAGGAGUUUUGAAAAAUGUUUGCAUAUAAAAAAUGUUUAAACUUUGAAAAAAUGUCUAUAAAAUAAAAAAGUCAACGAUUUUAAACAAAAGUCCGUGUAAAAACCUUAAAAACAAUUCGUGCCUCUGUUUUUAGUCUCAUUUUUUAUUUUCAUUUUUCUGUUCCAUUUUUUAGUUUAAAUAAUUUAGAACUUUGAAAAACUUUUGCAAUUUAUAAAACUGGGAAUUUUGAAAUAAAAGUUUGAAGAAAAUAUAAAAUGUUUGUGAAUUCAAAAAAUGCUCAGGAUUUUUAUAAAAAUAUUCGCGUAUUCAGAAAAAUGUUCAUAAUUUUGAGAACAAUGUUGGUGAAAACAAUAAAAGUCCAUGAUUUUGAAAAAAAGUUUGUGUGUUAUUUUUUGAGUGCAAUUGAAAAAAAUGUUUGCUAAUUCAAAAAAUGUUCAUGCAUUUCAAGAAAUGUCCUAAAAUUUUAAAGACAUAAUAUAAUCAGCACCGUUGGAGAUUAUAAUUGUUUUUCUCCCGUUGCAACGCACGGGUCCUUUUGCUAGUAUGGACAAUGCUUUUUCACUACCAAGCUGUCCUACCUGAUGAUGUGAUCUUUGUUUUCUUUCCUCCCACAUCCCACAUAAACGAAACAGCCCACUACUUAUUUUCUUUGUUUAUUACCACAUACAUGUUAAGCACCCAACCAUUAGGCAUUUAAUUCGGUCACUAAUAGUAAGAUCCAUACGAAUAAUGUAUGCGGUCAGUUAUUCACUGAAUUGCUCUAAGAUCAAAUUGUGCCUCACCAAAUUUUCUACAAGUCUUCUAUUUAUAUGCUCAUACAAAUAAAUUGCUAUUAAUGCAUGGCAAAUCGCUAAUAGUAAUAAACAUGCUGUCCAACAAUAUGAAAAGGUUCCCAUUCCACUUUAUCUGAUAAUUGUGACUUCCACCGUAAGUGCAUUUGAUUGGUCUGCUAAGUUUAUUUUUACAUGGUUUACAUACUUUCAAAAGCAAAAAUACAAGAAAUAUUUGAUUUCAUUGUGGCUCACUUGGAAUGAUUUGUUGAUUCUCUCUAUAAUUGGUUCUUAUGUAUUUAAUAGAUCAUGCGUGUGUGUCGAGAGUAAAUUCCUUCUCAUUUCCUGUACCACUGUGUUGGCAGUCUGUCAUUAGUGCCUAUGUCAAUCCAUGAAUUUUUUUGUAACAUUAGUCUUGCUAUUAUUUUUAUGAAAACCAUUGGGGGCAUGUGAGAUAUCUUGGAGCAUUUUGUGCAUUUUGUAUCAUUCUGACUAUGAGUAUAUUCAAUCUUGUGGUCUGAUGCUUUCAAUAGAUGAUAGAAAUUAGGGCAUGUUGAGAUAAUUCCUCUUUGUAUUGUUCUAGCCCGUGAGUGUAUGUAAUGUUGUAGUUUAUUGCUUCUAAGUUUUUGGCUGGUUAUUUUGCCUAUUAUGUGUCCAGGUCAAACUUCCAUCCUUCACAAUGCAUUUAGUAUUUGCAUGAUCUAUGUGUCUACACAUAUCACACUUCUGUCCGUCGUGCUAAUUUGGUGCUUUAUUGGAGGUUUGGGAUUGGGCAGUGGUGAGCUUGUCUCUCAUACCAUUUUACUCAUGUCUGCAUCUAUCUUGAUGUAUGCAAGAAUUUCUUAUCUCAAUGAUACCAAUCUAUCAGUAUGUCCAUGCAGUUGUUGCUCUGUUAUUUUCCUUCUCUAUGUAGUUUCUUUGUACUAUUUCGUAUGUGAGUUAACUAUCUUGUUGAAUAUUUAUAUUUAUUUACUUCUAAACUGUAGAACUGUGUCCCUUGAAGAAUAUUUGUGUAGCAUACAAUGAUUCAACCAUACGAUUAAGUGGUUCAUGGGUCUAUAAAGCUACCUAGCAUAUCAUGAUCUUAUGAGGCCGUUGUAAAUUUAAAUUUGGUUAGUAUUUGAUUUCUUCUACCAAAUGAUAGAAGCUUUCACGUACUUUUGGAGGGAAUUGAUGUUAGUUUUAUGCUUCCUGUGAUUCUCUUCUGUGAUUCAGAAUUUUAGUCCAAAUCAUAGGCUUGUUAUGAUUCCCUUUUACGAUUCAGAAAUUUGAUCGAGGAGGCUUUGGCUAUGUCCAGUGGUUAUCAUACAUCACCCCUACAUGAUGAUUUCAUUUUAUGGAUGUCCAGACUUCACUAGCCAGACGACAUUGAAGUAAAAUGUGGUUGCUGGAUUCCGUAGCUGGGCAGAGGUCGCAUCCGUUAUGUGAUGUAAUUGAAGUACAAUUUUUCCUUAGCAUGUUGCCCCUCGAGUUUAACCGCCCUCUUAGAGCAUGCAAUGGAAUUACAUGGAAGGUAAAGGUGACCUCACGUACAUAAAAUGCUUCGUUUGUUAUGUUUAUGAAUGUAUGUAUGCCUGUGUUAUGUUUAUUAAUGUAUGUAUGCCUGCUUACCCUAAAAAUAUUUAGUUAAAAUGUUUCCCUAUAAAGUUUCUAUGCUAUAUAAGAAAGUUUGGCCUGCAAUAUUUAAGGUCAUAUUUUGUUUUACAAGUUACUCCUAUAGUUGCAUAGCUGAUUCAGUUACAUUAGUUCAGAACAAGUGUUUGUAUCUAUAACAAAGAUCGAUAGCAUAUUUAUCUAUAUUCAAAUAACUAUAAAUAAGUGUCAUUAAGAACUAUAAGCAAGAUAGGUGCGCACCCUUGGCGCGUCCCUACCACUAGUAUUCUACAGGUGCGACUCGCACGUUCCUUCAUCAAGCAAAUAAGAUUAUUUUUUCGGAAAGGUGCAGCUACAGUCGAGUGUAAUACACCCCGGAUUUUCAAAAAAUGGCAAAAAUAAGUAUCAAAUAUGAUCCAAAUAUUCUGAAUUUUUUGUGGCAUCAAACAUGAUCAUAUGUUUUAGGGACUUACAAAAUUUUAACCACAAAUAACAUCCCAAGAGCUCUCAGCAAAAUAACAAAAUCACAGGUCAGAGUUUUCUACACUUUUUAGC
rnacentral:lncRNA from 1 species